AGCGGGAGAGGGACUGGGCGCGGGUGGUGGGAGGCGGGGGACAGGGGGAGGCGCCGCCGCCGCCGCCGCCCGCCCCUUUCCGCUGGGGAGCAGCUGCAGCAGCAGGAGCAGAGCAGGAGCCGCGCAGCCGCCGCCGCCGCCGGGGGAUGUGGCCGGCGCCUGCCCCGAGCCGCGCUGCCUCCUGAGUACUCGCCGCCGUCGCCGUCGCCGCCAAGCCGUGCGGGGCCAGGCCGCGCCCUCCCUGGGCGCCCGCCGGCUCGCAUGCCGAGGGGCUCCGGGGCGUAGCUGCGCGCCCGGCGCCGCCUCCGGGCUCCUCCGGCCCCGCCAUGGGCUGCUGCAGCUCCGCCUCCUCCGCCGCGCAGGUGAGGGGCUCCCGCCUCCCGGCCGCCCGCCCGGAUGCCUCCCCCGCGCCGCGCCGCCAGCGGGUGCCCGCUCCCGGUGCUUCUCGCUCCCCCAGCCUCCCUUCAUCCACCGUGCACUCCAAAGACCCCUACCGCUCCUCUCCCUCCCGCGCGUCCCGCAGAUGCCUCUACGCUGGCUCCGGCAGCUGCCGACCCGCAGGCGCCUUUGCGCGGCCCCCGGUGCUCCCUCAGCUCUCCCCUGUCCCUUCCCGACUUGGCCUCCUUCUCCCGGUCACACCUGAGCGGCCCGUCCCGCCCGCCUGCAGGUAGAGGCUACACAGGCGCCUCCUGUCUGCCCCAGGUGGCAUCCCUUUCCUGGCCUUGCUCCUCGGUUCCCACCUCGGUGGAGUGUUCCCCUCCCAUACGCCGACUAUUUUCUGUGUUCCAAGGUGUACCCCCAGCUUGGGCUCUUCACCUCUUUGCUAUCUAAUUCCAGUUUCUGCUCCAUUAGAUAAUCUGUCCCUUUUCUCUUGCCCGCCGUCACCCGGCCGGGUUCAAGUGUUUCAUCGGGUCCCAGAGCCCUUCCACGGCCCUUUUCCCAGCUCCCACUCGCUCGUUUCCUACCCCAUCCCCCCUUAGUGCCUUGACCCCGGGCACCCGGGCCUCUCUGCACACCGAGGCCCCUGCGGGAGCGCCGGGACUGGGCUGGGAAGGAGAUUGGGCACCUGGUGGGUGACGGGAGCAAUACGGAAACUCCCUCUUUGUUGCCAGUGUAACAGGAGGAAGAGGUGCCGAAUUUAGUUUUUCUGUGGGCACUGGAUGAAUGUUGUCGCUGAGAUGCAGAGAUUUCUCCCAGCCUCUACCCUGCCCCCAUCCAAAUUUCGCUAACCUCCUUCCCUUCCAAUCCAAGCUCUUACCCUGGGUGGAAAUGUUUAGACAACUGUUUAAGGAUCAAAUGUAAUAGAACUUGACUGCUGGCCACUAAUAACUGAGAGGACCUGUUUGUAAAUUACCUAAUUUAGUGGAUUAGUGAGUGUAUUUACAAAUACGAUAAAAAGCAAUCAGGAAUACUGCAUCAAACUGUCUGGUGGUGUUGUAUGAAAAAUAGGCUCUGACAAUGCCUGGGAUGUAAUCUCCACAGUUUCAUUAGCGUAGAAUUUUAACAGUGCUCUGUGAUUUGCGUGUGUGUGUGUGUGGGGGGGGGUGAGAAACGGACUCUUGUUUUUAGAAAUAAAGGCUUUUUGGUUCUUGGAAAAGCAAAAUGCUAGUUUGGAGAAAAAAAUUCCUCCAGAAAUCUAGCAUCUGUGAUAAUGCCAGAAGUGUUUUGCUGCUGCUAAAUGACUAUAUAUAACUCAGUUUUAAAUAACCUGCAUUCUUGAUCUGGAAAUCUUGAGAUCUGUUAGAGAAAAUGCCUAGAAUUGCAGAUGCAUGGAGAACAUUUUAUGCUUUAUUAGGUAUCCAUCCUAUUUGUCCAGUUGUUAUGCUGAUGGGUUUAGUUAAACCUUCCCAUUCAGUUAGAAUAGCAAAGAAAAACUAUGUGUGAUGGUGUUAGGAUAGGUCAGGGUUUUCAUAUUAACAUAUAUAGGUGGAAAAUUAUACAGAUCUUUCAACUGCUUAGGGAUAUUUUGGGACAGGGCUUCUAGUUGGGUACUGUUCAUUUAAUAUUUACUUAAAUAUAACCUUCACCAAGAGGUGUCUUUCAUAUAUAUUGCCUUUCUUUUCAGAAUUGGGUUACUUUACUUUCUCUAUUGGUGAUAAAAUGCCUUUAAGACAGGAACGUAUUGAUACUUUAUUGAUAGUAUGUUCAGUGCAUGAACAGUUUAAUUUGGGAGGGAUGGAUUCAGCACUAGCUCUGUUCAGAUAGUGGAUCUUACAUUUGUCUGUCUCCACAUCAUACUUUUCAGAAUGCUGUCAAGUGCAUCUUUUUGCUUUUUCCUCCUCUUCACAGCUACUGUUUCCUUCAUGCUGUGUUCUACACACAAGAUGCAUGUCAUGCACCCAAGGGGGUAUUUUUUUCUGUGGAUUCCUAUAGCCAAUCAGCAACUGUCACAACCUUUGAGUUCAGCUUUGGGGACUUGUAGUGUUCAGUGGAGCAUGGAGGAGGCAGGUUUCGUGCCAAAGAGCUGGUCAUCUUUUUUUUUUUUUUUUCCUUAUUUGAGGUUUUUGGCAUCAUUUUUCAUUUGUGAAGUAUUUCCAAUCUGCUGGCAUUUUAAUGCUCCUUUGAGAAGCAUCACAUAUUUAGAAUUGUAUUGUAUCUAUCUAUAUGUGUAGUUGAAACAAAAUAGGGCUGCAACUUUAAAUCUUCUUUAUAUGUAAACCUUCAUAUCAUCCAGCCUCUCUUAGGGGUAUGGAAUGUACUUUCAGGCAGAAUAUGUUUGUUCCUACUGGAUUAUAAGCUUCUUGAGAAUAGCAGCUGCUUUUGUUUCCUUAUCUUUGUGUUUUCUGCAGUGCUUCACUGUACCUUGUACAUAAUAGUUGCUCAGCAGUAGUCAUUGAAUGGAAUCUAUACACACAAAUUUGAACAUCUAGCUGGCAACUGACAUUGAUUAUGAAUGCAACCCUGACCUAUGUUUCACUUCUAUAGGCUGGCUGGUUGACUAAUUCCACCAAGCCAUCCUCUUCUGAACUCAAACCUGAACUGUGUAAAUUAAAACUUUCAUCCUUUCCCCAUUUCUUUCUAUUCUGUCAUUGGUAUCAUUAGCUUGUAAAAUCGAGCAGAUUUUCUCUUGAUUCCCUGCUCAAUGUUUAUAUUUCAGUUGGAGCCAUGACUAUAAUAUCUUAAAAGAGCUUGUCUGCAAACUCUAAUGAUAACCUGCCUAGUACAUCAAAAUGAUAUUCUUUGAGGUAAACUGCAGUCCAGUGUAGCUUUUCUCAGGGGUAUUGUCAGCAACUUUGAAGCCCAGGUAGACUUUAUCAAUUGAAAUAUGUUGUCUUUUUGUAGUAGGAAUUCACUUUUGAAAUGUAUUGUGUUUUCCCUUGUAGCCUCUUGCCAUGUUUAAGAUACUCAUAAGAGUUUAUAGUGUUCCAAACUUUCAUCUCUUGUAAUUUGUCCUGCUAUUAUUUUCAUUAUUAUUUUCUUGCCAGUGUCUGGAUAUUAAUUUCCCAUCCAAAGAAUUAUCCUGAUUUAGGAUUUAAAUUUACCAGGUGUCACAUUCUAUACUAGUAUUUCAUUGCUGAAGGAGCAAAAUCUUGGCAAAAUAAUUUGUACUAUAUCAGGCAUCUAAGAAUCUUAACUGUCUUAGUCUGGGCUCUUACAGACUCUUAAUUAGGUCUGUCUGUCUUUCUUUUUUAUUAGUGACCAUUACAAGUUGUUUAGUAAUUACUGAAAACAAGCUGAUACAUGUUAGUCUUUGCCUAAGUCUCUUUGAAAAGAACAUAAAAGUAAGAUAGUCUUGGGUUUCUUUCUACAGCCCUAAUCCUCCCUAAGACUCUUAAAAUUUAUUCCCAUCUCUCCAUAAUUCGUUUCUUCCAUUAUAACCUGACAUAAUUUCUAUUCUUGUAGUGUUAAACUUCAAAGUUCACUUGUAAAUCUUCAGAUUUAUUAAAUGUUCUUUCCCAUUGACAAACCAGUUUAAAUGAAGGAGGCUUUUGAAAGAUUACUUAGCAAAUUGUCGUAAGUCUUUGUCGUUAAUGGCUAGAUCAUUAUUUCUCACAGCAGUGCUUUGGAGGCCAGGAGAUUUUUGCAAGUAUUCUGAAGUUCUGUGUCCUUCAAUUCUAACCUUAGAAAUUAAGAAUGGAAUAGAGGAGAAUCUUUCCGGUUGAACAAACGGCUCCUUAUCUGACUGAUUUUAGCAGAAUUUUGUCUACUAUCUUAUCCCAUGGUCUUAAAUUGAGGGCUAUAUAUUUAACUGUCUUAUUCUAGCUCUCGUAUCUUGUUUAAGAGUAAUGAAAAAAUAAUCAGAAGUGAUUCACAAAUACUGGUUAGUAUUUGAGUACCUUAACUGCCUUAAGAUAAUUCUGAUAGAAUUUAUAGUCUAUACCUGCUUUGUAGAGUUUGAAAUCAGGUGGAGAAAUAAAAUUUGAAGAAUAUAGUGGAAAUUACCAACAGAGACUAAGUUGUUCAAUUAAAAUAUGACCUGCAAAAUAAAUCUUGUUGAAAGUCAUGGCAUUAAGAUUUUUUUUUUUUUUUUGCCUUAAGAAUACUGUGCUGUUAGCAUAGAGGAUCAUAAUAAUUUUAAUGUGCCUGUUUUUUUCAUAUCCAUUUCCAUGUUUGAAUCUCUACAGUAACUCAGGUUCAUCUUACUUCCAUUUUACAGAUCAAGAAAUUGAGACUUGGAGAUCAGGAAACUUGGAUCAAGUUGCAGAGCCACUAAGUGAUAGAUAGCUUAUCUUCUGAAUAUGGAUUGUGUGCUUCUUCAUUUAUGUUCACAUACAUAAAUCGCAGCUCCUCCACUUUUUUUUUUCAUUUUUAGAGAAGGUCAAUUUUGGACUAAAGAGUUUCCAAGUUAAAUUUUAUGCCACUAUUUUGAACUUCCUGCAGGUACCACCUGAAGAGUAACAUUGUAUAAUAUAGCAAAGUUAGUACAAUUAGAAUGUUUCCAUGCUUACCAAAUUUUAUGGGAUGCCUCUAGAUGUGUUAACAACUCUGUCAUUUAAAAAUAUUGUAGAUUGGGCUGGGGUUGUGGCUCAGCAGUAGAGUGCUCACCUAGCACGUGUGGGGCCCUGGGUUCUAUCCUCAGCACCACAUAAAAAUAAAUAAGUAAAAGGUAUUGUGUCCGUCCACCACUAAAAAAUAAAAUAUUUUUUUAAAAAUGCUGUACAUCUGGGAAGAUAAAUAUGUUUAAAAAUAUAUUCUGAUACUGGUUAUUGUUUAAUAGCUGUUUUUCUAUGCAGCCUUUGUCCCCCAACUACCAACAAAGAAUGAAAUACUUUAACUUUAUAAGUUCUGGUUGGGUUUUGGGGACUCUGGGAGAUUACUAGAGAUGAACUGGUCUUACCUUCUCACUUUUCUGUAUAUUUAAACCGGACUUUAAAAACUGGGACCAGAACCUACUUAGUCUCAUAAUCUCUUGCUCUUACUGUUUGUUUGUUUGUUUUUGGUACUAAGGAUUGAACCCCUGAAUGCUUGCUGAGCUACAUCUCAGCCUAUUUGUUUAUUUAUUUAUCUAUCUAUUUAUUUAUUUAUUUUCCCAUUAUUUUUGGGGUGGGGGGCAUACCAGGGAUUAAAUCAGGGGCAGUCAACCACUGAGCUACAUCCCCAGCCCUUUUAGAGACAGGGUCUCACUGAGUUGCUUAGUGCCUCCUCGCUUUUGCUGAGGCUGGCUUUGAGAUCCUCCAGCCUCAGCCUCCCAAGCCACUGGGAUUACAGGUGUGUGCCACCAUGCACAGUUUACUGUUAAUUCUUAAUGUUUUAGUUCUUUACCUUCCCAAACUUUGCUACAUAUUACAAUCACUUGAAGUUCCACUGGUAAUUCUCAUAUGCCACCAAGGAACCACACUGUUCUUUACCUUUCCCUAGGUGGUUUCAUCUCUUCCAGUGAUUUCAGUUCUCAGUUACAACCUAUAUGCUGUUAAUUUCCAAGCUGAACUACGGAAUUGAAACAAACCUUUUCUUGGCAUCUAAUUGUCUGAAGCAGUUGAUUGACACCAGAACAUUGUAUAGGUAUCUCAAUUCAGCAUGUCUAAAACCAAAACUGGACUCAACACUUGUGAAUCUGUUCCUCACUUGCAUGUCUUUUUCCUUAUGUCUUAUUCACUGAAUGAGACCCAUGUCUUGAUUGUGGAAACUGGAAACCUGAGGGAGACCACCUUCCACUUUUCCAUUGUAGUCACCACAUCUUGUCUCACCUUUCAACUCCACUGCUAACACCUCUCUUGAAGCCUGUGUCUCCUCCAGUCAGGACCUUGGUUACAGGUUUCCCUAUAUUCAUUCAUACUGUCUUCUGAACUUUUUCUAUACUGCAGACUUUUUUUUUUUUUUUUUUUUUGUACCAGGGAUUGAAUCCAGGGAUGCUUUACCACUGAGCCACAUCCCAAUCCCCCUUUUUUAUAUUUUAUUUAGAGACAGGUUUUCAUUGAGUUUCUUAGGGCCUCACUAAGUUUCAUACUACACUGGCAAAGUUGAGUAGUUGAACUCAAGCUCCUCCUGCCUCAGCCUUCCCAGCCACUGGGAUCACAGGUGUGCCCACACACCCGACUUAUACUGUAGUCUUAAUGAUUUUUGAAAAUCCAAAGCUGACUGAUUGUGUUCCUCUCCUACUUACAACCCUUUGGCCUCUGAUUGCUCUUGGGACAAAGACCAGAAUCCCUGAGCCAGGCCAGCAUGACCCUGUGUGGACUGGUCUAUUCUCUGUGGCAUCCUCAUCUUAUUUGAGGCUUUUGUUUUUUUAAUUUUUUCCUGAUUCAGCCUCAUUGGUUUUCCAGCCAGUCAUGUUCAUUCCUCUGUAGGGCUUUUGCGCGUUCACUUUUAUAAAAGGGUCUUUGCUUCUCUCCCUGGCUGCCUUUGUCUGGUUACCUUGAGUUUCAGCCUCAAGUUCACUUCCUUAGAGAACGCUUUUCUGAUUCUUCAAACCAGGCCAUGUUUCUUUAUUAAACUCUCCAGACCUUUAUUUGUUUCCCUUUUGAGCACUUAAAGCAAUAAGUAAGUAAUUAUGCAGUUACUCUCAGUGUCUACACCAGUUGGAAAACUGUAGCCCAUGAACUAAAUCUGACUUGCUCACCUGUUUUUGUAUGACUUACAAGCUAAGAAUGGUAUUUGUAUCGUUAAAUAGUUGAAAUAAAUCGGAAGGUUAUUACUUAUUGAAAAUUAUAUGAAAUUUGAAUGUCAUUGUCCAUAAGGAAAGUGUUAUUGGGACACAGCCCAGGAAUUCAUUUACUUAUUGUCUAUAGCUACUUUCAUACUACACUGGCAGAGUUGAGUAGUUAAGACAGAGACCUCAUGGCCUGCAAAUGUUAAAUAUUUACUUUGUUACUCUUUACAGAAAAUGUUUGCUGACCAUUGUUCUAGGUUGGAUUGAUGAAGAGGCAACCUUAUCUACUUUGUUUAUUACUGUUAUUCUAUGUAUUUAGCUGUACUGGCACAUGGUAGGUAUUCAUGAAAUGUUUGUACAAUUGACAAAUAUUCCUUUUCCUACCAUCGACAGAUUUCUACUUUAGCAACUCUGGUACUUUAAAAUCUGAUGCAGAAGUCUUUUUGAAAAGAUUGAUUCUUUAGAAGAAGAUAGUCAAUAAAAAUGUCAGCAGUAUUCUGACUUGGCUUGUGGCUAAGUCUGAAUAAAGUUUUUAAUAUAGUAAUAUUUCUUUCCUUUUAAUACUUUGUUUUCUCAUUUAUUUGGAACAUGACAUAGCAUAAUGCUCCAAAUUUGUAUUUAUGUUUUAUAUUUCUCAUUUAUUUGGAACAUGACAUAGCAUAAUGCUCCAAAUUUGUAUUUAUGUUUUAUAUCAAAUUCAGUAUCUUUUUAAAAAGAUAUUUGCAUUUUUCAGUGUUUUAAUAUACUCAACAGAGGAGUGUCCAUUUUCCCCCUUUGCUGGGCUCCUUUCUGACUUCACAAUAUAGUAAUAGUUGUAUAAGAGGACUUAUUUAUUAACAAACAUUUAUUUGAUAAACUUGAAAUUUUUGUGUGUGUGCAUGUGUGAAAAUAACAUUACUUCCUCAUAGGUGCUCUCUAUAACAUCCCACAACCACUAUUUAGACAUUUAGAGAUACUCUAAAGAGUGAUUUUUAUUUCAAUUUUUAGGGUUGCCAGAUAUGUUGAAAAUUAUUAAACAAAAGUGUUUUAUUUCUGGAUACAUUUGUAUAAUGUCAAGUAAGGAAAACAGAAGAUGGGAAAAUGGAAAAGAGAUGAUUACUUCAAGAUACUUAAAUAGCAGGAAAUAUAUCUUGUAGCAUUGUGAUAAUAUGAUCAGGAUCUUUUAAGAUUUGUCAUUAUAAACCACUUAGGAUUUUCCAGCUGUAAGAAAUAAACAACUACAACAAAACACUCUUAAAUCCAAACAAUGCAAAUAUUAAGGAAGGUAUAUUAUUUAUUUUUACGUGGUGCUGAGGAUUGAACCCAGUGCCCCACGUGUGCGAGGCAAGCGCUAUCACUGAACCAUAACCCCAGCCCUCUUCUGUCAUUUUAAGGAAGGUAACUUCCUCUGAUCCAGAGAUGUCUAUGGCUUUUGCUGAGCCAACAAUCUCCACUGAUUUUCCUUUAAUAGGAAAUAGGGAAUACUGCAUAUUUAUUUCUAAACAAUGUCUAGCAAGGGAGAGGCAAAGGACCCAGUAAUUAGUUCAGUCCCACCAGGAUUUCCUUGAGUCUAGUGGGGUAGGUGGGGUGGGUGAAAUAACAUCACAAAAAAAGUAGGACUUAGCCAGCAAGGCAGAGGUGUGUGUGGUUGGGGGAAGUGGGAUCGUGUGGGAAAGAGCAGCUGGGUAAAGCAGUCACAGUAAUCUUACUCUGCCCCGACAGGGUUCUAGCCAUUGUGGAAAACUUGACUUUCUCCUUUGCUCGAUCUCACUGCCUUUCCCCAUCUGACCCAAGGAUAGUUCCAUGUGAAGAAGAGCUGCUGAGGCUGGAGUAAGGUGACAAAGCUAGUUGUUAUUCCUGCAAGCAGUGGUCCCUAAGGACGCCUUAGAGGUUUGAACCUCUUCUCUCAGUUUUUCUAAAUCCUCACUUUUGUCUGCAUUUAUCCAUUUGGUAUUCAUUUUUUCCCCUUUCCCUAAAAAUUUCAUUUUCCUUUCUUCCCACUACCAUUUGAGACACUUAAAGAACUAUAAUACAGAGUAGAAUAUAUUCAAAUACAAUAAAGAGGUAAAAAAAGAGUGCCUCUAUUUUAUUUACCUGCUUAAUUUCAUUUUUUUCUUAUAAGCCAUAAAAAACCCCUGAAAAUUCACAUUAUUAUUUGGGCUUCUCUGAUAUUAAAAAAAAAAAAGAAGAGCUUUUCAGCACGCCAGAUUCAUCUCUGCAAUAAAUAGAUAAUUAGAGACAGGGAAAUAAUGAAAUAAUAUGUAAAUGUUCAAUCUUGCUAUUCAGAUUAAAUCACACAGGCACCGUUUUACACUUGAAACUUUGGUAAAAGUUAACAAAAAAUAUUAAUUGCCUGUGUGGUUUUUGAUGCAAGUAUGCUUUUUUGAUUUCUGAGUAAAUUGGAAUGACCCUCGUGGGAUACUGCUUGACAACAUACAUUAAAAGACAUUUUAAAAAGUUGACAUCCUUUGUUUAGUAAUUCAAAAGCAAAGAAAUAUGCAGGAGUCUUUCUAUUGAAGCGUAUUUAUAAUAGCAAAAGAGCUCAGUAUUAAACAUUACAUUUCUGUUGUGAAACUUUGUUUUUUUAAUGCAAAAUUUAUUAAAAUGUAAUCUAUUACACAUCCCCAUCCCCAACUAGAUGAUCCUUUAGUGAGUAAGUGCCUUUUUGCCUUCUGCAUAGGAAAGCCUUUCUCCACUUCUCUCAAGGAAUAUUCAGAUCUAGAGGACUGAACACUGUUGUACACUAGCAGGAGUAUGGGCUCUAGCUAGAUAAUAGAAGUUUGAAUCUUGACUCUGUCCUCAUCUGGACUCUUCUUUGAUGUCCCAGUUUCACCAGGUGGAAAAUAAUAGAAACAGUAAAACCUGUCUCAUAGACUUGUCACGAACUGUACAAACCAUGAAAAUACUUCAGAAAUUACCAUAUUUAUGUAAACAAAAAUCUCUUAAAUGUUCUGAUAUCCACUAAUCCUUUACUUAAAAUAAAAUCUUGUUUGAGUUUUGGAAUAGAGACCUUGACUUCCAGAAAUGUUAACUUAUGUCAGGGAGGUGAGUGCUGAGAAUGAAACCAACAACAGUAAAAAGGAGAAGCCAAGUGGAGUGGUGGGGAGCUCAGGGAGUGGGGAAAUCAAGGAAGGGUGGAGAGUCAGAGAGUAGGCUUCCUGAAAGUACUCUUCAUCUGGCCUGGAAGACUGGGCUUGGAAAAUGAGGAAGAUGGACAGAUUUUAAUAGAAAGGGAGAAAGAACAUUCCAGUGGAAAGGCCAGCUGGAUCCAAGGCAAGGGACAUACAGUCAGAUGCUGUGUGGAAUUUACUGAGUUGUAGUGUGGAAAGGACACCUGACCCGAGAAGAGGAAGGAGAUGUUACCUGUAGGAAAGCAUUGGUAUUUGAAGGGGAAGGGAAAUGGGUAGCCAUGGAGGGUUUUUCCAGAGUGGUUUAACGAAGUCUAGGAGUAUGCUUGUGCCCGAAGUGGGAGAGAUGGAAAGCAGAGGCCACACAGGAAGCUGUCCGAUGACUCAGACCAAACAGUAUAAAUGGGAAACAGAUGUUAUGGAUUUUCCUGACUUCUGGAUGUGAGGGAUAAAGGAGCAUGUUAGGAUAGAGGUUCAGAAUGCCGUAUAAAGGGAGAAGGGAAUUGUAAGUGAUGAAAGUGGAAGUUGAGACCUGGGGUUGGAGGAAUGAUAGUAUGUGGGGAGGGUAAGGUGAAUUCCAUUUCUUAUGGACUGGAUUGAGGUGAUACUGUUGUUAAUGCCUUCAGCUAGUAUUUCUCGUAGUCAAUUGAAGACCCACAACAGGAUUUUAGAAAAACCUUUUAAGUCAUAAGUAUGGAGGUGAUGCUUUAAGGAUGAGCAAUACCCAAGAGGCAGGAAAGGGCCCUGAAUACCAGAGCUGGUAGAUCGCUAGGAGAUAAGCACAGGGAACAUCGAUGGUCAGUCAUCCUGGGGACUUAUUGUUUGAAGGGCUCUAGGCUAGAUAUCUUAUAUACACUUCCCAUUUUAUUCUCAUAACUCUGAGAUGGGUACCUCAGAUGGAACUGAGGGUCAAAAUGUUAGGUAGCUAGUCCAAGAUCAGCAGAUCAUGUGAAGUGUGGGUAUUUCCUGCUGCAGUAGGGUAGGCCUUCUUAAUGAGAACUAGUAACUCAGUGAUAUGUUGAAAGAACCUUAGUUCUGUCACUUUUGUCACUUAAAUUCAGAGAUUGUGCUAUCUAUUCUCUCUUUAAAUUAUAUGUAGGUUGGUUUUUAAAUCAGCACACCUCAAACUAGUGGUCAGGGUAUGACUAUUUGGGGGCAGAGUCCAUGUAAAUGGUUUUUCAUUGAACUUGAGACUCUAAGGGACUGUCAUUUUCUUUUAAGAGCUUUCACAAGUUUAUCAUGACUCACUGAUUCUUGGGUUUUUUGUUUUAUUUUUGGUACCAGGAUUGAACUCAGGGGUGCUUUAACACUCCAGCCCUUUUUAUAUUUUAUUUUGGGACAGGGCCUCACUAAGUUGCUGAGGCUGGUUUUGAACUCAUGAUCCUCCUGCCUCAGCCUCCCAAGCUGCUGGGAUUACAGGCAUGAGCCAUCCUGCCUGGUGUAUGACUCACUGAUUCUUGAGAAUAUAGUUUUCAGUGUAUAUAUUUAUAUGUUUAGUCAGCCUUUAUCAAAUCCUGGCCUCUGAAAGUGUUAAUGUAAUUGAUGCUCAUGUUAUUAAAUAUUGAGUUUCAACAAGGCUCUGGAGAGCUGUAAGAAAGGAAAGGGUGAAGAAAUGGCCACAGUGAAGUUGAUUUAUUAGCACAGAUUAUUAGAUGUACAUUAAGAUCAAAUUACAAAGGCAGAGAUUCUCACCACUAGGGCAAGAGAUGGAAUUGUUUUGUUUGUUUGGUUUUCACUGUACUUUAAAAACUCAGAAUAUUUAAAAGAGUGUUAUCCCUGCUUGCAAGGCCCAGAAGUUCUUCCAGAUCUGUUUUGCAUGUGAUUCUAUAUUUUUACAAUUCUAAAAGCAUCAAGUAUUAGAAAACAGCUUGAAGACAUUAAGUUUUAAAAUCCAGCAUAGUAAGUAUAUUUUCCUCAAGAAAAACAUUUUGGAAUGUACCCUGCUGGUUGAAGCAUAUUUCAGUUAUGAAGGUUUGGAAGUAAAACUUUAAUAAGAUAUUCCAUUUUAAAAGUGAACGCAAUUCCAGUUUUCUUUUAAAAAGUUUAUAGUUUAGUUUGAUCUGAGAACGUAACCAAGACCAAAUGGAAAUACAUGUUUCUCUUGAGGUAGUUACAAGCAAAAGGAAUAGAGAGUCUCCUGGGCCAGUCUCUAGGACCUGCUGCUUCUCAGUAGGUGUUUCACGUUCUGCCCCAUUUAAUGAUAAAAUGUUACUUCUGCAAGAAUACCUUAAUCAGGGUUUCCCCAAGUCUGUUCUUCCUAAGCACCAGGACUCCAAGAUGAUUCUCCAAAAAAGUGGUCUGAUGUCAGAAAAGUUUGGGAAGUUCUUGCUCACUCAAGUAAUUUAUAAUAUACUUGAGUGACUUGAAAUCUAUCAAGUUUGAGGUUUCCUUCGGUAAACCACUCUUCCUUCUCUAAUUUCCUUGGAGAUCUCAAACUACUCAUAGUACAAACAAUGGUCCACAAGAAAGGCUUUUAAUUUAUAAUAUACUUGAGUGACUUGAAAUCUAUUUACACUAUUUGGCCAGUAUUUCAAAGAACACAUUGAAGUUUGUGAUAUGUGUGGACUGAGUUUCAAAUCUCCGGAGUGGCAAGUUACCUGAUCCAACAACCUUCUUACUUUUGUGGCCAGGAGAAUGGGAAUUCUGAAACAACAUUUCAAGCAGUGAUUUUCCAAGGGUGCUCUGUAAUAUGCCAGUAGUUAAAAAUACAAUGAAAACAAAAUUUAAGGAGGGAUGAGUCCAAAGAAGGUCAGAUAGUCCAAGUUAAAGUGAUUUCCUGAAGGUAAAGAGGAGAAAUGACCCUUCACUACAUUAACAUGCACAAUGACUUUUUGAAUGGGGAGCAGGGUGGGGGAGGUGGUAUGGAGUGAGCAAGAACUUCCCAAACUUUUCUGACAUCAGACUGCUUUCUUGGAGAACCAUCUUGGAGUCCUGGUGCUUAGGAAGCACAUACUUGGGGAAACCCUGAUCAAAUGAUGACUUUUUUUUUUUUUUUUUUUUUGGUUGGAGAAAGAAUGGUGGAGAUGUUUGAUUUUAAAUGUGCCCAAGCAAAUAAUAAGUUCUCAAUAAAUGUUUAUUGAACAAAUGUGGAGGAGGAAUGGGAAUGGGUAUUUGGAGACUAAAAUUUUAGUUAGUGAUACUGUUAAACAGAACCUGUCAGUGGAGGGAAAUGGAAAUGAACCUAAAAAUGAAAACAGUUAACUAUUUAAAAUGUUGAAGUUAAUUCUGGUGGGCUUUUGAACCUGACCUUGCUAGCAUGUGUUCUUCUGUUAUAAUGAGGUCUCUGUGAGCACCUCACAGUCAAAGAAAAGAAAAAAGCCUCAUCAUAAUAGAUACCUCCGGGCUCAUCAACACUUAAGUAUGCCAGGUCAACUGCAUAGGUCAAUAGAUUUACAAGAAUAAGAGUUUCCUUCCCUUCUGUCCACUCCUGUCCCAGCCCAGACCUAUCCUUGUUACUGGCCCACAGUGCAGAAGAAAUGAUGAAAGCCCUUCUGGUCCAGCUCACUGCCUGCCUGGGAGCAGAGUAAGGAGAGCCACAGAUCCUACAAAAUUUGUUCAAAUUGCCACCUGGAGGGUGGAAGCAGCAGCUCUGCAAAAACCAGCCCUGCUGCUGAUGCGCACAGGAGAGAGGAAUCUCCAGGGCAGGGACAAGAUGCAGAAAAGAAAUCAAGAAUGUCAUUAGAAUUUUAAAAAUUCCAAGCUGGCCACACGUGUUGGUUCUGUUCUGCUCAAAGCUGCUCCGUACUGGGUUCAACAGAGAAUGAGACUUCUGCUCUGAAAGCAUGCAGUCUAUUAAGGAGACACUACAGAGGAGAGUUGCUGCUUUGUCAGGGUGCAGAGCCCAGCUGCAUCCUUUUUAAAUAGCCAAGUAUUACUCUGGUUUACAAGGUAAAGUACAGAUAAUUUCUAGGUAGAUUCCAAACUAAUUUUCAAAACUAAGAGCCAUAAUUACAAAAGUGUCCCUGAAAAAGCUGGAUGUUAUUCUUGAAGUAUGAUUUGUGUUGAUGCUUAACUGGGGAGAAUGGAGUUCAGUAAACUUAGGAUAAAUUUAUUGUGUCUAGUGACACAAAGUGAAAGAGAAAAUACUGUCCUUAAGUAGAAAAAAACAAAGGUUCAGAUGCCUAUAGGCAAGUCACAGUGACUCUUCAGACAGUCCUAUAGAAAAGAUGAUAAGUACUAUGUUUAAUAUUUUAAUCUUCAUAUUGAAAUGACUAACAGUUAAGAUGUGAUUUUUGUUCUUUGAUAGAGCAAGGCUCUAGAAACUUAGAACACAUCGAAUUUUUUCUUUUAUUUGGCUAAUUCCUUUUACUGCCUUAUCCAUUCUAGUCAUUAAUCUGCCCUGUCACCUACUAGGAAACCCAGCUGCUCUUGUCAUGGCCCUAGAGUCUCAUAUAUAACUAGGUGCAGAGCCCUAUCUAAUAGUCCAUAGCAACCAAACAGGGUCCAGAGUGGAUUCAGAACCCCCGGUUCUUUAGUUCAUUUCAUAAUGGUGUAUCAGGCCACCUUGUUUCUCAUCCAGCUUUCUCCCACUCAUGCUUUUCUCAUUUACUCUUUAAAUAUUUAUACCUCAUCUGCUUCCAAAAAUAUUUUUAGAUGAUUUGUAAUCAAAUGUAAAUAUAUUUAAGACUUCUGAAAUGAAAAACUGAAAGCUAAGAAGAGGUGGUGGUGGGAUAAAUGGAAGAGGAAGCACGAAUGUGCUGAAUGCUUGAACAGCUUCACCCACCAACAUUUCUAGUCUUGUUUUAGAAUGGUACCGAUUCAGAGGACAUUUUGACACGGAAUCCUUCCACAGAACUGUACUACUGGCACAGACAUAAGAGGUCUAUAGAAUAACCAACCAAGAUAGUCAUGAGUUUUAUAUCAUGGCCACUAAAUGGGUUUUAUUCAGGCUCUGCUUAGAUGACUCCUGCUGUAGAGAGCUGCUGCCGCCUGGUAAAGUUCAUUCUAUUCUCAGGUGUUAGAAAUUUAUUAUUGCAUGUUGAGCCCUGUGUCCAUGUAGCUUCAUGUUGGUCCUGAUUCUGUACCCAUUAGCCAGAAUAGAAUGAAAAGCUGACAUCACGUCUUUAAUACGUGCCAAGUUGUGUGUGUGUGUUUUAAAGUUAAAAACAGUUAGUAUAUGCAACCAUUCUAAAAUCAUGCUGCUAGUCCUUUGCUAUUCUGCGCUCCUCCUAUGCUUCGAUUUUUAAAUUCAUUAUGCAUUGAUGUUUAUUUACUUUUCAUUAAAGCUAUGCAUGCAUAUAUUUUAAAGAGCUUUAAACAUUUCUUUGUGCUUGUUAUUUAAAACAACAAAAAUGAUACCCCCUCAUUUUCUAUUGCCCAGAGGCCAUCAGUUUUAAAUCUAAGAGGUUGUUUUUUUUGUUUUUGGUUUUUUUUUUUUUGCUUUUCUCCUUUUUAUCAUGCUUAUAUGGCUGCUUUCUCAUUUUUCAGUUUUUGAGAUUAAUUUUAGCCUUCUCUCCGGAAGAUAAAGAUCAAGCUCUCUUGCAACACCAAGCUCUUCCUCUACCCCACGCACACACUUAUAGAGAGUUGCUUUUAUUCUUCCACUGUAGGUAUGUCGUGACUGGAUCAGUUUUCAGUCUUUACAUUAUGACUAAUAAAUGCUCUCUCAGCUGAGUCAUGUAGCAUUUUGUUAUUUGUUGCCUUUGGAGACAACAGUUGUCUUGUUCUUCUCUUUACCUAGAUUUCUGUGUACUCUUGAUUAAUUGACUUCUAAACUCUUGCCUACUUAUAUGAAUUGAAGCUGUUAAUUUAAGAUCUCCCUUCACAUCAUAUCUGGGAUUCCUUUAGUCUUUCUUGUAUCAAUCAUUUCAUACUUUAAAAAAAAAUUGUUUAACUUAUAUACAGUAGAAGUUUUCUGUUGUUCAGUUCUAUGAGCUUUGACAGAUGCAUAGAGUUUUGGAACCUCUACCACCAUCAAAAUGUAGACCAGUUCUAUCACACCUAAAAAUUCCCAAGCUGCCCUUUUGUAAUCAGAUCCCUUCCCACCCACUGGCAACCACUGAUCUAUUUCUGUCCCUGUAGUUUUGCCUUUUCCAGGUCAUUUAAAUGGAAUCAUACUGUAUCAACAGCCUUUUGAUUUUGCCUUCUUUCCUUCUGUAUAAUGCAUUAAGGUUUCAUCUGUGUUGCAUGUAUCAGUAGUUGGUUCUUAUUGCUGAGUAACGUUCUAUUGUGUGAAUAUACUAUAAUUCAUCUCUUUACCAGUUUCCAGUUCAGGGUGAUUAUUAAUAAAGCUGCUAUACACACUUACAUGCAAGUUUUUAUACGAACAUAAAUUUUCACUUCUCUUGGGUGUUACCUAGGAGUGGGGUUGCUGGGUCAUAGGGUGUGUUAACUUUCUGUUACUAUAUCAAAUACUUGAGAUAAAUCAACUUAGACCAAAAAGGACUAUUUUUGCUCUAGCUUUGUGCUAAGGUAGCACAUCGUGGUGGGAGUAUAAAGCAAGGCAAAACCACUUGCCUCAUGGCCUGCAAAUGCAAGAGAAAGGAAGUGGAAGGAGCCAGGAUCCCAGUAUCUUCUUCAAGGGCACACCCCAGUGACCUAAAAUCUCCUACUGGGCACCCCUUGCAGGCUCCAUCACCUCCCAAUAGCUCUAAGCUUGGGAAUAAGUCUUUAUCACAUGGACCUUUGGGAUCACUCAUGAUCCAACUACAGCACAGAGUAAGUGAAUGUUUAUAGAAGACUACCCAACUACCCAGCUGUUUCCAAAGUGGCUGUACUGUUUUGUAUUCCCAUGAGCAGUAAAUGACUAUUGAGUUGUUUCACGUCCCUCUCAGCACUUAGUAUUAUAUUAGCAGUUUAUUUUUUUCAGUUGCUGCCAUAGGUGUAUAGUAGAAUUUCUUGUCUUUUCUUUCUUUUCUUUGGUGCUGGGGAUUGAACAUAGGGCAUGGUGCAUACGAGACAAGCGCUCUACCAACUGAGUUAUAUCCCCAGCCCUGUAUAGUAGAAUUUCAUUGUGGUUUUUGUUUGCACUUUCCUGUGACCAGUGAUGUCAUGUGCAUAUUUGAGAUUCACAUAUCUUACUUGGUGAGGUAUCUUUUAAAUCAUUUGCUCAAUUUUAAUAGGGUAUUUUAAUUUCUUAUUAUUUAGUUUGAGAAUUCUUUACUAUCUAGAUGCAAGUCUUUUAUCAGAUGUGCAACUUGUACAUAUUUCUUUCAGUAUGUUUCUUGUUUUUCUUUUAACAGUGUCCCCAUUUUUAGUUUUGAUGAAGUUCACCUUUUCACUUUUUUUUUUUUUUAAAUGUGCUUUUGUUGUCAUAGCUGAGAACUCUUUGCUUUGUUUAAGGUCACAAAUAUUUUCUCCUGUGUUGUCUUCAAAAAUUUUCUAAUUUUCAUUUUGCACUUAAAUCUAUAGUUGAGUAGAGAUAAUUUUUGUAUAUGGUCUAUUUUUUUUUUUAAAGAGAGAGUGUGUGAGAGAGAGAGAGGGAGAGAGAGAAUUUUUUAAUAUUUAUUUUUUAGUUUUCAGCAGACACAACAUCUUUGUUUGUAUAUGGGUGCUGAGGAUUGAACCCGGGCUGCACACAUGAGCGCGCUAUCGCUUGAGCCACAUCCCCAGCCCCUGUAUAUGGUCUAAUUUGAAUUAAUUUUUGUAUAAGGUUCAAGCUGUAAGUUGUUUUUGUUACAUUAUUUUUUUGCUUAUGAAUAUCUAAUUAUUCCAGUAUGCUUUGUUGAAAAAGACUUUUUCCAUUGAAUACUUUUUCAAGUAUCAGCCAUACAUAUUUGGGUUUAUUUCUGAACUUCCUGUUCCAGUGAUCUGUUUGUCUUAACACCAAUGCUACAUGGUGGUCUUGAUGAUUGUAGUUUUAUGGUAUUAUUGAAAUCAGGUAAGUGAGUGCUUUAACUUUUUUUUUUUAUCUUUUUCAAAAUUAUUUUGGCUAUUUUAGUUCCUUUGACUUUCCAUACACAUUUUAGAAUCAGCUUGCCAUUAUCAGAACUAUUACAAAUGUCCUACUGGGAUUUUGAUUUGACUUUCAUUGAAAGUUUGGAUCAACUAGGAAAGAAUUGUCAAAGAAUAUGAGUCUUCCAGUGGGAGUGUGGUAUAGUUUUCCAUUUAUGUAAGCUUCUCCAUUUAUGUAACCCUUCUUUGAUUUCUUUCAGCAGUGUUUCUGUCCCGGUGUUUUCUUUCUUGGUAUAUUCCCUUCAUUUGGCAGAGUGCCUCUUUCAGUAUCUUCCUCAAAAGGGUACAUGCAGGAAAAUUUUUGACCCCUUACCUGUUUUUAUUCUUAUCUCAUACAUAUAUAACAUUUGGCUAAAUGUAGAAUUCUAGGUUGGAAAUUAUUGUCCCUCAGAAUUUUAAGUGUGUCAUUUCCCUGUCAUUUAGCUUCUAGGGUGGCUGUUGAAGUCUUGCAUUCUGAUUCUUGAUUCUUUGUAUUCUACUUGUUUUGUUCUCUCUGAACCUUUUUGUAACCCACGUUCUGACAUUUUUCAGUGAUGUGCCUUAUGUGGAUCUAUUUUCACCCAUUAUGCUGGACACUGUGUGGGCUCUUUAAUUCUGGAGAUUUAUAUUUUGUAGUUGGGAAAUUUUUUCCUGAACUCUUCCUGAUUUCUUCCCAUAUGUUCCUCCUGUUCCUUAACUUCCUUAGGUUUUCUUUAAUUUUGAACACCUUGUCUUUACUCCAUUUCUCAAUUUAUCUUUCAGUAUUUCUAGUACAUUUUUAUCUCUGCUAUGAUUUCUUAAUUUUCUAGGGUAUUUUUUCAUUCUCUUCAGCAUUCUUUUGUUUGUAUGUUUUUGCAUCAUAUGUUUUUAUUUCUAUAUGGAUGUGUGUGUUUAAGUUCACUUCUGUCUGCAUUUGUAUCAUCUUUUUCUCCCUAGUCAUUUUUCUUCUUUAGUCUCUGCCAUUCAUACUAAAGGAUUCCUUACGUGUUUGGUGAUCCUUAGCUAUCUGCUCAUUUAUUUAAGGACAGGAAUCUCAAAGGUUGUUUGAAAGCAUUGUAUUAUUUGAGAAUGAGAUUGUUGACUGUGAGGUUUAACAGUGGGGUGGUCUUGCUGGUGGGUUUCCUUGGGAAACUGGAAUGUUAGUAUUAUUGUUUAAGGUCACAAAUAUGGACUUUACUCUUGGACUGGCCAGGUUUCUCCAAAGAAGUCUUUUCUGGUCUCUUACUACAUAUUAGUCUGGCUGCUAGAGUUCUUUUUUUUUUUUUUUUUUAAGUACCAGAGAUUGAACUCAGGGGCACUCAACCACUGAGUCACAUACCCAGCCCUGUUUUGUACUUUCAUUUAGGGGCAGAGUCUCACUGAGUUGCUUAAUGCCUCCCUUUUGCUGUGGCUGGCUUUCCACUCACUGGUGAUCCUUCUGCUUGAGCAUCCAGAGCCACUGGGAUUACAGGCGUUGGCUACUGCACCCGGCUGGCUGCCAGAAUUCUGGGACCCAAACAAGGCAAGAAGUUGUGAUAGGGGUUAGUCUCAGUAGUCAACACAUAAACUUCCACUUAAUCCUUUUGUUUUCCGUGUGGUCGCUCUCUAUGGUGCAGCUCUCUGGGUAGAAGAGGGGCAGCUCAUUUCCCAACUGUUCAGGGGUCUGUCUGCCCUUAAGCAGCCUUUCAAUGAGUCCUUCUGUUCUUAGCCCCUUGUCACCUCCAGUUCUAGAGAUAUAUUUUCCCCAUAAUUCCUGAGUUUGGGGGGAAUUGUGUGACAUAACUUAGUUUCUUCCCAUAUUUUCCUACUGUUGGCUCAGAACUUGGCAUUUUGGAAUAAGUCAAUUUAUUCUUUCCUGCCAGCUUCCUAAUGGCAAAUAUUUUAAAUUCCUUUAUUAUCAUUUUAGUGGAGUUUCAGAAGGGAGGAGAGUCAGCUAGUCAUUGUUUACCUUAAGUAUACUGAAGUCUGUAACCUGCUUGAAUUCUAGUUAACAGUCUUCUUAAAGUGUGAUGCACAAAUCUCUGCUUGAUUAGAGGUAAGCUAUCCGUGCUUCUAGAUUUUAAUGUUGCCUGCGGUUGAAUUAGCCUGUUCAGUCACUUCACUUACAAUUGCUAGCUGUUCACUAACAGCCAGCCCUAAGCCAACAUUUUCCUCUGUGCUGGUGUUUCUUGUAAUGUCAGUAAAUUAAAACCUGAGUUCAAAACUUUAAUUUUCCCUGGGAAAUUUAGAACUUUUUAUUUGCCCAGUUUUCUAGACUUUGAAGAGCUUUUAGAAUUCCAGUUGUGUUCUCCAGUCAUUAUCCAGUAUAUUUACUAUCCCUUUCUUUUCUUUCUGAUAAUAAUUGGGUCUGUGAGCCAUUUAUGUCUUCAUAUUUAUUGGGGGCAAAGGCCUGCUGAUUGUGGUAUUCACUGUAAUAUUCACAGGUCUGGCUGGCCUGUUUGCUUGGGGAACUCCUGUGGUCAGUAUACUUGGGCCUUAACAUUAUUUGUCAUUUUAUUUUAGUCAUUGCUGAAACUAGUUUUCUUUUCAAAACCUCUUUUUUAGGUAGUCAUUUCUUUGGGAGGUCGGCUCUUUUCUCAAGACCAUUCUCACACUUUCAUAUAUUCUUGACCCUUAUUUUAGUCCAUCCCUCCCAUCUUAUUCUCAGAGAUAUUAAAAGUGGUAUUGACAAAUUUUAAUAAAAUUCAGUUAUAUCAUGUGUUUCCCAAUCUUCUCUCCUAACUGUGAAAAAAGAAUGUGAAGUUAGCAGGAACUGCUUGCUCAGGUACACGUGCUGGCUCUUAUUUGUUGUCUUUUUCUUUCUUUUUAAGUUGUCCAGGCUGGCUUCAAACUUGAUCCUCCUGCCUCAUCCUCAAGAGUAGCUGGGAUUACAGGUGUGCACCACUGUGCCUGCACUAUUUUAUUUUCUAAGUGCCCACAAUUUCUGUUCUAGAACUCCAUCCAGAGUUGAAGUGAUGCUUGGUUACAAAGUGUGUGGCAUUCGCUCUUCCCACUUUUUGAAAAUGGGGAUACUGCCAUGUUUCUCAGUGUUGUAUUGUUCUGGUUCUCUACUGUUGCUUGAGGGCUGUGGGCAGGUGCUCAGCAGCCUUCUUUGCACAAGUCCUCUUGGGACAUGGGCAUGCAAUUUGUCUGGACUACUAGACUUGAACCUUUUCCCUGGGAGGCAGAAGAAGCAGUGUCUCACCUCUGUGUUCUUGGUGCAUUGCCUAGUAGCCUGUAGAAAACUUGUAGUGUUUCAAUAUGCUCAUUUAUUUGAAACACCUUGAGGUUCGUUCUACAUUUCUUUACCUGUUCACCUGUUAGGGCUUCUGUGCUUACAGGCCAAUGUGGAGUCUCAUUCCACUAAAUUUUGGUGAUAUCUAUGAAGUUGUACUUUCUUGGGUUAAAAGUGUCAAGAUUUAUUGAAAAAAGUCUUCUUGGAGUACCUGCACUGUGAUAGAGCUGUUGCCCUGGAGCUCACCAUCCAAUGGGGCGGACAGGUUUGAAGAAGUGUAAUUGUGAAGUCUGCUGCAGGACCAUCCUAUUACAUUGACAUUGGAGGUCAGAUAUGUAAGGUUCUUUUCCCAAAAACUUCUCCUAGGACUAUCUCUGAUUUUUCUUUACAUAUCAUAUCUGACCUCUCCCCUCCAGUGGCUUCUGUCACACUUAUGCAGACUUCCUCUCCACCUUAAUCUGCUCUGUUUCCUUCUUCACUCCCCCGCUCCCCGCCUCUCCCUGCCACCAUGCUUCUCAUUUAUUAUGUUCUGGCCAAGUUCACAGUUUUCAGUCAAGGGGAGAUCCUUCCUGUCUCAGGGCCUUCCUCUCCAUCUGGCUGUCCUCACCUCUGCUAGACUUGCCAUCUCAGUUCUACAACAGCCUUUUGCCUCUACUUUGUCAUUUUCUUUACUCUUGUUUGGCUAUAUUUUUCUUUAAGUGGAUCAUUACCUGUAACCAUUUGCAUAUUUUUUUCUGGCAUUCUUCUUCUAUAUGUUCCAUAAACUCGGGGAUUUUUUUUUUGUUCUGUUGGCUGCUGUAUUCCCAUUGUGAGAAGGGGGCUUGGCACCCAGGAAAUGGUCAGUGUUGAAUGGAGGAUGCACUAUGGUACCAGUUCGCAUUGUUUCUUUCUGCCUUUUUAUUUUCAGCUCAAAACCCUUUGGAUGAGAUGGGCCAGUUUCUGGGCAUGGUUAUUCUUCCAGGUUUACUUACGUUCUCCCUACUAGAGUUAAGUGCUUCAUCUUUAUAGUGUCUUAAAAUUGUACAAAUCGAAUUCUAUUCUUUGAUGUCAUCUGCAUAAAUAGUGGUUAAUUUAAUUUUUCACAUGCUGCUUUUUCCUGUUGGAAUAAUAGGUGAAAAGACCACUGGUUCAAAGUUCAUUAGUUUUCUAAUUCCUAGGCACAUUUCUCAAAUUAUGCUGCUGUUUUUCUUGUAAUCACUGUAAUCUUGACAGGCUUUUUCUCACCUCUUGGCUUCUUCCUAUUGGACCUUGUUAGGCUUGUUAAUUUUCUAUGUGGCAUGGCAUGAUGGUUUUCUAGAAAGUUCUGAUAACUCCUUAGUCUCAUGGUCCCCUAUUUCUUAUAACUUCUCUGGUGGUGCAUUGUUUUUCAUCUAAUUCUAUAUUCUCUGUUUUUUUUCUUCCUUCUCCUCCCCUUGCCCCCAACCUCUUAUUGCUGAUUGGGCUUGGGAAAGGCUUUGUGAGAGAAAAGGAAUGGAAUUGGGUCUUGAAGGAUGGAUGAAUAACUUGAGUGGGACACAGGUAAAGGAACUCUAGCCUGCAGGAAUAGCACAGGCAAAAGCUUAUACACUUGAAAUGCAUAAUUUGUUUGGUAGGAGUGGUUUGAGGUGGCUGGAGUGUGUGUUUGUCUUUAGUGGGGUCUGGCCAGAAGGGAGGUGACCUUCAAUGCUAGGUUCGGGAUUAUGGGUGUUUGUACUCUGGUCUUGUAAUAUUCUUAUAUUUCUGGUGUAGAAAUGACAUUGUUCUAUUUUACAUAAUUAGUUGAGGGUGUUGGGACUAUUUUUAUGCCCUCAGACUUCAGCAUUGCCUUAUAGAAUAGCUUAUACGUGAUAGAUGUUCAACGUUGAGUUGAGUUGAAUUCUGAAAAGAAGGUUUAAUUUUCCCAAGAAUCUAGAAGGCUAGAGUUUUUCUAUGGAAUUAAGUUUUAAAAGGAAAUACAUAAUUUUUAUUGCAUAUGUUAUAAAAGUCUGUAUUGUGGAUAUUCAUUUUUUGUCUUUGUGUCUCCCACCUUGCUUUCCUUACUUAUAAUAUGUAAUCAUUACAGCAAGCAGUCCCUGGAUCAAGGCAGAAUUUGGAAGAUACUUGGCUUCCUCAGUAUCUCUUGUUAAGUUCCUAUUUUUUUGAUAGAACGGUAAUAUUUUUAUACUCUUCUGUGCAGUCUUGUGCAGAUGCAUUCUCAUGCACCUCCUUUCAACCAAAGAACUGACUGUGGCCUAGUGCAGAAAAUCAGGAGACACCUAAGAGCAACCUAUAUAUUAGGUAUAACCUGUUUACAGAUGAGAAAACUGUUAGCAGUUAAAGGACUAAGAUUAUUUAGCUGGUAAGCAAUUGGAAUUACAGCAUAGAUCCUAUGUUAUUUUUUUUCCUUUAUUUUUUAAGUACCCCAAGUUUUACUUAAUGAUUAAUGGUCUAGAGGACAGUGGAAACAAAAACACAAUUUGUGAAAGUGCAGAAAGUGGGCUUUCCCCAUCCACUAAAGGAUGGAAGCAGAUUCAAAGCUUGUAGACUGUGGUGAUACAUGUGGGAAAGUGGGUAGUAAAAGGAAAAACAGAUACUUCAUAACACAUUGCAUAUUAUGUAGAGUCAUUUCAUUCAGCGUGUUUUAAUUUUCAUAUGUUUUUGAUAGUGACAUUGUAAUCUUGAAGGGGAUUUCUCCAUUUGGCUUAAAUUAUUGCUAUUGACUGAUGAUUGUGGUUAGGGUAAGAGUUAAUUUUAAUUAGGGAAGAGUUACUAACAUUUAUUUCUAGGACAUACAGUGAUGGUAAAUUGGGUGUUGGGGGGUCAUUCCUUCAUGUCAACAUGGUUAAUGUGGACCUUGGAGCUGAGUGGACUACAUUUUGCUUUUAUUAAUGCAUCUGAGCUAUGUUUUCCCUUUUUUGUUUUUCCAAUUCUGAUUGAACAGAUCCCCAUUGAAAAAUCUAUAUGUAAACCUAGGAUGCUGGGCUCAUAAACCAUUUCAUGGUAAAUGAUUUGUAUAAAAUUUCAACUAAGUGAAUUUCAUUCAAGCAGUGGGAAUCUUCCAGAUCAAGUUCAUUGCUAGCAAGUGUUGUAUUCUGGGCAAAUUGUCUGUUUCUUUACCUGCAUUCACAGAGCAGUGGUAGUUCAUAUCAUUGUACAUACCCCAUCACAGUUCAUAAACCAGUUUGGCUAAUUACUCUAAAAUUACUGUUUUUGUUUUUUCCUCAACAAUAUGUGUUUAAUUUUUUUGCUCUUAGUAUUAUUAAUAAUAAAUUGCUUUCCCUGGCUCUCAAGCUCUUUAGAGAUCAAACAGAAUUUUUAAGGUGAAAGGAACCCUCAGCUCUGUUGUCUUCUGCUUUUUAUCCACACCCACACAGUCACAUGUUCAUGACUAUGAUAUUUCUCUAUGUUGUUAUUUCUGUAUGCAUAUAAAAAUGCUUUGUGGUGCGUAAAGACAGGGUAGGAUAGAAAUACUGACGCUGACAUUAGAGACAAAAAUAGUGAAUAAAGCUAAUAAACAAUAAAGGGUAUGUUUGUCAAUAAGAUUUGCCUUAGGUAAACCACUGAUUUGCAUUUUACUGGACAUUUCCCUUAAGCAAUAUGAAGCUUCUCCUUUUCCACUUCUGUUUUGCAGUGUCUCCUUUACACCAGCAUCAUACUUAAAAUUCCCUCUAGACUCUGCCCUCCAGUUUAUUGUCAGUCCUUUAUCACUGAGCGAGAACUUUAUUGGAGGCAAUACUGGCUUUUUUUGAAUCAGCAUCUUCACUUCUGCUUCACUGCUUUUAAUUAUGAUGUUGUCCUUGUUUGGAAUUUUUCUCCCUUCUAUCCAAAUUCUGUCCUGAUGAGUCAGCUCAUAUUCCCUCCUUUCAGGAAGCUUUCCUCUUCAGUCCAUGCUGAUCAUGAAGCAAGUUCUCAUGCAUAGACCUUAACAACAUACCAUUAAACUAAAGAACUACUUUCCAAGUAUUGACUUUGCUGUAUGUAGUGCUGUGCAUUUUACAUAUGUUAUGGUGCUAUGUAUUUUACAUGUUAUGGUUAGCCUCACACUUGUGACAGAUGAGGAAAUUAAGGCAUGCAUUGAUUAAGUGAGUUGCCCUAAGUUCAUAUAAUAGCUUCUUUGAAGUAGAACAGAGUUGGGAGCUUCAAAACCUGUGCUCUUUGUACUGUUGCAUGCUGAAAUUCUUUUUGUCUAAUUCCGACUUUGUUAUUGUUGUUGUUGUUAACAACUGAGAGGAUUAAGUAUAAGUCUGGUUUUCCCCAAAUAUGAGGAUCUUUUUUGGACCAAUAUUCAUUUGUACUGCUACCCUAUACAAGGCAUCAUGGGUCCAGUUGUUCAGGAUAAUAAUUUAGCUGUGUUCAAAGCACUUGGGCAGUGCCAGUGUAUACAUUGUUACCUAUAGAAGAGGCAGGAUGAAAUCUAUAGAAGGAGAUUAAAUAAUCACAUGGUUCCAGGGAAGAGAUAAUCAUUUUCAAUGGGAGGAAUUAAGGAUGGUACUAGGAGUUAGCAUUUCUCCUGAGAUUCAAUGAAAGGACUGAAGUUGGAAGAGAAGAUUAUGUUCAGAGUUUAGACUUUGGAGAUGUUGGAGGUUGUGGUUCAAGUUCUUAACAUCACCACUUACUAGUCAAGUAACCAUGGGGAAAUUAGCUAAUGUCUUGACCUUAGCAGCAAUACCCCUAGAAUUGGUGAGAAGACUGGGGUGGGGCUGGGGAGGGUAUAUGAAUCUUUUAGCAUUGUGCUUACCCCAUUAUGCACUCAGUAAAUGUUAGCCCCCAAAAUUAAUUUUUUUUUAAUGAGGAAGAAACUUGAACAAAGGCCUAGAGGAAGCCUGGAGGGUAGGUAUGGAGUUUGUAGAAGAGUUUGGACUUUUGGGGACUAAAUAUAGUGGACAUAGUAGGCUAAGCUUUGAAAAGCAGGUUGGCAAUUAUGGAUUCGGUGAAUCCUUUCAUUCUCAGACUGCUAUUCUCUUCUACUUUAGACAAUGAGAAGUGCUAUUAGAGUUUUGGUUUAGGUGUAGCUUUGUUUUAAUAGAGAAGUAAUAUGUUAAAACCUGAAUUUUAGGAAAAACCUUACAACAAUGGGAAGAAUAGAGUGAGGAUGAAUGCAGGGGUCUAGGGGACCUGCCUAUGAUGCAGAGAUGGGGGAGUGCUGAUAAGAGUCGAAACCAACUUAGUGAUUGGGACAGAGAGGCAGCUUGUAAGAAUAGACAUGCCACCCAUUAUUUCAGCUCCAGAUCAUGUGUACCAAUAGCAAAAUGUUUUUGUGCUUUUUAGAUUAUACAGUUCUUAUAAGUUAAUUAUAAAGUUUAAGUAAUAAAACAAUCACAAUUGUUAUGGUUAGAAUAUGAGGUGUCCCCCAAAGGUCAUGUGAUAGUGUAGAAAUGUUUGAUUAGAUUAUGAGAGCUAUAACCUACUUGGUGGAUUAAUCCAUUGAUGGAUUGAUAAUUUGAAUGGACUAAUUGAGUGCUAACUAUAGGCAGGUGGAGUGUGGCUGGAGGAAGUAGGUCACCUAGGGCAUGCUUUUGGUGAUUGUAUUUUGCCUGGCUCUUCGAUUGCUUUCUCUGCUUCUUUGGACUCAGCAUCCUGUCUGCCAUGAGCUGAGCAGCUUUCUUCCACCAUAUCCUUCUGCCAUGGUAUUCUGCCCCAUCUCAGGCCCAGAACAAUGGAUUCUGCCGUCUGUGGACUGAAACUCUGAGCCCCAAAUAAACUUUUCCUCCUCUAAGUUGUUUUUGUCAGGUAGCUCAGUCACAGUAGUGAAAAGCCAACUAACACAUAAUUCCAACAGAGAUAACCACUAUAUACUUUAAAUCCCUUCCUUUAGAUGUCCUUCAUACCCAGUAUUAGUUAAAUAAUAGUUUAUUCUAGCCUUUAUAUCAUUUAAAGUCUAUAUAGGUGUGGUCACUGUUAUUAUUUUGAGGUAAUUUGCCUUUAUAUGUGUUUGAGUCUGUUUAUAUUUUGUUGAACAAAUGGAAGAUUUUGUUGUUCAUUUUGUCUGUUUUUGGAAAUUCACAUAUUGAAAGGACCUAAAUUUCCAGAUUUCUGUAGACUUUCUUUUUUCCAUGUUAAUAACUUUAAAAAACAGCAACUUUGACAUUGUCUUGGUUUUAUUUAUUUUUUUUUCAAAUGUAUUACCUAAAAAUGCCUAAAAUUUUGUUCUGGUUUAAUUUUUAUUUUGAAGUGUUAGACUUACUGAGCAAAAGAGUACACAUUGUUCUCAUAUACCCUUCAUCCAGCUUUUUAUAAUCAUAGCAUCUUCCAUGACUAGUACAUAUAUCAAUACUAAGAAAUUAACAGUGUCAUAAUACCAUUCACAAAACUACAUACUUUAUUUAGGUUUUUCCAGUUGUUUUACUAUCAUCCCUUUUUUUUUUGUCCCAGUAUCCUGCAUUGCAUUUAGUCAUCGUAUCUCCUUAGUUAACUCUCCCAUCCUGUAACAUUUCUUCUCUUUCAUAACCUUGACCCAGUUUUGUUGUUGUUGUUGUUGUUGUUGUUUUUUGGGGGGAGGCGUACUAGGAGUACCAGGGCCACUCAACCACUGAGCCACAUCCCCAGCCCUAUUUUGUAUUUUAUUUAUAGACAGGGUCUCACUGAGUUGCUCAGCAUCUCACUAUUACUGAGGCUGGCUUCGAAUAGCGAUCCUCCUGUCUCAAUCUCCUGAGCCACUGGGAUUACAGGUGUGCACCACUGGUCCCAGCAUCUUGACCCUAUUGAGAAGUAUACACUUAUGCUUUUAAAAAUAAUGAAUUGUUUAAUUUGAAGUCCACAUGUAGGGGCCUAUAUGAUGUUUAAUUUCUUAAAAAUGAUGUAAAACAGAUCUAUGAUAUUAUGGUUUCAAAAUUAAUUAGAAAUUAGUUAGAAAAAUAAUUUAAUAAACUUGUUUUCCCCAAAGUACAAAGUUAAAGGCCUUAUUGAUGUAAUGAUAGGAAAGUGAUAUUUUAAGAAGCAACCAUACUAUAUGACCAUAGGGUGAAUUAUGACUUUAGCAUAUCUCGAUUUGUCAUGACUCUAGGUUUACCUCACAGAUGAUAGCCCCAGCUUUGAUUUCAUGAAAGACAUGUGUGAAGCAGUGUCAAAGAUUGUAAAUGCAUUCCAAAAUUGAGCAGAAGUUUUAGGAUAGUGGAAAGCCCUACACUUUGUAAACUCAUCUUCAGAGAGGCACGAAUAUUGACUUUUUAUUGGCCAAUUCUGCUUUGGUGCUUGCAUUUUAUUUAUGAAAAAGUGCAUCAUGCCAGAGGGGUACAUGCUUGGUACUUCAGGCCUGUCCCUGAAGGUAUACCUCAGAGGCAAACAUAGACAGUGGAAGUACGAGUCCUCUUUGUAAAAAUUAGUGACAUUUUGAGGUUCGUUUCUAGAAAGUAUUCUCCAGUGUUUGAAGUCUGUGCGGUCAGCUGUGGAAAACAAGUGCAGCCUCCAAUUGCUCUGUUUGCACGUCCAGUUGGAUACAGUUGGAUACAGUUGGAAAUACACUGGUAUUUCCUUGAUCUUGCCCAUAGUGCCCCUGUUUUUUCCUCCUGCAGUUUCAGUUUUGGUGUGUUCAGAUGCCAUGUCACAUCCUAGGAGAACAGUCUGUGAGUCGCCAGGGGGUCUGACAAGUUGAGCCACUCAAAACCCUUUAAUUCCAAGUAUCCUUGAACUGAGGAAGCAGCUCAAUAAAUCUCUAGAACAAGUUUUCACAACUUAACCAUAUGACCGUAUUAGAAUAAAGCCAGCUUCUGUGCGCCACUUCAUCUUCUUCCAAAUAUUUCUUGAAUUUGUGAUGAUUAAGGUGAUAGCCUCAAGAGUCACAAUCUCAAUCUGUCACUUCAUCACCUCACGCAGUGAACAUUCAUUCAGUAAGUAGAAAUUGAGCACGUCUAGCCAGGGACUAUUCUAGGUACUGUGGAUACAGCACAGAACACCGAGCUUCAGUAAAAUGUACAGCAUAGCAGAUGAAGAUCUGUACUGCUGUGAAGAAAAUUAAGUUAGGGAAGGGGUGACAACUCUGUGUGUGUGUUUGUAUGUUUGCAGUUUAUAGCAGGCUAUUUAGGAAAAGCUCCCUGAGGUGAAGGGACAGGCCAGCUAGAUAUCCAGGAAAGGAGCAUUCCAGGGUGAGGGAAUAAAUGUAAACUUCAGGAGAUGAAAAUAUCCUCAGAGGCCAAAGGGGUAGCAGGAAAGCCAGAGUGGAUGAAAUAGUGGAAGGAAGGGACUAGGUCAGAGGUGGUUGGUGCCAGAACACUGAGGAUAUUGUAAAUCAUUACAAAAAUUUGGGCAUUUGCUCUGAGCAAGGCAGGAAGACAUUGAACAGGGGAGCAACAUGCUCUGGCUUUCUGAUCGUGAGUCUCUCACUUUAUUAAAAUGAGUGCUGAGGUGUCAUGGGUAGAAGCUGACAGAAGGCAGUGACAGUUAGAGGUAAUGGUGGCCUGAACUGGGGUGGCUGUAGCAGACAGGUGGUGAGAAGUGGUCAGUUUCUCAUCAUAUUUGGAAGACAGAGCCAUUAGCAUUUCCUGAUGACUUGCACAUAUGCUGUGAGGAAGUGGCAGUCAGGUUUUUGGUCCUGAGGAGGUAGAAUUACUGUUUUCCUGAUGGGGAAGGCUGUUAUGCAUCCUGAACAAGAGGGAGGAGGCUGCGAGUGGUCUGCCUCAUCUCAGGAAUACACUUCAGAAAUUUGUACCCCCUUCUCUUCUCUAUAGCCACUCUAUCGAGGAUUAAUGACUUAAAUUUUCAGUGUCUAAAUCAAGUGUCUUAAGUUCCUUAGUGGCAAGUACUCAAGUUUGUUAGCAAACUGGACUAAAAACCUUGGAUCUCAAAUAGGCUACACUUUGGUAAGCUUAGGUGGCAUUAGACCCAGUGGCUUAGUGAGGAAUAUAGAUGUUUCUGCUGCCACACCUUUUAGUAAACCUGGAAAAAUAUCAAGCAAAUGAAGAAAGAACAAAGUUGAAACCUCAAAAAUAACUUAAAGUCACCCCACAUUUGCAAAAUCAGUUACUGAAAACAGCAGGGCUGAUGUGGGAAAUAGAAAUAGGAUAGAACACUGAAAACCGAGGAACGGUAACCAAGAAGUUCUAAUAACGGUACCAAUAAACAAAACACAAAAGAACACAGCUAAUUAUUGGUGUUUACUCUGGUGUCAUAGGAAGUUUUAUGUAGCCUUAAAUUCUGGGGCUUGUGCUUUCUUUGACAAUUGUCUACUACCAUUUUUUAUGAAAAGUAAAAAGUCGAUUUGGCAUAUCGCCAUUGUCUUAAUACAAGGGGGAAUGCCUGUCCGCUUCCUCAUCUGCAUUCAUAGCUUUGCCAGAUAACUUAAAAGAACAGAAGUGUAGUGGUUUAAAGCCAAUGAAACAGUCACCAGUUGGACCAAAGUAAGUUACUUCUGUUGAUUUUCAGUUUUCUUUUUUCCUUGAGAUUCUCUUUUCUUGCUAAGGCUUUCUCUUUAAUAAUCAUGAGGUAACUUGCCUUGGCUUGAAAGUAUUACAUGCUAGGGGGAAAAAAAAAUCACAUGAGCUGAUUUGACCUCUCUGUUAUUCAGACUCCAUUCAUUCACAUGUUUGCCAGUCAUGUAUGAGGUAAUGCUCAUCCAGGAAGCACAGUGUGGCAGAGCAGACUGCAUUGCUGCCCUGGGGCUCCUUAUCUGACCCAAAGUUACGACCAAAUUCAGAUCUGCUUCUUUAAAGAUAGUCUAGAAUUUUUUUUUAAUUAAAUAGGUAUUCAGUAAGAAACACCCUAAAAUCAAUUUGACAGUGUACUCAAAAAAGUGAAAAAAACCCAACAUUUAUUUCUUUAAAAAAAUCAUUUGAAGACUAGAAAGUUAAAACAUCUUUAAGAAGAACCACUUGUUUAAGAGCUAAUGUCACACUUGACAAUGACAAAUAGAGGAUUUUUUUGUUUACAUUAGGAAUGUAAUUACCUAAGCCUUCUAUCAUCAUUAACAUUGUUCCAAAAGAUCUGACUAGUGCAAUAAACCAUAAAACCAAAGUAAGUAUAAUGAUCAGAAAGGAGAUAAAUCAUAGAAAACAAGAAAAUCAACUAAAAAAUUUUAGUAGGUUCAUGAAAGAUAAUACCGUAGUAUAAAUAUAAGGAGCCAUUCUGAAUCAACAGACCAUUGGUAAGGUAUUAUGUUAGAUAACUCCCACUCUGUAUUAAAAUAAAUUCCGUGAAACCUUAAGCAAGUAGAUGAGAACAAUAUCAAAUAGCUGAAGAGCUUAAAAGCAGUGAGAAAAGGUCCAAAGAUACAUCAAUUUGGCUGUACAAAACUAUAUUUCUAGAAACUGUAUUUCUAAAAAACUCAGAAAUGGGAUGGCAAACUGAGGCAUAGCUCAUUUCAUAACCAGCUCUCCAAGGGAAGGAAAAAGUACACAGAUUUGCUGAUUUCCAUGAUGUGAAGGCUCCCACCAUGACUGAUUUCAAGUGAACAAGUUCAAGAGCAGGAGUUGGCACAGACUCUUGCACAGUUGGAGCUCACUAACUGGCUGAAGCAUAACAAGUGGCAGAGCACGCUGAGAAGCCACUUGUUAUUACUAGCCGCUCAUUUGGUAACCCCAUCUUGUAUGUGCCAUCUUAGGAUGGGUUGUUCCCUUGUGGUCUGGUCUUUAGUUCUAAGGGAAGAUUAGCUUAUUCUCUAGAGCAACUUUGUGGAAAGAAGGAUUUAAUUGGAUUUCAGAGAUGUGGAGACUUUGAAUAUGGCAGCCAUGUUAUUAGGAGUUGUGUAGUUAUUUGAAGGCUGUGAUUGAAAAUCAUUAUUUGGGAAGAUUAUCUGGAGACUAUGAUUGAGAAUUAUUAGUUCAGGGAGUACAGAGAAAACCAGUUGGCAUGAAUUGGGAUAGAGGUACAGAGAGGAAAGAGGGGGGAAAAUGUACAUAUUUUUAAGGGGUUUAUGAAGAUUAAUCUUACAUUAUAAUGAAAGUACCUGUAUACGUAUACAUAGAGGGUUGACUGGUGGGCAAGUGGGGGUGGCCAGAAUUGCAUACUAACCUGUUAAGGUCUGUCUGAGCUUGGAAGCUAGCUUUUGGACAAAUGGUCUCUUAUGAGUAGGAUUUUUUUUUUACUAUCAUAAUUAAAGAUAAUAUAUUUCCAUAGAAUGAUAAACUUAGAUUUCAAAUUCAUGCAAUAAGUAUAGAUAGUAUUUUAGUAUCUUAUAAGCCUUAUAAAUUUUUUUGUUUGUUUUAAGUAGUUAUACAUGACAGUAGAAUGCAUUUAUGCACUUUGAUAUAUGAUAUAUAGAUGGUAAAAUUUCUCAUUUUUUUGAUUGUACAUAUUGUAGAAUCACAUCAGCACAGCCAUAUAUGUACAUAAGGUAAUAAUGAAUGUUUCAUUCUGCUAUCCUUCUUCCUAUCCCCAUCCCCUCCCCUCUCUUCACUCCCCUCUCCUAAUCUAAAGUAACUCUAUUUCUCCCUACCCACCACCUAUUGUGAAUUAGCAUCUGCAUAUCAGAGAAAACACUCAGCCUUGGGUUUUUUGGGAUUGGCUUAUUUCACUUAGCAUGAUCUUCUCCAACUCCAUCCAUUUAGAGUGGGAUGUUUUAAUGACUCACUGGGUAUGCAGACUUACAGAUGGUUUUUUUAAAGCACUUAUUUAUUCCAGUUUGGUCCAUUAACAUUCAUUUUUCUUUGUCAAUUUUUUAAAGAACAUAUUUAGUAUCAGUCAUUUACAGGGGUAUUAAUUUGAUGAUUCAGUGUUCCUUCUCACCAAUUUGGGUGAUUCUGGUAUUUUUCUGUAAUCAUUUUAUGGAUCUUUACCUGGUUUUCAUUACUUCAAAUUCUGAUGUGCCCAUGUAUUUUCCUGCCAUUACUGAUUGUGGAACCACUGAAUCUCAAGGUUGGAAAGGAUUAUAAUUGUCUUCUAGUCGAGCUGUCAAUUUGAUAUUUGAAUCUUCUGUUAUUUUCUUUUCUAAUUUAGACUUAAAUAAUUGAUUGGGUCUUAAUUUUCAAUAGUUGGGUUUUAUCAAGAAAUAGGAUUUGGAGACUUAGUGACCAUAUGUCAUCCUCACACUGAGUAGUCAUUUGGACAUAACCAGCUGGUCAUUCUUUGGGGUAGCUGAAGGCCACUGGUUUAUUUAAUGCUGAACUUUUUGCCUGCUAUUCAGUACCCAUGGCUGCAGGGUGCUAUGACCUUAAGCUCUACACCUAGGCAGCAGGUAAGAGUAUAGGUGGACUUAGGACCCAAAUCCUAUGGCCAGGCUAAACUCAGCUCUGUCAUUUUCCUGGGGUUUCCUCCCUGGUCUGGUCUAUCUAAGGGCAGAGAGAGGGUAUUAGAGGUUGACUGUGGAGAAAUAUAACCUCUUUGCUUUCAAAGUUAGCUAAGGCUGGUUUGCAAGUCCAGGAGCUGCCUGUUUGUAAAUGCUAGGGGAACUUCUCUAGCUGUGUUCUAAAUUAUAGCUCUUCAAUAUUUUCUGCCUAAAGUGUUUAAAUGGAGAGUACUUGUUGUGGUUCAGGUUUUACCAGAGAAUGCCAGCUGACAGCUGCCAAGAGGCUUUACUAAGGAUCCUUGACCUUACAACUCAUUAAGCCCUGGGGCUUUGGAGGCUAUAAUUUUGCUAGUACAUUUAGUGUGCAUCCUUCUGUUAAUAGUAGAUUCAUGUAAAACAGCGUCGUAAGACACGUGUCAACCCAGAAGCCUAAUUUAUUGAAGAUUUAGCUGACGUGCAGGAUAGAAAAAUUUUGUCAGCUUGGCUAGCAUGAAGAUAAAACCAAAUCAUUAUUGAGAAUUAUUUUAUUUUCUCUCUCUCUUUUAUUUUUGGUAGUACUGAGGAUUGAACUAGAGCCUUGCACAUGCUAGGCAAGCAUUCUACCACUGAGCUACACCCCCAGCCUUUUAUUUACUCUUGAUAGAGAAGUAAUGUGGUUUUUAAAAAUCCAGUUCAAAUAUGUAUCUGAUCUUACCUCAUGAGAUAAUGAUGGUUAACAGCUUAGUAUGUGUAUAUUCUUUCAGACCCUGUGUAGAUGCAGUAGCCUCUGUUGCUCCAUGGUUUUAUUUUUCUGUAGCCCUCAAGUUUUGUUAUACAUACAUGCUUGUCAACUUCUGGGAAGCCAGAGGCCAGUCAGAAGGUGCCUGAUGUCAUGGGAUGAGAAGAAGGGGAACAGAUUGGAUGAUUCAUGGUGUAGCAGCAACUCAGUUGCCCAACUGUCUACUCAGUAGUAAUGACACUUCUGCAUGAGUCUGCUCCCCUCAUGCCCCUUUCCCAAGACAGUUUGGAAGGGCAAUAUCAAGGUUGAUUUCUCAGACUUCCAUUUUUCAGUAUAAAUGAUCAAGUCCAGAUCCUGGCACCUAAUAAGUACUAAUAAAUAAAUAGUCCCUUUUUUUUUUUCUGAGAAGCCUGAUCUUUCUGUAACUGUUUAUAUCACAGUCCAGUUUUAUUUUGGCCUAUUUUUCCUUUGAUCUCUUUAAGAUGACUCUCCCCCCCAGCUCUACUGUGAUCUAUUUUAUGAUGUAUUUUAAUUCUCUGUAUCUUUAUUCACCUUUUACCUUUGUAAUGACUGCAGAGGAACUGAACUUUUCUAUGAAAACCAGCACUUUAUCUCAUUAUUCAAUAACUUCUGAUUUCUCAGCAAAUGCGUUUCUUCAUUAAAUUUCAUUACUACCCAACUUUUUAUUUUAGUUAAAGCUCUUCUGCUUUUACCUUAUCAUAUACCUGAUUUGAUAGCUAUAUGAAAAGUGUUUUGCAUGGAGGUGUUGUGAAAUUAAGAGAACACUACAUGUGAAGUGGCCAACAUACCCCUUUUCAAGUAUUUUUAUGUGAUUUAUUUUAUAUAUAUUACAACUUUAUUGACAAGUAAUUGCACAUUCUACAUGUAAUUCACCCAUCUAAAGUGUCCCGCUCAGUGAUUUUUUUUUUAGUAUAUUCACACAGUUCUGUUAACUAUCACCACAGUUUUAAAACAUUUUUAUUGCUCCCAAAAGUAUCUUGAUAUCCAUUUACUGUCAUUCCUUAAUUCCCCUUAACUUUACCCAGCCCUAGGCAAGUUUUAUUCUGUUUUCUGUCUCUAUAGAUGUAGCUAUUCUGAGUAUUUCAUGUGGAAGGAACUAUAUGACAUCUGGUCUUUUGUGUCUGCUUCUUUCACGUAGUGUUUUCACAGUUCAUCCAUGCUGUGGCCUGCAUCACUGCUUCAUUGGACCACACUAUAUUUAAUGGUCCAUACUAUAUUUAAUCACUUAUACAUUGAUAGAUAUUAUUUAUGAUUUUUUAAUAGUAAAAUAGCACUUCACAUUAUUAUAUUUUUUUUAAAUACAAUCAUUUUACAAAACAUAGAAAAAAGUUACAGGUGCCUAGGGAAAACAAUAGUUUGUUAAUUUGUUUCUACCCGUUAAACAUCACUGUUUUCUUUAAAUAUUAAAAAUGAUAUUUGGACAUUUGGAAAUAAUAUCAUGCUUGGUUAUGUUCUAUAAUUUUCCUAUAACAAAAAAUUAACAAUGUGAAAAUAUAAUUUAGAUUAAUUCAGCUACAGAAUAUAACAUACUGUGGUAUCUUUCCUGUAAUUCUUAUGCUUCCAAUUUUUAAAUUUUUCCUUCUCACUUCCACACAGAUCAUUCCACGAUGUUUUAUAUGCUGAGGACAGUAAACAUGGCAGAGCAGAGUAGUCAUGGAUCCUAGAUUCCAACUGCCAGCUUGACGUCCCUCUAGUAGAACUUAUUGUAGGCUGAGUGGCUUGGGGCAUGUUACUUGGUCUCUUUGGCCGUUUCCUUAUCAGUAAGAUGGGAAUAAUCCUGAUAUCAGCCUUAUUGCUUUGUUGUGAAGAUGAAAUGGGUUAAUAAAGCAAAGAGUCAGGUACAUGGAAUAUGUUCAGUGAUAUUAGCUAUAAUCUGCAGUUUCAUAUGGUAAUAGUGUCCCGUAAGUACUUUAAGUGCAUAUAUUAAAACAGAUUAUUUUGUUAAUAUUCCUAAUUAUGUUUGAUCCAAACUUUUUCCACCUUCAAUAAAAUAUGUGCAGUUUUGUUUAUCAUUUCACCAACCAUCACCUGUAAACUCAAAUGGAUCAUGUUUUAAAAGCGAGAGAAAAAAGCAGAACCUGGAGAUGAAGGAGGUAUUAGCAAGAGUAGAGGAGCUGGAAGGUGAAAUAAAGUGACCUAAUCUCUUAAGCUCCAACAUGCCUUCAUUCAUGUGAAGAUAAUUAACUAUUUACUGAAUAAGUGGAUAUUUUAGUAGUUUGGUUGGAUGUGGGAUUCAGAAUUGGAGUUUCCUUCAAUUUUCAUUUAAAAAGUGAGACUUCUUAUGUAUUCAGUAUCAAAACUUCAUUGUACACUUUACAUAUAUACAAUUUUUAUUACUCCAUUAUGUCUCAAUAAAUCUCAGGGAAUUUUUAAGAUAUAAGGAAGGCAUUUCAGUUGCUCUUAUUGUAUUAUUAUUUAAAAGUCACUGUUUUUUUAAUCACAGUUUUCCAUACAACUGUACGCUAAUUCAUUUCUGCUGGUGGUAUCUCCUUUACACAUUUUAUUUAGUUAUUUUUUCAUGAGAGAAAAAUUUUGUCCUCUUUAUUGCAGUUUUUUUUUUUCUUUACACAUUUUAGAAUGUAUAUACGGUAUGGGAAUAAUUUAAAGAUUCUGAGAUGAAUUUUGUGGGAAUUUACUUUUUUUGAAGACUCACAGGGAAGACUUUCUCCUAGCUCUUUGGAAAAGGGCAUUAACAACCAUUUAGGGCCUGGUCUUAGCUAGAAACUUAAAACCUCUUCAAAGGGAUUGUUCCUUACCCUACAAAUAGAGAGCCCAGGUCAGCUGAUCACACCCCUGUGAAGAACAAGAGCUAGGACUGAAACCAGGUUUGGGCUCUUUUUCAUCACUGCACCAGUUUGACUUUCUAAGGUUGCCUCUUCUCCCAUUUUUCUUUAAGAGGGGCCUUGCUCUGCCAAGGUGAGUCUCAGCAUACAGUUUCUAAUGAAGUUUGAAAUGUUCUGAUCUCCCAUCAAUAAGUGUCAGGUAGAAUGACUUAAACAUUUUGAGGGGGCGGGGGGCAUUUCAUACUCUAUUUCUUUAUAGCUGUCAAUAUAGUGAGGAAGUAGAGAAAGAAUAAUCUGGAGAAAUGGAAGCCAGUAUAUUCAUAUUCUCAUAUUCAUAUUCUCUCUCUCUCACAUAAUUAAAUAGCAUUAAUAAUAAUCAAAAUAGGGAAACAUUAUAAAUUAACUUUAAAAAUUACACCAUCUCUUUCCAAUGCUUUUUUACCCUUGUAUGUACUGUUUUACUUAGCUGUAUGACCAGAUCAGAGAGAUAAUUUUAUGCCCUGUUUUUUGCCAUAACUUUUUAUCAUAAUCAAUUUUAUAUGUUACUAUAGAGCUUUCAUAGUUAUUUUUAUGAUUGUAUAAUAUCCCACUCUCAUGUUUAACUGUUUUCUAUUAUUGUGUAAUUAAUUUCUAAUUAUUUCUCAUACAGCCCUGCAUUGAACAUACCAUGUGCAGCUAUUAUAAUGCUGUAGAUUAUUUCCUUUGGUUUUGAAACAUAUUGCUAAAUUAAAAGGGAAUGUCUAAUUUGUGCUACUUUCAGUUUUCAGCAUGGUCUUAACCAGUGUUGCCAGUCUUUGCUUCUGAAAUUUGUUCAGUGGGAGUAGCAUCCUAACCAUUGAAGGAUAGGGGCUAGGGGUUAAAGGUUGCAGUAAGAUUAUGACCAAAUAAAUUUUGGAGAGUUUGUGAUUUAAAGGCUCAAAGAAGUCAUGCACAAAAGACUAGACUUCAUUAGCUUGCAUUUCUAAAACUUAUUUAAAUAUGGAACUUAUUAUUCUCAUAAAAAUGAGCAAACAUCUUUGGGAAAUGCCAUACUGUAUGUUGAUGGUAAAAGGAGCCAGCCUCUAGUGCAAUAGGAUACUUUUUAGGUAAUUGCUCUCAUGCACAAGAGGCAGUAAGGAUGUCUGCCCUAAUAUCUUGCCACCUGACCCUCAAGAAGCUCAUAAUCUAUUGGGGAAACAAUAUAGAUGAUAGAUGAUGGUGUUUAUAUAUAUAUAUAUAUAUAUAUAUAUAUAUAAACAAACAUAUAUAGAAUGAUGAUUACUGUGACAAUGGUUUAGACAUAGUGUGCACAAAGGAAUAGAAAGGAAGGGAACCUAAUCCACGUUUUGUGUGUUCCUAAGUUAUUUUCCAAAUCACAGAAGGGAUUUGGUUCUCUCUAGAGUUUUUAGGUCACUGCCUUAGAACUGAACGUAUGUUUAUUUCUAUGCAUGACUACUGUGGACUAAACACAUCUUCAUCAACUAAGACAGUACCUGAUUUUGAUUUAAAACAAAAUUACUAAUUUCCAACCACUCACCUGCUAUGAUCAGUGUAACUUUUGUAGAAGGCAUGGAGCCUUCAUAAGUCAGUUUUUAUGUGUUCCAUCCCGGAAAGGAAGUUAGAUUGAAGUAAGGAUAUUAGAAUGGAUAUCCAUGAAAUAAAAAAUACAAUAGUAAAACCAAGAAAAUUUAGGAAACCUAUUAGAACUCUGGAGACUCACUCUAAAAAAAUAAUAGGUAGGAGGUUCAAAGUAGAGCUUUGGUCCUUCCAGUCUGUCUGCAGCGUCGUCAGGUUCUGAAGAAGUUUUGACACUUGUAAGAUGUGAUGGGAAAAAAUGAAGCCCAUAAAAACCAUAAUUUUCGAAAGUUAAAUAGCAAUUUUAAAUUUAAAGGACUGCUUACCACUGAUUCAGGAGAAAGACAAACUAGAAAUACUGCCUGAAGAUUGCAGGCAGGACUUGUUUGUGUGAUUUUGAUGGUGUUUCAUUGAUGAUGGAGGCAGAAGAUGUUAUUAGCUAUGUUCAGAGCAGGAUUAACUCAACUUCUGCCCAGUAAUUAUCAUGGGUUUAUGUUCAAGAGAGAGAGUCGUUGAGAAGUCAAAAGGCCCACAUUAUUUUUAUGGGAGUUGGAAGAAGAAUGAAGUCAUUGCCUACAUAUCUCCCUGUGAUCUUCCUAUCAUGGUGUAAAUGCACAACUCAUAAAGCAGCUGUAGUUGCCAUUUCCUCCCUUUUCCUUAAAUGGAUGAAUGUGAUUUAGCGUAAAGUUCACGAACUAAGAAAAGCAGUUGGACACAAAUGCCUGUAUCUUUCCACUCAAUGUAUCUUAUUACCUUUAAAUGCUUGUUAAAAUCAUGCUUUUAUUUUUACCUUUCCAGUAUAAAUUGCCAUCACCAGGCUUAGCAAAUGAAACAGAUUACUUACAGUAACCUGUACGAAGUUAUGUACUCCAGGCCCUUGACGGAGCUUUCCCAAAGGACAGGCAAUGUCUUUCAAAAAAUCCUAUUACAAGAUUUUAUUUGCAGGUGUGAUGAACAGAAAGCUGCAAACCUCCAUGUUUUAUUGCUACCCAACUUCAUCAUGUCUGCUCACUCUAUUGAAAACUGUGGCAAAAAUGAUACACAUCAGCUCUUUUAUUCUUUUGUUACUACUCUGUGCAAAUAAAACUGUAUUGGAGAAUUUAAUGAAGCAGUAUGUCCUUGGAGGCAGCUUUGGAGAUUCUCAGUGUACAACAAUUUGUCUUUAAUACUGUAAAACAGAUUGGCAGGACCAAAAGUUAGUCCUCACAGAUUGGCCAAUGUUUGCCACAUAUGUAUGUGCUCAAGUCACAUAAGUAGCAGGGACCUUGGAGAUAGAGGCACUCAGUGACCAUUCCAGUAGCUUUAGUCUGUACCAGGAAGUGGUUGGGUUAGUGAAAACUGCAGAACAGCUGUGGAACUGUGAGGCUGUUUUAGAAAUGAUCUGUUUACCCAGGAAAUAAAGACUGAUACUCAAGAAAAAAAAAAUUGAAUUGAGGGUUAAUUAUUCAACAGAUUACCCAAUGCUAUGUCAGAAUACUUCUGGGGAUCUGUGGUAGGCAAGAGGUCACAUUUGAGCUUGCUUUAGCCUUCACAGGCAUAGUGGGCCUUUUGCUGGAAUCUGGAAAGGCAGCAGUAAUGGACCUGUGCUACAAAGAUCUGGGCACACAGAACGUUGGCAUUCGUGAACUUGUCAUCGGGUGUCAGCUUCAUGUUAUGUGCAAUUCUUGACCCAUCAGCUUAGCUCUCCUUGCUGCUAACCUGUAAGAAUACAAGCAUGUGUCACUGACCUCAUCUCAAGGAUUAUAUAUAUAAAUAUGUACUGGGUAUUGAAGCCAAAGGUGCUCUACCACUGAUCUGCAUCCUAGCCCCUUUUAUUUUUUAUUUUGAGACAAGGUCUUGCUGUGUUGUCCAGGCUGGACUUGAACUUGUGAUCCUCCUGCUGUAGCCUCCUGAGUCACUGGGAUUCAGUGUGUGCACCACCACGACUGGCAUAAGGAUAAUCUUAAUUCUGCUUAAAGCUCUAAGCUUCAGUACUUUUUUUUCCCUUUUUUAAUCAGUAAUAAAUAUUUGAAUAGCUUCCAAUUGAUGAAGAAAAGUGUAUAGGAAGUGCUGUCAUUGUGAAUUUCCAGCUCAAAUGAGGUUGGAAUCAACACCAGUUUGUCCUUUGUUUGCAGGCUUGACCCUGCCUGUCUACCACUUUUCUUCUUUUGGAUCAGCCUCCCAGGCUGCCAUUUUUUGUUACUUGAAUGUAGAAGAAAACAGUUCUCUGGCUUAUGCUGGGGGAAUGACAAAGGAGUCAUUUAGCAUGUCAGAAAUUCCGAGUUGUAGCACUCUUGAUAUCUGUGGCCAGAUAGUACUUAACCAGGGUUAAUAGAUAUCUCACCAGUGACAUCUAUGUGAAAAUGUAGCUUGGUAAAUACAGCCCUAUACUAGUUAUGUUGGAAACAAAGGAAGUUAUUUUUCCUCAUUUCAAAGACCUCUUACUAACUGCAGCCAUAAAAUCUUUAAGUGUAUAAAGAAAUUUAACACAAAGUGAGAAAUGGUUGAUUAAAAAAAAAAAAGAAAAACAGCUUAAUGCUCUAUAUGCUCUAGGAAUACAUUUACUACUUAACAUUUUUUUAAUGGAACCACCGCCAUCCCCAGUAUUGGGGAUUGAACCCAGAGGCACUCAACCACUGAGCUACACCCCCAAGGUGCAAAUUGUGCAGGCUGACCUUGAACUUACAAUCCUCCUGCCUCAGCCUCCUGAGUAGCUGGGAUUACAGGCAUGCACCACCUCACCUGGCUCUGAGUAGAAAAAUUCUUAUUUGGCAGUCAAUAUUUCCUCACCACAGUUUGCAAAAAUUUUUAGUGUGUUUUGGGGCAAACCACACAUUCUAUUUUAGACAUUUCAGUGUUUGCCUCAGAAUAUAAGCUGUAAAAGUUUAUAAGGCAAUUUCAACAGAUCUCAGAAAUGUUUACUUAAUGGCUCCCCAUCUCUUGUUUGUGCAGUACCUCUUACGUAUCUCCAUUUUGACAUUGUCCAUGAUAUCAUAGUACUUGGUUUGUGUCUUUCCCACUAAACUAGAGCUCAGUGAAGGCAGGGACUAUCUUACCCUUCUUUGAAUCUCAAAUAUAGGCAUUUCUUUCAUGCGAUGCUUAGUGGUGAUUUAAAGAACCAAAGAAAUGCUUAAGAAUAUUAUCUGAAAAUCAGUUAACUGAGAAUAAUUGACUUAACCUUUUCGUAGCACAUUUCCUGUUAUUUUGGAACCUUGCCUACAAAAACCUGGUGUAUCAAGGAAAGAUUCAGAGCAUUAGGUAACAUUACCAUAACAAUAUUUUGAGCAGCUUUAUACCUCUGUCUUAAUUAGGAGGAAGUAGUCUAUAGAUAGUGUGCAUAAAAAGAAUACAAAAAUGGGGCAGGGAGUGUUCACAGUCUUUGCCUUUAGAUAUUAUCUGGGUUCCAGGGCUUUGCACCUUGUGUGCCUCCAUACUUGAGACCUAUUUGACUCUUUUUGUCUUAAGUCUGGAUCAUUGCUUUGCCUGUCUGAUUCAGAAUCAAAGCUGCCAGACUUUUUUCUAUGUAAUCAUCCCCUGGCCUUGGCCCCCUUUACUUGCCCUGUUGUUGCUGAUGCCUUCCAGUGACAAUCAACUUGACCUAAUUGGUAAUGACAUAUCACUUACCAUACUUCUGUGUGUGCAUAUUAUCCAUAAAUAAGACACAGUUCUUAACAACUGCAUCUUCAUUUGAAACAACAUAGAAAGUUAGGUUAAAACUAUUUACAGCCAUGGGUGUGGUGUCAUAGGGUUAUAAUCUCAGCUGCUUGGGAGGUAAAGCAGAGAGGUCACAAAUUUGAGUGCAGCCUUUGUAUAAAAUAAACAUCCUAGGAAUGGGACCCAAGUCUAAGCAUAAAAUUUCUUUAUGUUUCAUAUGUACCUUGCACACCUAUCCUGGAGUUAAUUUUGUACAUCUUUUAUAAGUUUGUGCAUGAAACAAGGUUUCAUGGUGUGGAAAUUUACUUGUGGCAUCAUAUCAAACAGUGCUCAAAAAGUAUUGGGUUUGGAACAUUUCAGAUUUUGGAUUUUUUAAUUAGGGAAAUUAGGAAUGUUCCACCUAUAUUAUAAAUUAUAAAUAUGCUUUCAAGAAUAUCAAUCUUGUAUGCAUGUGCAAAAAGAUCAUGUGAUGUGGAUGCAGUUAUACAAAUAUAUUCACACCUAUAUUUUUCAACAUUGAAAAAGAACUUUCUACCAUGGAAAACUUCAAGUAUUCAUUGUAUCUAGUUUUGAAAAUCUUUCUUUUUGUAUCUCCAAGUUUGUCUGGUAUCAUAUUUCUUCUACCUGAAGAACUUUCUUUCACAUUUCUCGUAGUUUAUAUCUGUUGCUAAUUUUUUUUUGUCUAAGAAAGUCUUUGUUUCUGAGAGGCAUUCCUCUGGGUAUUGAUGCUGGGCCUGUGAUUCUUUCAGCAAUUUAAAGAUGCCAUUCCAUGGUUUUCUACUUGCAUAGUUUCUAAAGAGAAAUAUGUUGUAAUAUUUAUUUUUCUGAAUGUAAUGUCUUUUUAAACAAAAAAUAAUACUGACUACCUUUCAUUAUGACCAUUGUGUCUUUGAUUUUCCACAGUUUGAAUAUGUGUGUAGGGGUGUGUGUGUGUGUGUGUGUGUGUGUGUGUGUGUGUUUAUCCUGCUUGGGAUUCUCUAAUUCUUUAAAUCUGUGCUUUAAUUUUUAAAAAUUAUUUUUAGAAUUUUUUCAGUUAUUAUUUCUUGAGCUAGUUCGUCUGGCUUCUCCAUGCUCUACUUGGGUUUCAGUUACACAUAUGUUAGCUUAUGUGACGUUAUCCAGUAGUUCUUGGAUUCUUUAAUGUUCACUCUUGUUUUGAUUUGUCUUUAAGUUAGGGUAAUGUGACAUAUUUUGAGUUUACUGAUGGUUUUCAUAGCUGUAUUUAGUUUAGCAGUGAGACUGACAAAGGCAUUCUUCAUCUGUUACUAUAUUUAUUUUUUAAUUUUUAGCAUUUCCGAGGCUGUUUCUAAUAGUUUCUGUCUCUCUGCUGGAGUUUGAGGAUUCAGGUUUCUGACAUGGAUUUUCCAUGAACUGUGGUUUCCCCUUCUACAAAAUCGGAAAGUUGGGAAUAUAUGAUAUAGAAUUGUUUUGAGAAUCAAGAUAUCAUGGAUAAAAUACAUGUAUUCCCAUGGACAAGUCCCUUCCCUUUCCUUCUCUGGGUCUCAAUCACUGUCAUUAAAUGUUUGGACUGCAUGAUUCUCUGAUGGGGGAGAGACCUAACAUUUAUUAACAGCUUGUAUUAAUCUCAUGUAAAAUUUGAAAAAGGCAUAAAAAAUCACAUUUAAGAAGUGCUUUUACAAAAUGUUUUAGAUUUGCUAGUUUUACGUGGAAUUUUAAUUGGAAGAAACAUAGCAUUAAAUCUAGUUGCCACUUGGUUAAAUCUGAUAAAGAAUCAUUAAAAUUUUUCAACUGUGGGGUUUCCUGACUCACUUGAGAAAUUUCAUGGCUCAUAACACAUCUCACUCACUCUCUUUGCACUUAUAGAAUUUUAAAUUAUCAGCCUGGCUUCCAACUUUUGCAGUGAGGAAACACUAAUGGGAGUUGUUGCUCUUAACUGACUAAAGGACAAUAGUCUUGUUGGAGCUGGCUUUGGCAUCACAGACUUGUAUUCAUAUCCUGGGAGCCCAAGAGUGAAACCUUGAGCUGUCUAUUUCAGAGCUUGAGUUUCCUUCUCUGUGAAAUAGGUAUGAUGCCUACACCAGAGAGUAGUUUUGAAGGUAGAAGACUACAUGUAGAUUUGGGCCUACUGUCUGAUUAAUGGUAAUCGAUCACCCACCCAUAGCAUUUAGAGUGGUUGCUAAAAUAAAAUAGGUCACUACUAAGUCAAAAUUUCAGUACAUCUAUGGGGAAAGGAAAGUCUAAUAUUCAUUUUAACCCCUUUUUUGGAAAGAACCAUCUGGUAAGAUGAUAUUAUAACAAUAUGGAGAGGAUUAACUGAAAAGAUUAUUGGUAAGUAAUAACAAUAACCAAGCAACUGAGUACUCAGGCAAGGAAUGCCACAUUUCUGUCCUCAAAGCAGCCCUGUGAAGGAAGCACCCCUCCUCCGAGCAGCCUGCCUCUGUUGGAGUGAGGGUGACCAUACUGUCCUUGUGCUCUUCCACUCUGGAUUCUAUCACUGUUUUUCAUACAUAACUCCACUGCCUCCCCACUUAUUUUCUCCAGUGACAGACUGCCUGUGUGUUUUGCACAGCGGUGGCACACACAGCAAGUUGAACUGUUGAGAUGUUGAGUCUUUGGGUUUUUCUUGUCAAGAGUGAAAUCCCUCUUCCUGAUGUCGUAGAUGAAAAUAUAAGCAUUAGCAAACUGUGUGUUGGCCUAAAGCAAAAAUAGUAAGAAAAUUGUUGUAAAGAAAGUACUUGAUCAACCUGAGCCCACCCCCAUACUGUUUAUUAAAACCAAGUAUUUUAAGGGAGCUGUCGAUAUACAAAUUAUUACAGAGUAAAUAUGAUGAAUUUCAAAAACAGUGUCCAAAUUCUGUAUGUGAGUAGUUUUACUAGAAUGGGCAUUAUUCAAGACUGAAAUUAUUUAAUACAAAGAAACAUUCUUUGUUCACACUGUGAGCCACUGUCUUCCAAAAUGCACACCACAAUACCGGCAUUCUUACUCAAACUUGAAUAACACAGGGAAUACUGUCAGAUUAUUUUACAGUUGUUUUUCUUAUCAUCACAAAAGUUGUCACAGAACUUCAUUCCUGAUCAUAGAUUUUUAGAGUUGGAAGGAACCCAAGAGAUCCAGUCUAACUCCUUCCUGCCACCCAAGGGAUAAAGUAAUUUUUUUAAAGUCAUGUAGAUAGCUGAUGUCGGAAGGAGGGAGAGAUAAGUUCUGUGCAUAAUGCCACAGUUCUGCAUUCCUUUGGAAAAAAACUGCCUACUCAUUCUUGGAUUUUUAACGCUAGUUAGAGUUUUGUGGCAAGGUUAUUUUCCAUGACUAACUAGUGUUCUUUUGUUUUCUCAUGUGGGUGUCUGGGAACAAGCUCAGUGUUUUUGUUGCAACAAUUGAACAGUGGAAGGUGGUAACAAGACACUUGUCUAGUUAACACUUUAGGUGUCGGCAGGAGAAAGUGGUUGGGAGCUCAGAUUCUCUGUCCUCAUUGUCAGUAAGGCAACUAUUUUAAUGUUGAGUUUCCUAAACUGGAGCCUGAAUUCCCCCUAAAGUUUUAUGAAGAUUCUGUGAAUAUAUAUUUCAGGAAAAUAAUCUGUAGCUUUCGUGAGAUUAUCAAAAGAUCUACGGUUUAAGACUAUUGUUCUAGAAGAAGGGAGAACUAUGCCAGUUGCAUCCAAGCACUAAUUGUAGGAGAGGCUUCCCUUAUCUCUAGCCCCCUUGUGCCCCCUUCCUACUGACAAGCCUUCCACACAGCUUCCUGGAUCUUUUCUUGGAAGCCACUGGAGGACUCCGGCUUCUUAAUGCAGGAACAUUCCCCAACUUUCUCAGGGCUACCUUCUCUGCUCUGUUUCCAUGAGAUGCUGUGAGACUCAGGGAUGUUUGUUCAUUAGAAAGCUCAGGGGUGUCACUUCAGAUACAUUUUGAUUGAAAAGAAUGUGUGAGCUGACCUGAGAACACAAGACUAUUGCAAAUAAGAGGGGGGGAAAAUGCACUUGGAAUUCCAAUCAAUAUUUUGCAAAUUAGCUUUCAGAAUGCCUCCAGUUCUUUGGUUAGGGAAUCUGUGUUUGAUCUAGGAACUAUUUAAUAUUUUCUAGGAACACAAUGAAAGUCCGUGGAUGCUUGUUCAGGAGUUGUCAGAAAUAUUGAAUUUUUCCUUCUCAAAUUUUAUUUCACUUGGAAGAAUCUACCCCUGAAUAGCAAUUCAUUUUGAUGGGAAUUCUUCCCAGAAGAGAACAUAUAGAGAGCAUGUUCUAAUCUUUUUUUCUUUUUUUAAGUCCAGCAUCUGGACACACAAAAGAAAAAGCUAGCACUAAGACUGAAGUUGGAAGAAUUUGUUCAUUUGUGAGUUUAUUCAUUUUAAAAAGCCUUUUCUGAGAACACAUCAUAAACACUUAGGAAUCAUGUUUGAUGCUGGUAAAUGAGGUGCCCUCUUCCCUUGCAAGGCUUGCAGUCUGCUGGGGAUACAGCUUGACAACUAAGAAUAACAGUUUAGCAUGUUAAACACUCCAGCAGAGUUACCAAAAAAGCACUAAUCUCAUACUGUCCCUGGCCAGGAAGUGGCGUGGGAGUGGAGCCAGUGGAGGGUCAGCUGAGGAGGUUAGGGUGAGUUUCUCUGAAGAGGUGACUGUUGAGUUGUGUAAACUUGUCUGGCUAAGAAGAGAACUAGGUAUAUGAUGAUAUAUUUGUGCCCUUCCCACUUUUUUGGUAUACUGGGAUUGAACCCAGGGUCUUGUGCCUGGUAGGCAAAUGUUCUAUCACUGAGCUACAUCCCCAGUCCUGCCUUUCCAAUUUUAACUAAACUUAACAUUGACCAGGCUCUCUUAUUUUAUGUUUUCAAUUAGAGUUCCAAAAGAGAAUGGAAGCCACUGGAGGACCGUAGCUGCACAGACAUACCAUGGCUGCUGCUCUUUAUCCUCUUCUGCAUUGGGAUGGUAAGGAAACUCACAAAUGAUCCAAACCCACGUUUGUAAUCCCAGGCAACAUGGGGAGUUGGUUUGAGAGGGAACUUGUUAUAUAUGUGUGCGUGUAUGGGUUUUGUCCCUUUUGUAUUGCUUAUAAUUGGAGGGACUAAGAUACCAUUUAAGCAGGCUAUUUCCCCCUCAAAACAGUUCUUUGGUAUCUAGUAACCCUUGAUUGAUUGAUUGAUAGUUUUUUUUUCUUUUAAUGAAAAGUGAGAUCAAAACCAAGGAGCAACUGGGACACUUCUCUCAUUUGCUAGAUCAUUUCAGAAGGCCAGAGCAUUUGACCUAAGUUUCUAUGAACUGUGAUCUUGACCGAAUGGUGAACAGAUCAUCCGUGGCCCUGGAACUGAGAAUCCUGAGGAUUUACUCCACCCAUUCACAUAAGCCUGAGUGUUAUCUUUUUGGACGAAUCAGUUCUCUCAGAGGCUUGAUGUUCCUUUGUAGAAAAGUAGAUGUGUUACUAGAUGAUAUCUAUAGUACUUCCAGUUCUGACAUUUUUAGUUCCUUCUGGUUAGGUGGUUCCCCACUGCUUCUUUCUCCUUCAGACUAUGAGAGGCCCCUGCAGCCUACUGUAUAAUGAGUGCAUUUCUCAGUGGAAGAUCAAGAGACCUGGUGAUUUUCCAAUGGGAUGGGGAGCACAGUCCCUGGUGCAUGGUGCUGGGUGUGUGGUUAUUUGGUGACAUUCCACUCUGCUUUGCCAGGGUGCAUGACGCAGACUUUCUUGGCUUUGGAGUCACUGCCAAUGUGCUGGGUUGGUAAAAAGACAAACACCUGUUUUAGAGCUGUUUAGAAAGGACUUGGAAGUCCUCACCUGGUCCAUCAUCUGUACUUUAUAGAUUAAAACAUCAAAUCCAGAAAUGGAAACGUCUAUCCCCAGGCAACACAGCUAGUUAAUGGCAGAGCUGGGAACAAAGCUUGGUCUCUAUUGGGGCCAGUGCUCUUUUCUACCUCCUUUUCCUGCUUGUGGAGGGGACAGAGUAGAUAACAGUAUUGCUCUCUUUCAUAGUAUUUUGCUACUCAAAAUGCAAAUACACUUCCUCAGGCAGCCUUUGUCUUACUCAAGUAUAUUUUCUUUUUUAAUAUUUAUUAUAUUUUUUAGGUGUAGAUGGGCACAACACAAUGCCUUUAUUUUUAUAUGGUGCUGAGGAUCGAACCCGGGUCCUACCCGUGCUAGGCGAGCGCUCUACCGCUGAGCCACAAUCCCAGCCCUCAAGUAUAUUUUCAACUCUCUUUCCAUACUUUUAUGAAGACCUUUGAAAAUUAUCUCUUAUUCUGUGUCUCUCCAUAACAAAUGCCAUCUGUGAAUCACAGAACAACUGUAAUCUUGGCCAGUGGUCACAUUAUAGGUACCAGUUCUGCCUGUGAACCAAGGAAAAGAAAGUAAAUUUUAAUGAGAUAUAAGAAAUUCAACAAAGUAAGAAGUGUUUAAUUUAAACAUAAAAGUGCAGGUUCUCCAAAAGAAAGAUAUUUAGAAAGGGUCAAAAUAUCCAUUUCCUAACUUAUGAUGUAUGGGAUACUGUUCAAGAGUUUACUUAAUGGAAUAGCAUUGUAAGGAAAUGGCAACUGAAAUGCAAUAUGCACAAAUAUUUCAUGUAGAUGUGGAGAAGAUUCUUUGUUAACAGAAUUAGUCCAUAGCCUUUCCUCACCCCCUAAUGCAACCCUGGGACAAAUAGCAGCUGACCUUUCAAAAUUAUGUUUAUAAAAACAUGUACCAUGCCACCCAAGGUGCUUCUGAUUUUCUGUGCUAAAAUAGCUCAGGAAAGUGCAGUCAUUAAUGUUAAUAGACUGAUUUGGGAGUGACUUGAGACUAAGGAGUUAUUUGUUUACUGAAACGUUUUAAUGCAAUGGUAAUUAAUAUAAUGUUGAUUUUAGUGUGAUGGUAAUUAAGACCCACUGUGUGUACUUUUAAAUGCCAGGCAUAGCAUCAUUUGUUUGGGAAUGAUUUUUUGAAUAGAUUACUUUUAUAUGAUUCAGAUAACAACAAAUUUUGCCAUAUAGAAACUGAAGAAAUUGCCAUGUUCUAUUGCCCAUUAUACUGGCAUAGCAGAGGUUCAAAGUUUUUUUGGUUUUUGUCUUCUGAGUAUUUGUUUUAUGUUUUCUUUAGAAGAUUUUUGCACCCAUGGAGUUCUUUCUCUACUACAGGUUGAAUGUCUCUUGUCACAAAUGCUUGGGACCAGAGUGUUUCAGGUUUUAGAUUUUUUUUUUUUUAAAUUUUGGAACAUUUGCAUAUACAUAAUGAGGUAUCUUGGGGAUGGGACCCACGUCUAAACAUGAAAUUCACUUUUGUUUCAUAUAUACCUUAUGCAUAUAUCCUGAGGUAACUUAAAAUUUUUUUGUUGAUGAUAGACCUUUAUUUAUUAAUUUAUUUAUAUAUGGUGCUGAGAAUCGAACCCAGUGCCUCACAUGCUAGGCAAGGGCUCUACCACUGAGCCACAACCCCAGCCCCUAGCCUGAGAUAAUUUUAUACAUUAUUUCAGUAUACUUGCAUUUGGGCUGCAGCGCAUCACACUAAGUUAUUUGUGGAGUUUUCCACUUGCGGCUCAUGUUGGCACCAAGAAAGUUUCUGAUUUGGGCGCAUUUCAGAUUUCAGAUUUUCAGAUUAGGGAUGCUCGCCCUGUAUUUUUAAAAGAAACCUUCUCUACAGAUUUUUUGAGCAUUGAUUUAUGCUCCACGCUUUCAUAUAUGUGUUCAUCUUGUUAAAUUCUCCCAGUUACCUGGUGAAAUAGGUUUUAUCUCCAGCUUAUAGACGAGGUGUACAGAUGUGAAGCUUAGCUUGUCUAAUAAGUGGCAAGGACAGAACACGACUGGAACUUUCUGAGUGUGUUCUUUUCACUGACUGCUCCACCUGCCUGCUUCCUUUACAGGCUACUUUUGUUACCUUGAAGCCUGAUAUUCAAACCAUGUGUAUGUUCUAUUGUCUUUACCUGCAAUUCUUUGCUCACUUCUUGGUACUCUCAAAAGCUAAAGCUCUUAAAUUAUUUUAAAUAUUGUCAUCUUUUACUCCUCUCUAUCAUUAAAUACUUAUUUAUACGCAUUUAUCUCCUCAUUAUUGAUACUUUUUUUUUAUUUCUUCCCUUAGUUUCAAGGAUUUUCUAUGCUUGAAUUGUCUAGAAUGUGGGGUGUUUUUCAAAAUAAAUUGGCAUCAGACUUCUUGAGAGCUAUCAUCUCCCAUGUUUGAACUUUCAUCACAAUUUUGAAAAUAGUGGACAUAUGCUUACCCUGCUCUAAAAAAUUACAAGUAACGUUGCACUUCUAAAUUUCUGUUUUCAAUUAAGGUAGUAAACGAGUGGUUCUCAACCAUAGCUGUGUGUUAGAAUCAGCUGGAACACUAAAAUACAAACAAAAACAAAUUUCUUUCCUGGGACCCACCUCAAUGAUUAUGAUAUAAUCUCUGUGAUUCUGGUGUUCAGCCAAGGUUGAAACCCUCUGUUAUGGGCACUGAUGAGCCACAGGAGUGUUGAUAAGUGAUUUGUCUAGGUUAGAAGUGUGGCCCUAGCAGCUACUGUUGAAGAUGGAAGUAGGAAGAGGUUUUAGACAGGCCACUUUGGAGGCUGGGGCAACAGUAAAAGGUGAAAAUUUUUAAAUAAGGUAAUGGUAAAGGAGAGAGAGAGAAAUAAGACCAGUAACAUCAAUGGUUAUUAAUGUUGCAGGCAAAUGAGAGACAGAGCAAGGGGGACUGUGAGGUUCUUGUGUUACGGGUUCAGUGUAGAGUUUUUCAGCUCAAAUCCUACCCUAUUUCCUCCUGGGUUCCCAACCAUGGUUUUUAUACACCUCAGGAGACAAGAGCCGCAUGAAUAAACAGUCACCCAUGGGCACUUGAUUAUGCCCAGGGAAGCACUCCAUGGUAAAAAUGACUUGGACCCUGUGGGCUAAAUCCUUCCCAUCUGGGACAGUCUUACUUCAUUCUCAGAGUAAUGUAUAUCAGGGAAGAGAAGAGAGGAAGAGAAAAGGGAGAGCUACACUGGCUCAGAUCAGCUUAUGCCACAAAGGCAGGAAAGAGAGGAGGCUGGAUGGCUCUAACAGGAGUGCCUCCAUGGAAAGUGUCGUCCCUGCUCACCAGCGGCUAGACAUUAUUUUUAGCACCAGACACAGACGCUUAAUACUCGAAACUAUUCAAUGCUGCAUACACUAUUGUUAUCACUUUCCCCAUUUUAUAGAUUAGGAAACAGAAGUACAGAGAUAUAUUCAAUGUGUUCAAUAACUUAUUUAAGAUUUCACAGUGGUACCUCUGACCCCAGGGAAGAAGAAAAAGUCAUCAAAGGUAAACUUUAUACUUUAUUGCCUAGAAUCAAGAACAACAGAAAAAGUUGUUCAGCACAUGGUUCUGUAGGACACAGUAAUCUUAUGUGCCAAUAAGCUGUGGUCUCACAAUGUCUCAAACUCUGACCAAGUAGCUAAACAUUACUCCUCCCUCUACUGUGGAGUUGGGAAGCUAGGAUGAGGGGCAGAAGGAUGGAGAGAAGAAACCAAAGAGUCCUCCCACUUUAAAUCUUGCAUGUGGAGACUAGCAGAUAAUGCUGCUACUAAUGGAUAUAAAGUAUAUAUUGGAAAGGGAAGUGGUUUGGGGAAGUGUGGAAUCAGAAUAUAUGGAAUGGGCAUAAUAGAAGUUGUGGGUAAGGAUAAGAUGGAAAUGCAAAGUUGGAAUUUUAGGCAGUGAUCUGAAUGGGAGCCGGGUUUAGGAGACAUUGCAUAGGUUGGUCCUUCAGACUGCUUUCAAGGACCUUUUUAUUUUAUAGCAUUAGUCUAGUUCCUGGGGCAUGAUGUUUCUACCUCAUUAACCAUGGUUGAGCAUGCAGCAGAUAGAGAGAGAUUCAUUGCAAUAUUUAGUUCACCUGUUUGAUGGUCUGUUCUUAGCCAGAAUCAUAGAAUACAAAGAACAGCAUGCCAAGAAUUACCCUAAGGUUGCUUGAUCAGGUAACUACUCAUUUUUUGUUAAGUCCAUUUCUUGUUUAAAAAAUUGUGGUAAAACAUACCUAAUGUACAAUUUGUCAUUUUAACCACAUUUGCAUAUAUAGUUCAGUUAAAAACAUUUGUUUUUAAUCUACUCUUUAUUUUUUUCUCAGUCACAGUAGUAAACCAAAUGAGUUUAUAUUUCUCCCUGCAAGAAUACUCUUAAAAUUCUAACUUUUUUCUGCUUUCCCAUAGAAUCAUUUUGAAUGAGGAAGGAUUUAAGAGAUUAGCCUAGUCUAAUGGUUGGGACCAGUAAGGAAGUGGGCUUGGAGAAUUCAAAGCUAACCUGCCCAGGCUCAAAAGUUGUAGUAGUGGCAAAGCCAGGAUCAGAUACCAGUAUUCCUUGUCUGUGUUUUAUUCAUUGUUCUAGCUGUCUGUGAAACUGAGCCUCUGAUUUUGCUUCUACAUGCCCCAUUAUUUUCUUUCUUUUUUUUAAUUUUUAUUUUUGUGUGUGUGUGUGUGUUGCUGAGAAUUGAAUUCAGGGCCUAGUGCAUGUGAGGCAAGCACUCUACCAACUGAACUAUAUCCCCAGCCCCCAUUAUUAUUAUUAUUUUUUGAUUGAGAACAUUUCAUUGCUUUUAGGACUUUUUUUGAGGGGUGGGGUGGGGGUGGGGCUAAGGAUUGAACCCAGGGGCACUUAACCAAUGAGUCACAACCCCAGCCCUUUUUUAUUUUUUAUUUUUUGAGUCGGGGGUCUAAGUUGCUUAGGGCCUCACUGAGUUGCUGAGGCUGGCUUUGAACUUGCAAUCCUCCUGACUCAGUCUCCUGAGUUGUUGGAAUCACAAGCAUGCACCACUGUGCCCAUCUGCUUUUAGGACCUUUAGGGUGAGACUUACAUUUGUUUGUGCUCAAUAAAUGCUCAUUGAGUGGACAUUUCCUAGAUUUAUUUUUAUUUGUUUAUUUAUUUGCCUCUUUUCUCUUUCUUAGAGUAAUAAAUUAUAUUAUACUUUAAAGGAGUUCAGAAAUUUGGCACCCUGGCUAAAGUUUUAAGUUUAUUUUUUUAGUGUGUUUACAGAGAUAUUAGUUCUGCACCAGGCCUUCAGCUUUUGUCUAUCUCCUGGGUCCUAAUAGCCUUUCUUGUCUCAGGAUUCUCAGAAGAGGAGAAACAGAAAACAAGUGCUACCCUAAGUUUAAAGUUAUUAAGAGAUUGACCCCAAGCAUUGAUUGAGAUAUGGGACAUAAAUGAGGUGGUUUUUGACAGAGAGAUAGUCAAGAAAUGUUUUCCUUAACUCCUGGGAGACAGCUAUAAUCAUAACUCAUUUCCCCUCAUUAUUUUGAAACAUUUUGUUAUAUUCACAUACUACCUCUACCCUCCAUACAUUAUUUUUAUUGUCUCCCUACCCCCCAAAACUGAGGCCAUCCACCUUUCUCAGUUGUCUAGUAGAAGCUCUAGGUGUGAGUUGGGCACACUGGUACUUGCCUGAAAUCCCAGUGACUCCACACGCUGAGGCAGGAGGAUCACAAGUUUGAGUCCACCCAGGACAAUUUAGUGAGGCCCUGUCUCAAAACAAAACAAAAAGUAAAAAGGGCUUGGGGUUUAGCUCACUGGUAGAAUGCCCCUGAACUCAAUCUCAAUACUAAAAAAGAAGCUCCAAGCGUGAAAUUCAAACAUGCUUGUGAAAUUAAAGUGUAUCCUAUUUUUUCUUCCUUUCCCCUUCCUCCCUUCCUUUUUCCUUAACUCUUCCUCCCCACCCCCUUUCUCUAGUACUGAAAGAAACUAAGCAAAAACUCUUACUUAAGUAGAACUAGACCUUGUGAUGUGAAGGGAAAAUGAGCACAGUUUGUUAAUUAGCAAAUUGUCUUUCUUCCACUUGGGCAGUAAGUACUUACUAGUUGCCAGGUCUUGCCCAUCACCCCAUCGCCCUUGUAUGUCUUUAUCUGAUUCCAGUUGCCUCCUGUGAGUGGAUUUUUCUGCUCUUCCUCUCUCCCUUAAAAUAAUAGUCCUGAAAGCACUUCAGCAGCUCAGUCAUUUUAAGAUUUUAGCCAUGGUUCUCUUCCUUACUAAUAGGCUUACUUUCUCUCUAGUGAUUGCUUUCUAUUCCAUGCUUAUAAAAGCUUUCCUUACCCUCCUCAUCAUUUGCUUCAUUAAUGUGAUUUCACUCUGUUGGAAGCCUUUUCCCUCCCCUCUCUGUGGAGCCAUUAAAUUAUUGAGUGUAUUUUAUAAAGUUUCUCUCACCAUGUUUUAAUUUCAUGUACUGUAUUUUUUCUCUUCUGAAACGAUAUUGCUUCCUGCAUUUGGGUUUUAGCAUUUUUCUUUUUAAGGAGAUUGUAAUUUUAAUUGUAUGUGGCCUAGUUCCCCAUUGUCAUUGCUUGUGCUGUAGAGGAAGUCCCUAGGAUAAUAGUCAUGGUUUCUUACCAUCUUAUUAGCUUUCUAUUUCCCUUUCUUCUCCACCUUCAACUUCUCACCCUCUCUAUUCUAAUGUUUCUGGAAGCUACUAAGAAGUUUAAAUGACCUAUACGAAAAUAUGUCAGUGUCCCAUUUUAGCAUAUAUAUGUAACAUUUAUAAUUUAUGCCCUGCCUACAUCCUGGAGGGAUGUGAGGUAGCUUAUGAUAAAGAAAAAUAUCCACAUGUCCAACAGUACUGUUAAAAAUAGUCAGAAAGGGAAACCAGAAACUGUUUAAAGAAUAUCUAACAACAUACUUAUCAAACAUAAAAAACAAUUCCUAUAAGAAGUAAAAGAAGUUUACUUAUGUAAUAUCUUUGCUAUUCAAGAGUAGUAAUCAAAGAAUAUUAAUUGUGGACUGAGUAGUUUGUGUAGCAAUAAAAUUACUGAUAUUGUUUUUCACCUUUUCUCCCUAGAGAAAAUUUUUAGAAAUUUUUGCUCUAAAAUAGAGAAGCCAAGGGACUUUUGUUAGUCUCCAGUUACCAUUCGUAACCCCCUUAAUCUGAUUUCCCCAUUCAAAUUUACCAUGAACAGCUGCCAUUUAUUGAUCACCUGCCAUGCAGUAGAAUUCAGCUAGGGAUUGGGUAUAUGUUACUUCAUUUAGUGCUCAUCAUUAGGCUGCAGGGUAAAUGGUAUUGCUCAGUGUUGGAGAUGUAGAGAGAGCAGAGUCUAAGUAGGAAAUUGGAUCAAAAUCACAGGUAGUAAGGAAAUGGUGGAAAGAAUUUGAAUUCAUUGUUUCUAAAUCCUAAGUCCAUUCUUUUUCUAUUACUCUGAUGCUUCUUACUAAAGAAAUACAUUGGAAAGUGUGUUAGUAUUCUGGAAUUAUAACGAAUAUCUGAGAUAAUCAACAGAUAAAGAAAAAGAUUUGUUUUGACUCAUAGUUUUGGAGGUUUCAUUCCUUGAUUGGCUGGCUGUGUGCUUCUGGAACUAUACUGGCACCUCAUGGUGGGAACAUGUGGCAGAGUAACAGGAAGGAAAGGAAAGGUCUGGGGUCACACAGGGCACUUCUUCAGUAGCCUCAAGCCCUCCUACUAAGCCCACCUCUUAAAGGUUCUACCACCUCCCAGUAGCAUCAUGGGACAGGGACCAGGACUUUAACACAAGGACUUGAUUAACACCGCUGGGACUGACUGCCCUUGGUGUCCUUGGAGGAGUCAAGAGAGAGGGAGGCAGGCAACAGGGGAGUAUAAGUACUGACCAGCUAUGCCUAAACUGGUGCUAGCCAUUAGUUGCUGCUUUGAGACAGAAGGGUAUUAACAUGUAUUGAGACAUACACUUUACAUAUACAAUCUCAUGUGAUUCUCUUAAUAGUCCUUGUGGUAAGUAGUUUUAGCCCUAACUUAUAAGUGGGUAAACCAAGGCACAGAGCAUUAAGCAAGUUUGUCCAAUAUUACACAAGUAGGAAAUGAAGUCAUCAGUAUUUCAUCAAUAACACAGGUUUAUCUAUCUAGCCCCAAAGCCCAUAAUCUUUCCCAUAUAGCAUUUACUCAUUUCUAAUAACAUUAAUAGCUAAUAUUCAUUGAGCUCUUCCUAUAUGUCUGGCAGAUUUCUUACCACAUAAGGUUGUGUCAUUUAUCUUUACCACAGCCCGAUGAACUACUUACUCUUUGUCUCCAUUUUAAGGGAACUAACUUGAGACAGAUCCUUGGCCAGGAUCUGAGAACCAGAGAAUAGCAAAUCAGGGAGUCUACUUUCUCACAAAGUGUAGUUGUAAGAAGUUUCUUUUGACAAGAGCUACACUCAUGACUCUUCUCUCUCACUUCCCUUACCUGCACAAUGAAAGUAGAAGGGUUUUGUUUAGUUUUUUAGGUAAGUAUACUUACAGGGGGAAAUACAGUUUGAGGAGUGUGUAUGUGCGCAUAGUGUUUACCACUGUGGCCUGAGAUCUAGCAGCACUACUUAGAUAAAGUACUGCUCCUAAUAGCUGGCAGUGAUGAUCUCUGCCUUCCUAGCCACUCUACUGAAGAUAACAAAAACUUACCCUUUUAAUGACCAGGUUGCACAAAAUUUCUUAACCCCAGUCUUUCCCCACAGUAUAACCAGUUCAUCAGCAGUGAUUCCCCUCACUUCUGCUUCCUAUGCCCAGUAAUCUGCUGUUGAGUGUAGGCUUUUACUGCUUUAUUUUGGUCAGCGCAUGCCUGACUUAGCAAGCAUGAUGUGGUUCUGAAGUUUCUCCCCUUUGCCCUUGGUACUGGGAUAAAGCGUAUUCCCACAAGAUGAAGUGACCCUUGCAGUACACAAAGCCAGUGCCUCACUUACUGUCAUUCAGUCUCGAAUAUGAAGAGCUUGGCAGUGCUUGGUGAUGGAGUUCUUUGGCUUGUAUACAGCUUUAGUGCACAAAGGAAACAAAAAAAGUCUUGUGUGCACUGAAGUGAGAAUGAUUCAAAACCCACAUACCUAUUUUUUUGGAUUUUUAACAAUUUAUCCUUUGCUAUUAUUCAUUUAAUAGAAUCCCUUUACACCCAAAUAAAACAAAAGAAUGAACAAAGCUGGGUUUGAUUCUGUGCUCUCAUCUUUAUUGGAUUCUAUGGGCUUAGGUAACUCAUUUAACUUCUCUUGGCCUCAGUUUCUUCAUCAUGGGGAUUAGAGAUAAUGUGUGAUAAAUACCUAGGACAGAGCCUGGCAUUGAGCAGGUGUUCAACAUAGAGAGGCUGUCAUUAUUAUUAUAAAUGCAAAGAUGAGCUAAUGAUGUGAAAGCUUGGGAUUUGUUUUGUUAUGGUAGUAAAUAGUAUUUCCCUGUGGACUUCUUUGUGCUGCUCAUAUGCAAUCCAAGGAAAACAGUGGAAUAGUGUUUGCAAUGAGGAAAGAUAGCGCUUUGUUCCCUUCAGCAGACAAAAGAAACUCAUUAUCGUAUCAAGUAGUGACUGUUGGUAUUGAAAUGGUUUAUUUGUGUGUGUUUUUUUUCUGUUUCUUUCCUAGGGAUUUAUAUGUGGCUUUUCAGUAGCAACAGGUGCAGCAGCGAGACUAGUGUCAGGAUACGACAGCUAUGGAAAUAUCUGUGGGCAGAAAAAUGCAAAAUUGGAAGGAAUACCAUACAGUGGCAUGGACCACACCCAACGGAAGUGAGUAGACUCUUGCUGAAUGAUGAACACUGUGGAAACUUUAAAGGAGGCACAGAGAAAAUCCUGCUUUUUUUUUUUUUUAACCCAGAAAAUAACAUUAUUUUUCUUUUUAAGAUUAUACUGGAUGGGAGAUAGGGAUAAUAAUAGAUAUUGAAAAAUUAAAGUUAUAAAGUAACAUUUUGUGAUGCAUCAUUUAUAGGUACACAUCACUUUCCAAUUUUAUAAAAGAUACAUUUUCCUUGUCAAACUGUGAGAUUUGUUUUGGGUCCUCAAUAUUCAUCUUUUGGGUUUCAUGAGAUUGCUCAUUUAAUUGCUUUUUUCCUUCGAAAGCACUACUAUUUAAUAUUUAAUGUCCGGGGAAAAUAUAUUUCAUCUAAUAUAUUUUAUGUAUGAUGCCAAUGUAAUUGUUCAAACUGUGUAUUUAUACCCCAUCAAAAUUUAUUAGAAUUUUUUUCCAGUAUCAAACCAUAUCUUCAGAAUUAACAAAACUAAUUAUAAGGUAACCAGGCUAAUCCGUCUAAUACACUUUAUAGGAAAAGGCUAAACAGAUAAAAACAUUUUUAAAGCUACAUCAGUUCUUUCUAGUAAGAUAAUUUGUAAUACCUAUUUAUUGUUAUAUAAAUCUAUGGUUAAAAUUUGAUCUCUCUGUAUAAGAUUAAUUUGAUAAUUUUGCAGACUUGAAGAAAUUCAAAUAACUAUUUCUCAGAGAUACUCUUCCCUUAAAUGAAGGAGAGAGAAUGCAGCUCAAGUAAACAAAAUUUCAGUAAUAAUAAUGAAUAUUUGUAUAGCAUGCCAGAGUGGACAAGCAUAUGCCCCCCCUGUGAGGUAGAUCUAACAGAGGCUUAGGGAGACUGAAGUGCCUUUUCUGAGGCCAUGUGGCUGGUGGGCAGUAGAAUAUCCAGAGCAGACUAUGAGCUUCUCUCUUAAUAGGCACCUGCAUCACAUACGAGAAGCAAAAAUUAGACUUGAAGUAAUUUGGAAGAUUGCUUAAUUUUUUCUUCUUUAUGAUUGCUCCUUGAAUUUAACACAAAUUUUAGAUCUUGUGUUAUUUCUUCUAGCAAAAUUAUCCAUAUCUCUUUUGUUUACUUUUUAUCUUGAAAUAAUUUUAGACUCAAUAGACAUUGCAAAAGCAGUAGAGUUUCAUUUUUUUAUUAUUUUUUUUUUAUGUAGCAUGUAUGCGGUAAAAUAUUGCUUAAUUCUUUAAUGCUGUUGACAUGUCCCAAAUAUAAAAUUAGGUAAUUGAGGAGAUGAGAAGCAAAAGGUUCUCCUCUAUUGGGUGCACUGCUCACAAGGGUUGUAAUCAUUUUUAUGGCUCUCUUGGUAACUUGCUAAUGACUGUGAGCAUAUCCUUAUGGUAAGGUUUGUGUAAAUGCCACUCUUCACAUUUAACCUUCUUGUGGUUCCUCAGACCAUGGAAGAGAUUUCAAAUCCUUGGGUUAUUCUAUGUACACUUUGGCCUCUUGUAAAGAGGAACUGCAUAUUAUUCUGAGAAAGUGGCUACUCUUCCCUGAAUGCUUAUCUUCAUUGAGAGCCAUUCAUGUAUAACUUUAAGGAGUAUAAUUUCUCAACUGUAGCUAUUCUUUAGCUCAUAUAUACAUGUUUAAAAUUUAUUUUCCAUCUUUGAUUACCUUUUCUGCAUUAUAAGCUUUGUAGUGCUAUCCCACUUAAGUAUUUCUGUCUAUAAAUGGCAAUUAUUGUCAAUGAAUGGUAAAUUUUUGAACAUUCCUUUUGUGGGUAAAUCUACAGUAUUUGGAUUUGGAAAGUGAAAGAAAGGUAGUAGCCUUCAUUUUUAUUAUCUUUAUUUCAUCUUCCUCUUUCUCCUGUCAAAUGCAUUGAUUUCCUUCUUUUACCACUCAUUUCCUUAUACGUCUUUUAUGAAUUCCACACCCAUCUGUAGCUCUAGAGUGUUUUUAUACCUGUUUCUCUGCUUGGUCACUUUCUCUCAUCCUUGAUCUCCUCAGCCUCUGUUGUAUUACCUAAUGCCUACUUGAACCUCCAUACAUAUUUGUUGAAUAAAUCAACAGAUGAGUCCUCUAAAGUCUUGGGUAAGGCUAAUUCUCUAUUUCAUAAGUUUUGCUUCCUUUGUUAAGAAAAAAAAAUUCUUCUGUUUUUUCCUGUAGCUAAAUUCUACUGAUCUUCAGCUUUCAGCAAAAUGUCACUUUCAAAGAGGUCUUCUUUGAUCUCAGAAUUUAAGCAUUGUGUCCUAUAAUAUGUGCAGUUAUACAUUGAUUGUUCCAUGGAGGGUUGGAUGUACGUAAGUCUCUCUUAAGUGCCAAGAGAGAAGCAUCUCUUAUUCACUACUGUAUCCCCAGGGCACAUCUCAAAGCCUGAAUGUAGUAGGCACCCAGUUAAAUGCUUGCUGAAUGAGAAAAUAAAUCUACUUCAGCAGUGUUCUAAGAAGUGAAUAACUGAGUUUGAGGAUCUGAAUAUUUUGAGAUUAUUAAUGCAUAUUGCAGAAUGGAUUUCCAUAAAAAACGGUUCCAUUUACAUUCCCACCAACAGUGUCUGAGAUUACUUUAUUUUUACUGGUAUUAUUAGUUUUUAUUCUUUACUGUUUUGGUAGACCAAAGAAUGGUGCUUUAUAGUUUUAAUUUGCAUGUGUUUGAUUAUUAAUGAGUGUGAACCCCCCACCCCCACCAUGUGUUUGUUAGCCUCUCAUGAAAACGGUUGUGCAAGCAUAUCUAUUCUUGGUCUUCUUAUCUGUAAUCUGCUCCAUCCUUUAUGCUGUGAUAGGAUUAAGUUCUUUAAAACAGAGCUUUUAUUUUGUCAUUUCCUUGUUCAAAAGCCUUUGCCUUCUAUUUGCUGUCUGUAGUAUCAAAGAUGAGCCCGCUCAGCCCCCACCAUUUCAGGCCUUCUGCGAUCUGGACCCAUUUCACCUCUCCAGCCCUCUCUCACUGUUCCUCAGUGUGUGUUAUUAUUGCCCAUGACCUUCAGUUAAUUCUACCUCUGUGAUAUUCCUUCUGCCUGUCUGCCAAUCUGGGUCUUUGAAACACAAUGGGACUCACAACUCUCCUUAUUAUGAAAUGUUUCAAAACUAACCUUAUACCACAGUGAGUUUUCUUUACUUUGAUUACCUGAACUUUCCUAUCUCAUACUGGUUAUUCUAUUGCCUUCAAUUUGCUAUCUAAUUAUUCUGUGUUUCUCAUCUGUCUGUAUUAAUUAUUGGUUGCUAGGUAACCAUAUUACCAUAAACUUAGUGGCUUUAAACAAGAAGCGUUUCUCAUCUCAGCUUCAGAAUCCAGAUAUGGCUUGCCUUGGUCUUCAACCUUCCAUAGCUUACUCAGGGCUGUAGUCAGUGGUUCAUUUGGGGUCAGUCAGGGUCAGAGUGUAACCUGAGGCUCAGGGGGAGAAGGCUUCCCUUCCAGGUACAAGUGGUUGCUGGCAGCAUACAGUUCCUUGAGGAUUGCUGGACUUGCUGGCUGCCACUAGAGGUCCCCCUUCAGGUGUAGGCCACCUGGAUGGGCAGUUUGCCCCAUCAGAGCCAACAGUGAGAGCAUCAGUAGAGAGUCUGCUAGAAAAAUGGGAGUUACAGUCCUACGUAGUGUAAUCACAGAAGUGAUAUCCGUCCCUCUUUGCAAUAUUCUACUGAUUAGAAGCAAACUCAAGGAAGAGAGGAUGACUCAAGGGCACGAACAAUAAGACACAGGGAUAAUGGAGGCCUCUGAGAGUCUGUCACUCUGCUAACUCUGCUUCCUGAAACACCAUAUUUUCUUUAGCCCUCAGAGUUGAGCACCUAGGAGUUCCAUAAGAAGGGCUUAUUUAAUUAUAGUAAUAAAGGAAGGUAGGUAAUCAGGAGAGGAAUCCAAAGGAGAACACCUUUGACCUAUUUUAACCAGAAUGUUUAAGAUGCCAAGAUGAAUAAAAGAAUUCUAUUAGCAUAAAGAAAAAGUAAUAUUUUCUUAUCGUUCCGAUGAUAAUGGGUUUUUUCCUCCAAGUAGUAUUUUUGACGUGAUAAUACAUUUGUUGCAGUGAUAAGGAUGCACAAAAAGACAGCAGACAAUAUUUUGUGAGAUAAUAUGAAAACCUUAAUUUCAAAUAGAUUUAGUUGAUUUUUAAAUUGGUUGCUUGAGAUACUUAAAACUUUUCUGCAUAGAAAUAGUGCUUACAUAUGGUUCUAAGGCUAAGUCAACUCAGAAAAGCUCAUUUAUAUUAGAACCAAAAAGUGUCAGAGAUUGAAGGAAUCUUUAGAUUAUUUAAUGUGCAAACUCCUUAAAGCAUCCCAUCAAGUAUUUGUGAGUGCCAACUAAAUCCUAAAAUGAGAAUGUCUUGCUUUGUAGCUGAGCUAUUUUUUAAUAAUACUACUACAGAAGACAGGUAGGGUUUAUAAUCUUUUUUUUUUUUUUUUGAUGUUGAGGAAUAGGGUGGUGGCAAUAUAUUUUUGAACUCUGGCAAUUCCGUAAAACAUAUCUAUUCUGCCACAUCUAGAUCUACGAUUUUUCAGGUCUAUAACAUAUAAGCAACCUUACAGUGUAUGUGUCAAUUUUGAGACCAAAAAUUAUUAUUACUCUUUUUUGUAAUAAAGAAAAAUGUUUAUUUAGCUCACAAUUUUGGAAGUUCAAGUUUCAAAAUCAGGACUGUCCUCUAGUGAGAGCUUAAUAGCAGAUGGCGUCAUGUUAGAGUGGGAGUAGGUGGGGGGAGCCCUUGUGGGAGUAAACUACCACAUCUCGAAAUGGGAAGCUAGAGAGUACUGUUAUUAUUAAAAUUCUUCCUGUAGAGGAAGCCCCCUGUCUUACAUAUCAGUUUGGACACAGAGUGGCGAUGCUCCUAUUUAGUUCUAAUGCACCUGAAUUAGUGGGAUAAAGAUCGUGCUGGGACAGAAGGUCUAUUGGUCUCUGGGGAGAGGAUUGGGGCAGGGGUGGGGUAUGCAUUCCCAUGUCCUGAGUUGGGAGAGGAUAUGGUGAGGUGGCAUUGGCUUUUAGUGUGCACAGAUCAUUAUAAAGCUGGGUGAGGCUGGGGAACUGCUUUUAAUUGUUUUAAUUUAAUCACAAUAUUCUUAUUAGAACUCUUCUCCAUCUUGCAAAUAAUCCUAACAGAGUUUAGUGUUCACAUUCUUUGUUACUCUAAGAAGUUCUCAAUGUAUUUUAUUUGUAUUGAUUUGUACAUAGAGGUUCUAAAGAUAGAUUUUUGCACAAAUUUAAUUUUUUCAUUAUAUAUUUUUUUGUCUUUCCUCUGAGGAAGCCAUUUAAAGUUCCAAUCACUGGUAAAAGCUCUGUGGUCAUAAAAUGCCUUUCCCAUUUCAUAUCCUCUGUGUUAACAGGACGUAGAUGAACUAGAGGUCUGAGGAGGGUGAUGGCAUCCAUGAAUGAGUACAGUAUCUAUAAGGGAAGCAUUUUAUUUGACACCACUUUCAGUUUUCUUCAUCAUCUUAGGAUGCCAAGUGAAAACAGAAUUGGAGUGUGUUUUACUUCUUUUGUUCUCAUUCUCAUUGUAAGUUCACAGCUGAAAAUAUUUGUGCUGGGAGGCCCUUGGUAUCAUUGAGUGCCUGCAUUUUACAAGUAAAAAAAUCUGGGGUCUGGGAAACAUGAGAGACAUGAAAAAGAUAUAGUUUUUCCUCAGUGUCCACAGGCGAGUGGGACACACACACACACACACACACACACACAAAUCAGUGGAUGCUCAAGUCCUUUGUAUAACCAGUAUUUGCAUGUUACCUACACACUCCUCCUGUAUAAUUUAAAUCAUCUCUAGACUACUUAUAAUGCCUGGUACAGUGUAAAUAGCUAUUAUACAGUAUUGUUUAGGGAAUAAUAACAAUAUUAAAAAGUCCAUACAUAUUCAGUACAGAUGCACUUUCUUUUCUAAUAUUCUCAUUUCUCUGUUGGUUGAAUGCACUGGCUCAGAACCCAGGGAUCCAGAACCUAUGGAUCUGUAGGGCUGUCUGUAAGAACAGGCUGGCACUCCAGCCUCGCCCUCCAUUGAGUGCUCUUUGUGUUAGUCUGCACUGUGCCUGGUGAACUGUACAGUGAUCCUGGUUUCCCAUCUUUUUUAUUUUGGGGAUCCUUUCCUGCCAGCUUUGGAGAUGAAAGAAACUUAUGGGAACAUGGAGAGAAAAAAGGGCAGGUUAUAUAAAUUGAUAAAGUUAUAACUAAAGAGACUUUGAAAGAACCACAGCACCUCUCAAUCUGUGAAGGCUUUGAAUAAUUUGAAGGCUAUCUUGUCUCUUUCUAUCUCUGUCAGAUAAAGAAUAUGAAUAGUUAUGAUGAACUACAUUAUUCUCAUUUCAUAUUUUUUAUCAUUUGUAUGUUUUAAAUAUUUACUAAAAAAUACCUAAUUUAAAACUGAUAGUGGGUUUUGUUUUGUUUUUGGUAAGACAGUUGAUUGGCUUGAACAGUGGGGUUGUUUUAGAGAAACUCUUCAUUUUUAUAAUCUUCGUGGGUACAGUAUAGAUAGGACUUUUGUGAUCAUUGAUCACCUUUAAAACUCAGAGUUCUGUAAGUUCAGUGUAUCUGAUUCAGUCUACCCUAGGAUCACUGAUUAGCUUACUAACUUAUGUAAAGGGUUAUUUAGGUGAUUGAUAGUGAUAUUGUACUAAUAGGAAGAAUGUAUUCACUCUUUAAACAAUUUCUAAUUUCUGAGUUCUCCAUGCCUAUACCAUGUCAUAUAACCACCUAUUUUAGGGAAACCAUUUUUCUUUGAUUUGUCAAUGUAUAAAACAUGCCUCUUUUGAAGAGUCACCAAAUCUUAUUGAGUGUUCAUACCUCUCCAUGUUUGAAAAAGAAUUAAAAAAAAUAAUAAUACAAAUGAAAUUUGCUAAAUACUUGCUUUUAGGAUCUCUUUAUCAGCUAAGUAUAGUUCUUUGUGUUUAUGUGACUAGGACUUAUUUCUGUGCCUUCUGAUUUGACUGGAAUUUCUAUGUACUGAAGAAAUAUUCUUUACCAUUCCUGGAAAUUCUGCCUAUCAUUUUAUUUAACCCUCAGAAAACAUUAAUUGAAAAUUCAAUUGUGUGCUGGAGACUUUUUUUUAGGGAAAUAUUUCCAGUUUUUUGUUUGUUUGUUCAUUUUAUUUUGGUUUUGUGGUGCUGGGGAUACAACCCACAGUCUCAUGCAUGCCAGGCAGGCACUCCAUCACUGAGCUACAUCCUCAACCUAGAGACCUCUUCUAGUAUUAAUAAAAUAGGAAACAGCCAAAAUGGUCAAAAAAAAAAUGGAAUUUGUUUAAAUUCACUCAUUCACAACUAUUUCUUGGCUGUCUUCUUUGUUUUAGGGACUUGAGAUUAUGUUUGCUCUCUAACUGAAUCGGCACACUUUUAUCUCAUGGAAAUUGUAAUCUAAUAGAGAAAGCAGGACUUCAUAAACUCAUCAGGUAAUCACAGAUUAUUUCAGCUGAAGGAAGUCUUGUGAAGAGAGGUGUAAGGGUAUAAGAGAGGCUACAAUGGGAGGACCAGUCUGAGGCACUGUGGAGCCAGUAAAAAUGAUCUGUGGACGUAUAUCCAACAGCAGGAAGCCUCUGCAUACAUUAUUAAGGGAACAGUAAGUUAUAACACAGUAGAGGCAACUCGACUUUAUUAAUAUAUGUAAAAAUGUACGUGUCCUGGGGCUGGGGCUGGGGCUCAGCGGUAGACCACUCCUCUCACAUGUGUCAGGCCCAGGGUUCGAUGCUCAGCACCACAUAAAUAAAAUAAAAAGGUAUUGUGUCCACUUACAACUAAAUAAAUAUUUUUAAAAAUGUACAUGUCCUUAGAAAAGUAUGGAAUGACAUGUAAAUGUUAACAGUGUGUUGAACUAUUGAAUCAUAGAUGGUUUUUCCUUUAUAUUUAUCUCUUUUUUCUAAGUGUUCUACAAUCAAUAUCUAUUACUUGCAUUAAUGAAAAAUAUUAAAAAGAAAUUUGUAGUCUCUGUCCUUGAAGAGCUUGUUCUGGUGAGGAAGACAGAAUACAGAGAUAAAUGAUGAAGGUGCAAUGGGAACAUCUUGUAUCAGUGUCUGCUGAAUGCUGGGUGACUCUAUUUUCUUGGGUUCCUGACAGCAGGCUGGUGAGGAAAGAAAUAUAAGGCAAUGUGAUGGAAGGACUGGGACCACCAUUAGUUUUCUAUUGUUGCUGUAAUAGAUUACCACAAACUAAGCAACUUAAAACAAUGAGGUUCUGUAAAUCAGAAAUAUAAACAAGCACAGCUUAGCUGGUUCUUUGGCCCAGGUUUCAUAGGCCCUGUUGUCAGGGCUGUAAUUUUUUCUUGUGACUCUGGCAAUGAAUUGUCUUCCAGACUGCUUCAGAUGUUGAUAGUUCUGUUCCAUGUGGCUGUAGGGCUGAGGUAUGUUUCCUUGCCAUCAGCUGGGAGUCAUUCUCAGCUUCUGGGGUCAGCCUGAAUAUUCUCCAGCCUAUUUUCUAUGACUCAUGACUCCUUUCCCCCUAUAAAUAGAUUGUUUACCUAUUUAUAUUUAUCUGGGUAUAAGAGUUGAGAGCACUUGAAAAGUUAGAAGGCACAAACCCUUCUUGUUCUUGAAUCCCUCUGACUUUCUUUUUUCAGGGCAGCAUCUUGAUUAUAGGUUAUACAUGUGGAUUGAAGAGUCAGCCAGUAAUUGGCAGCUGAGGGACAGUUUUAGGUGGUAUUAGAGCCCCAGUUAAACAAGUUGAGGGUCAGGGCAAGGCUUGCAUUCUGUACAGGAAAAGUCACACAGAGUUGGUCUAAGUGUUACCUGUAAAUGAUGAGACAGAAGCUGGCGAAUGGAUGGUCAUGUAGACUGUUGGGCUGACAGAUGGCUCCAGAGCCCACCUUCUAAUGAGGAUGGGAUUCUGAGGAGAAGGCCAGGCCUGGAUCUUGUUGGCUGAGGAACAACAUGGUCUGAGUCUAUAGGGUGGAAUUCUUACAGGCCAGGUGAAGACUGGCUCACAUGGGAAGGAGCUCCUGACUGUUGCAUGGAGUUGUAGAAACACAGAAGAUGGGAGGUGGUACAUUCAUCCCGUGUGCUGGUGCUGGAGUGCCGCAGUCUGGCUGGGCACAAAUCACCGAGCCACCACAAAGCACUUGUAUGUUCAAACAGGAAACUUUAUUGCCGGAACUCUACCAGCACUCCACGCACACUCCCCAGGAACUCUCUCUGCUCUCCCCCAGGCUCCGGGCCUACUCCACUCGGACCCUGGAGAACUUCAUGGGAACUCCAAAGUAGCCGGGCUGAGGCAGCAGGAACCACCCUAUUCCCCACCCUAUUGCCGUUAAGCAGGGGUCCAUAUACAACUGAAUACACAGCUUAACAUAACCAUUAUCAUCUCAAUGGCUCGCUGGUGUCACCUCUCAACCACUCCCUUCUAGCAGAAUGCCACGCUCAUCCCAACUCCGACUCCGCUGUGGCCCUCAACACUGGAGUUUGGCAAAGGUUCUACCCAUGUCAUUGAGGCAUAUUCCUUAGAGCAGCCCAGGAGCUCAUCUCUUGUUCCUAUACUUAAGGACAAUUUUGAGCAAAUGGAGGUAUUCUAAAUCCUUUAGGAUUUUGAUCUUUACUUAAAGGGAAAACACCCUCUUCUCUGUCUCCUGUCAAACACUUUGAUUCCAACAUUAACUUAACCACCUCUUCUAGUUCAGCUUAAUAUGAGAAAGAGCAGCCUCCAUAGAUCCCUCCCGUGAACUUUCAUUUGUGAGCUUCUGUUACCGCUGUUGACCGGUGACGAGUUCUUGCUUCCCCAGUGUUGAAGAAUAACACCAAAGAAGCACGCCGAGGCAAGGUCAGAGUAGAAAUUAGAAGUUUAUUAAAGGACAGCAGAAAAGACUUCUCCCGGAGGAAGAAGGGGACCCAAGAGGUGGAAUCCGUGGAAGGGAUGUUGUCUCCCCUUUUUAUAGUUCUUUCAGUGAUGGAAUGUAGGUGGGAAGGACCGAGGGGUGGGACACAGGUGGGCCAAAGAAGUAAUCUGGUCAGGAAGGACUUCUGAGUCAGCACCUUUUUGCUGGGGGCUGUUCAUUAACAUUUCUUUGAGGUGGACUUUGGCCUAGGGCCUUUUCGGGACUUCAUUAACAUUCCAUGAGUUGUCCUGUGUUUUCCCUGAGUCAUUCUCCGCAUGGUCUCCAUUUUAGAUUUCACUCGAUAUUAGACCCGAUUUACCUAACUACACUGACUACCUAACUUUAAAUCUGGCUUCANNNNNNNNNNNNNNNNNNNNNNNNNNNNNNNNNNNNNNNNNNNNNNNNNNNNNNNNNNNNNNNNNNNNNNNNNNNNNNNNNNNNNNNNNNNNNNNNNNNNNNNNNNNNNNNNNNNNNNNNNNNNNNNNNNNNNNNNNNNNNNNNNNNNNNNNNNNNNNNNNNNNNNNNNNNNNNNNNNNNNNNNNNNNNNNNNNNNNNNNNNNNNNNNNNNNNNNNNNNNNNNNNNNNNNNNNNNNNNNNNNNNNNNNNNNNNNNNNNNNNNNNNNNNNNNNNNNNNNNNNNNNNNNNNNNNNNNNNNNNNNNNNNNNNNNNNNNNNNNNNNNNNNNNNNNNNNNNNNNNNNNNNNNNNNNNNNNNNNNNNNNNNNNNNNNNNNNNNNNNNNNNNNNNNNNNNNNNNNNNNNNNNNNNNNNNNNNNNNNNNNNNNNNNNNNNNNNNNNNNNNNNNNNNNNNNNNNNNNNNNNNNNNNNNNNNNNNNNNNNNNNNNNNNNNNNNNNNNNNNNNNNNNNNNNNNNNNNNNNNNNNNNNNNNNNNNNNNNNNNNNNNNNNNNNNNNNNNNNNNNNNNNNNNNNNNNNNNNNNNNNNNNNNNNNNNNNNNNNNNNNNNNNNNNNNNNNNNNNNNNNNNNNNNNNNNNNNNNNNNNNNNNNNNNNNNNNNNNNNNNNNNNNNNNNNNNNNNNNNNNNNNNNNNNNNNNNNNNNNNNNNNNNNNNNNNNNNNNNNNNNNNNNNNNNNNNNNNNNNNNNNNNNNNNNNNNNNNNNNNNNNNNNNNNNNNNNNNNNNNNNNNNNNNNNNNNNNNNNNNNNNNNNNNNNNNNNNNNNNNNNNNNNNNNNNNNNNNNNNNNNNNNNNNNNNNNNNNNNNNNNNNNNNNNNNNNNNNNNNNNNNNNNNNNNNNNNNNNNNNNNNNNNNNNNNNNNNNNNNNNNNNNNNNNNNNNNNNNNNNNNNNNNNNNNNNNNNNNNNNNNNNNNNNNNNNNNNNNNNNNNNNNNNNNNNNNNNNNNNNNNNNNNNNNNNNNNNNNNNNNNNNNNNNNNNNNNNNNNNNNNNNNNNNNNNNNNNNNNNNNNNNNNNNNNNNNNNNNNNNNNNNNNNNNNNNNNNNNNNNNNNNNNNNNNNNNNNNNNNNNNNNNNNNNNNNNNNNNNNNNNNNNNNNNNNNNNNNNNNNNNNNNNNNNNNNNNNNNNNNNNNNNNNNNNNNNNNNNNNNNNNNNNNNNNNNNNNNNNNNNNNNNNNNNNNNNNNNNNNNNNNNNNNNNNNNNNNNNNNNNNNNNNNNNNNNNNNNNNNNNNNNNNNNNNNNNNNNNNNNNNNNNNNNNNNNNNNNNNNNNNNNNNNNNNNNNNNNNNNNNNNNNNNNNNNNNNNNNNNNNNNNNNNNNNNNNNNNNNNNNNNNNNNNNNNNNNNNNNNNNNNNNNNNNNNNNNNNNNNNNNNNNNNNNNNNNNNNNNNNNNNNNNNNNNNNNNNNNNNNNNNNNNNNNNNNNNNNNNNNNNNNNNNNNNNNNNNNNNNNNNNNNNNNNNNNNNNNNNNNNNNNNNNNNNNNNNNNNNNNNNNNNNNNNNNNNNNNNNNNNNNNNNNNNNNNNNNNNNNNNNNNNNNNNNNNNNNNNNNNNNNNNNNNNNNNNNNNNNNNNNNNNNNNNNNNNNNNNNNNNNNNNNNNNNNNNNNNNNNNNNNNNNNNNNNNNNNNNNNNNNNNNNNNNNNNNNNNNNNNNNNNNNNNNNNNNNNNNNNNNNNNNNNNNNNNNNNNNNNNNNNNNNNNNNNNNNNNNNNNNNNNNNNNNNNNNNNNNNNNNNNNNNNNNNNNNNNNNNNNNNNNNNNNNNNNNNNNNNNNNNNNNNNNNNNNNNNNNNNNNNNNNNNNNNNNNNNNNNNNNNNNNNNNNNNNNNNNNNNNNNNNNNNNNNNNNNNNNNNNNNNNNNNNNNNNNNNNNNNNNNNNNNNNNNNNNNNNNNNNNNNNNNNNNNNNNNNNNNNNNNNNNNNNNNNNNNNNNNNNNNNNNNNNNNNNNNNNNNNNNNNNNNNNNNNNNNNNNNNNNNNNNNNNNNNNNNNNNNNNNNNNNNNNNNNNNNNNNNNNNNNNNNNNNNNNNNNNNNNNNNNNNNNNNNNNNNNNNNNNNNNNNNNNNNNNNNNNNNNNNNNNNNNNNNNNNNNNNNNNNNNNNNNNNNNNNNNNNNNNNNNNNNNNNNNNNNNNNNNNNNNNNNNNNNNNNNNNNNNNNNNNNNNNNNNNNNNNNNNNNNNNNNNNNNNNNNNNNNNNNNNNNNNNNNNNNNNNNNNNNNNNNNNNNNNNNNNNNNNNNNNNNNNNNNNNNNNNNNNNNNNNNNNNNNNNNNNNNNNNNNNNNNNNNNNNNNNNNNNNNNNNNNNNNNNNNNNNNNNNNNNNNNNNNNNNNNNNNNNNNNNNNNNNNNNNNNNNNNNNNNNNNNNNNNNNNNNNNNNNNNNNNNNNNNNNNNNNNNNNNNNNNNNNNNNNNNNNNNNNNNNNNNNNNNNNNNNNNNNNNNNNNNNNNNNNNNNNNNNNNNNNNNNNNNNNNNNNNNNNNNNNNNNNNNNNNNNNNNNNNNNNNNNNNNNNNNNNNNNNNNNNNNNNNNNNNNNNNNNNNNNNNNNNNNNNNNNNNNNNNNNNNNNNNNNNNNNNNNNNNNNNNNNNNNNNNNNNNNNNNNNNNNNNNNNNNNNNNNNNNNNNNNNNNNNNNNNNNNNNNNNNNNNNNNNNNNNNNNNNNNNNNNNNNNNNNNNNNNNNNNNNNNNNNNNNNNNNNNNNNNNNNNNNNNNNNNNNNNNNNNNNNNNNNNNNNNNNNNNNNNNNNNNNNNNNNNNNNNNNNNNNNNNNNNNNNNNNNNNNNNNNNNNNNNNNNNNNNNNNNNNNNNNNNNNNNNNNNNNNNNNNNNNNNNNNNNNNNNNNNNNNNNNNNNNNNNNNNNNNNNNNNNNNNNNNNNNNNNNNNNNNNNNNNNNNNNNNNNNNNNNNNNNNNNNNNNNNNNNNNNNNNNNNNNNNNNNNNNNNNNNNNNNNNNNNNNNNNNNNNNNNNNNNNNNNNNNNNNNNNNNNNNNNNNNNNNNNNNNNNNNNNNNNNNNNNNNNNNNNNNNNNNNNNNNNNNNNNNNNNNNNNNNNNNNNNNNNNNNNNNNNNNNNNNNNNNNNNNNNNNNNNNNNNNNNNNNNNNNNNNNNNNNNNNNNNNNNNNNNNNNNNNNNNNNNNNNNNNNNNNNNNNNNNNNNNNNNNNNNNNNNNNNNNNNNNNNNNNNNNNNNNNNNNNNNNNNNNNNNNNNNNNNNNNNNNNNNNNNNNNNNNNNNNNNNNNNNNNNNNNNNNNNNNNNNNNNNNNNNNNNNNNNGCUGAACUGCACUGGGUCUAAGUUGUUAAACAACUAAGUGGUCAGGGGGGAUUAUCUAAUGGGCAGUUCCUGGAAUUGUCUUAACUGCCACAGGAAUUUCAGGCUUUGAGUGUAGCUUAGAAACUUAACAAUACCUGGUCCUUUACAUUUUAACUCAGGCUUUGCAGCUUAGAAACUUUACUCUUUCACUUUGUAAUACACUUUAGGUAAUUAUUAACCACUGUAAGUAUGAAUUUUACAUUCAUUGGUUCUUUACCUAUUUAUNAAGCACGCCGAGGCAAGGUCAGAGUAGAAAUUAGAAGUUUAUUAAAGGACAGCAGAAAAGACUUCUCCCGGAGGAAGAAGGGGACCCAAGAGGUGGAAUCCGUGGAAGGGAUGUUGUCUCCCCUUUUUAUAGUUCUUUCAGUGAUGGAAUGUAGGUGGGAAGGACCGAGGGGUGGGACACAGGUGGGCCAAAGAAGUAAUCUGGUCAGGAAGGACUUCUGAGUCAGCACCUUUUUGCUGGGGGCUGUUCAUUAACAUUUCUUUGAGGUGGACUUUGGCCUAGGGCCUUUUCGGGACUUCCAUGAGUUGUCCUGUGUUUUCCCUGAGUCAUUCUCCGCAUGGUCUCCAUUUUAGAUUUCACUAGAUAUUAGACCUGAUUUAUCUAACUACACUGACUACCUAACUUUAAAUCUGGCUUCACUUGCCUCCAUCCUUACCCCCAGGCAACCACUGAUCUGUUCUUGUUGCUAUAGGUUUUUUUCCCUAGACCAUCAUGAAAUCAUAGAUGUAAUAUUUUGUCUCUGCCUUUUUUUUUUUUACAUAGCAUAAGGUUAAUGAGAUUCAUCUGUGUUAUUUUAAUACAGCAUUAGGUGGAUCUUUUUAAAUUACUGAGUAGUAUUCCAUUGCAUGGUUAUACUACAUUUUUUAAAUCUAUACAUCUUUUUAAAAUUUCCAUAUUAAAACUUUUUUUUACUAUCAUGAAUAAUACUGCUUUGAAAAGAUGUGUACAUGAUUUUAUAUGGGCAAAUAUGUCAUUAUUCUUAGCUGGAUAUUUAGAAUUGGGAUUGCUGAGUCAUAUUGUGAGGGUAUAUUAAACUUUAUAGGAAGUUGACAAAACUGUUUUCCAGAGUGGUUGCCCCAUUUUGCAAGGAAAGGGGAGGGUUGUGGGCUGUACCUCUCAUGAAAAUUCUGUAUUAUCAGUCUUUUUAUUUUUAGCUAUUCUGGUGGGUGUGUAGUGGUAUCUCCUUGUUUUUACUUCACUUACUUCUAAUGACCAGUGGUGUUGAGCAUCUUUUUUUAAAAAAAAAAAAUAUUUUUAGUUGUAGAUGGACACAAUACCUUUAUUUAUUUAAUUUUAUGUGGUGCUGAGGAUCAAACAAAGUGCCUUACACACGCUAGGUGAGCAUUUUACCUUUAAGCCCCAAUCUCAGCCUUGUUGAGCAUCUUUUUAAGUGCUAAUCAAACAUUCAUCUAUCUUCUUUGUAUUUAUACCUUUUGCACAUCUUUUAACAAAUUGGUUUCUAUUAAUGACUUGCAAGAGUUCUUCAUAUAAUCUGGAUAUAAGACUUUUGUUAGGUAUAUGUUUUUUAAAUGCUUUCUCUAAUCUGUGGUUUGCCUUUUUGUUUUCUUAAAACCAUCUUUUGAUGACGAAAGUUUGUAAUUUUGAUGAAGUCAAAUUUAUCCAUUUUUAUCAAUGGUUCAUAUAUUUGUGUUUUAUUUAAGAAGUUGUUGCCUUUAAGUUCACAAAGAUUUUUUUCCAUGCUUUCUUCUAGAAUUUUUUUGAUUUAGUUCUUGUGUUUUUGUCAAUGAUCUAUUUUGAUUUAAUUUUUGAAUGGUGUGAAUAAAAGCCAAGAUUUAUCUUCCCCAACUCUCAUACAAAAUUACAGUUAUUCAGCAGCAUUUAUUGAAAAGACUACCUUCCCCUUGGAUUUAUCCUGGCAUCUUUGUUGAAAAUAGGUUUUUAUCUUAAGUCGAAACAAAAGGAGUUCCUAGUAGGGGUAGCCACCAAUAUUACAGAGUAAUAGAAAUAGUUUUCCUCAAAUUAAACAAACAAGGAUGUCACCUUUUUUAUACUACUGUUUCAAAUAACUAGUUGAAACAAAUCCUAUAAAAGAGAUAAAUGGAAUGUGUAUAGGUCAUUACAGAGAAAAUAAUACUAUUUGCCAAUGGCAAGGGACUAUCACAUGGAAUGUUUAGGAGAUGCAAUAAAAACACCUUGAAAUGAGGUGCUUAAAUUAUAUGUUAUAAAACAUGUACCUAAGUAAAUUUAGUCAUUUAUCACUAUGCAGAAAAAUAUAAGGAAAAAUAUAAUACUUGAUUUUUUUACAAAAAACUAAAAGCCAAGAAGAUAUAUGUGUGUGUAUACACACACAUACAUAUAUAUGUAUAUAUGGCUAAAUAUAGAGAUUUAUAAUACUUUAAUGGAAAGAAGAGAAAACAAAUAAUAAGAGAAAUUUAAUCUAUUCCUGCGUAAAUAGUCUUAAUAAAGAUGAUGAUACUAACAAAGUUAAUUUAUAAACUUAAUGCAGUACCAGUUAACAUCCCAGUUGGAUGUUGACUUUAACUUUAACUUGAUUGAUAGUAUAAAAUGCAGAGUAAAAAAGUAGCUAAGAAUUUCAGAGGAAAAAAAUAGUUUUUUAAUUAUUCUUAAAAUAAUUCGAAAGGAUUACAAUGAGGUGAAUUUAUUAUAAAACAAUGAAAUAGAACUUGGGAGCCACGGUAGAAGUGCAAAAGAGAUUAGACCAGAAGUCUAGGCUAAUUAUAGUUACUGAAGUUGACACCAGAUUAGCUGGAAACCGUCUGGCUUUCAAGGCAGAAAAAGAAACUUGUAGGUUUUUCAGCAGGGAAUGAAAAUUGAGAAACCACUAGGCAGACACUAUAAAUUGCAUAAGUGGGCUGGGUAUAACACAAUAGGAAAUAUUGGACUUCUGAACUUUGUAUGUGUGCCCCAUACAGAGAAGAUAGCUGCUACUUGGUUUUAGCUGAGGUUUGGCAUGUACACAAAAGAGUCUGCGAUGCUAAGUUUUCAGGGAGUCCAGAAGCCUGUUGGGAGGAGCUCACAAGACUUGUUAGAUCUCAGGAUUUUUAGAUGUUGGCAUUUAGUGUACUGGCCAAACAAAAUAUGUGGGAGUGAAGGGUACCUUAUUGAAUCAAGAUUACAUAUCUAUAGUUUUCACUCUCCUAUUAAUAACUGUAUACUUUUGAGCCGAACAAAAGGAGUUUAGCCAUUCUAAACUAAAACUUUUUCCAGAGUAUAUUUACGAGACCUAAAUAUAGGUUAGUAGCAGUGAUGGAAACAAAAUAGAAGUAGAAGAAAUAAAUUGAUAGUAGAUUAGUACAUAUGAGAAGCCAACUAAAAUAAAACCUGUGAAAGCAAUCGUGUUUAACAAAAAAUAUUAGGUUGAAUGAUAUGACAAAGAAAGCUUCCUUUAGACGGAUUUUCAUCUCAUACCAUGCAAACUAAAUUCCAGAUGAAUUAAAUAUUUUGAAAUGAAUAUUAUACUUAUCUUUGCUUUGGAGAGGAGAUAAUUUAUACAUUGUUAAAGCUAUAAAGAAAUUAAGUAGUACCAAGGUUGGCAUGUUUGAUUAUGAAAAAUUUGAUUUUCUGGUACAAAGAUAAAAGCAACACAAUGGAAACAGUAUUUGCAGUUUUUUUAUGAUAGUAAGAUUUUUCAUGUAAUCGGGGAUGUAUCCAUAAGGUUAGAUGUAGUGGACAGCCAAAGGAUAGUUUAUACCAUAGAAAAUAACAAUAAUAUUUGACCUAAAGGGCUUCGUUUAUAAUAUUAAUACAGUAGUAGUAGUACCCACUUCCUAGGGUGUCUGGGGAAUAAAUGUGCAGUGCCAGAUGGGGAAAAGCAGCUCUUUGAACCAACUUCACAUGUGUAUUGUUUACAAAGCACUUUUUAUCAUUCUUCUCAUUGAUUCUUACUCUAGCCCAGGACAGUUUUUAAGUUUUCUCAGUGGAGACUUUUAGGGUUCACUUCUUCCACAGUCACAACUUAGUCUUUGUCACCACCUUAACUGAUCCACCCGUAAAAUCAAUCCAGAAAAUUCAAGAACUCACCAUUCUGGCCUCAGGUUUCUCUUUCCAACUCACAUGUUCUUUUUAGCUACUGCAGCCAUUCUUUCAUCUUUAGUCUAGAAAAUACUUCCUUAGUUUCUCCUGAGUGGUCUUUCCUUUUUACUUUUACCCUUGUUUUUUCCUGUAACAUAUUUUUUCUUUUCAUAAUAUUGUGACAAUAUGUAGUAUCUACCUCUGCCUCACUCUGCCUUCAACAAAGAUCUGCUUCUAUUUUGUUUCCAUUGCUGCUAUAACCUAUAACCUAAGUGUGAAGGUCAAAGGAAUUGAAUGGACAUUGCAGAUACCUGAAUGAUUAGGUUCAUGAAUAGGCACACAAGAAGAUGCUUAAUAACAUUAGCCAUUGUGUUAGGCAGCUUUUUGUUGCUUUGACAAACUACCUGAGAAAGUCAACUAAAGGAGGAAAGAUUUAUUUUGGCUCCUGGUUUCAGUCCAUGACUGGCUCCAUGCUUAGGGUCCUGAGGCAAGCAGAACAUCUUGGCAGCAGGAGCAUAUGGUAGAAGCCAUUCUUCUCACAGUAGCUGGGAAGCAGUGGCAGUGGGAGGGGCGGGGGACAAGAUACAAUCCCCAAGCAUAUGGCCUCAAGGACUUACUCCCUUCAACUAGGUCCUGCAUCUACAUUUUCUACCACCGCCCAGUUGUGCAUUCAUCUAUGAAGACCUCAGUGGAUUAAUCAGUUGAUGAGGUCAGAGCCCUUAUGACCCACUAACUUCCCCAAAACCGCAUCUCUGAACAUUGCUUCACUGGGGGACCAAGCCAUCAACACCUGAGCUUUUGGUGGACAACUCAUAUCCAAACUACAACAGCCAUCAAAGAAAAAAAAAAUUCAAAUCAAAACCACCAAUCCACUAGAAUAGCUAGCUGUAACAGAAAAAUACAGUUGAAAGUUUUAACAAAAAUGUGGAGAAAUUGGAGCAUCUAUAUGUUGCUAUGCAUUGCUGCUGGAAAUGUAGAAGGUGCAGCUGCUGUGGUAAACAGUCUGGCCAUUCCUUAAAAUAUUAAACAUGGAAUUACCAUGUAUAACAGUAUCACUCCUUGGUGUCUACCCAAAAGAAUUAAAAAUACAUGUUCACACAAAGACCCGUACAUGAAAAUGUUGAUAGAAUUUUUCAUAAUAGCCUAAAAGGAAAAACAGCACACAGACUGUGGAUGCAGGACCUAGUUGAAGGAAGUGAAGCCUUGAGGCCAUAUCCUUGAUGAAUGAGUCAACAAAACAAGGUAUAUCUACAGAAUGGAAUAUUAUUCAGCCACAAAAAGGAAUGAAGAACUGAUAUUUAUUAUAGCAUGAGGAAUCUUGCAAGUGUUACACUAAAUAAAUUAAUGCAGCUACAAAAAGCAUAUAUUGUAUUAUUCUACUCAUAUGAAAUGUCCAGAAGAAGCAAGUUUAUAUGGAGGAAAAAAGUUGAUUAAUAGUUGUGUAGGGUUGAAGGAGAAGAGAUAUAGGAGAAUGUGACUGUUAAUAAAUAAUUUCUUUUGGAGUGAUGAAAAUACUCUAAAAUUAUAUUUUACUGAAAAACUCAAUAAAAUAUACUUAAAACAUUGAAUUACACAGUUUAUAAAGGAAAACUUUAUGGUAUGUUAAUUAUACCUCAAUCAAGUUGUUAAAUUAAAGAGAAAAUGAACUCUCUUGCCCUUGUCUCAUGGCACAUACCGUUUCUCAGUAUGAUUACUAGAAAAGUUGAUUUUGAGAAUACCCCUGAUUAUGUAGUAUGAACAAUGAACUUGUUUUGGAGGUGUUCUUCCAGUAAACUUUGCUAAAUAGAAAAAAGUCUUUUUUUUCUUGUAGCUCUUGUAAAAUAUUUUUAAAGAUGUUUUAUUUGUUUUCUUGCCUCCGCUUAGUAUAAGAAACACAAUUUAUAGUUAGUGAUUCCUGGAUUUUAUUUUGGCAGUGAUUUCUCCCUUGAUGGUACAAGGAAGAGACUGGCUUUGCAGCUAAACAGAAAAAUCAUUUUUCUCCCAUGCUUUUUCAGUUCCUGCCUUUGUCUUGUUCUGUUUGUAUAUCUUUGGCUUGUGUGUGUGUGUGUGUGUGUGUGUAUGGGUGGGGUCUUCCUUUUAAUGUCUUUCAUUGGUACUGACAGUUGGUUCAAAACUGUGAAAUAUGAAUUCUCAUUUGAGGAAAAUACAUGUCAAACUGUGUAUGAUUUCAGGAGGGUCACGGAUUAGAAAUCUCAGCGGCAUACUUGCUUUGGUGACCUCAUCUACUUCCAGGUGUAAAUUACCAUUUAUAUGCUGAGCAAUACAAAUUCUCUAUCCCUGUCCAGGUUUCUCUGCUAGGAACUAUAGCUAACUGUCUGGGUCUACUUGGAUGUCCUACAAAUACUACAAAUACUUCGUAUCUUCUUAUCCUUUCUAAACCGCCCCUCCCCUUUUUUUAAUAGAACGGGAUUCCAAACCAGAACACCCCAACCACCCUGGUCUGAAUUGAUACUAAGCAUGAUCCUUAAUUUUUCCAUGUCCUCUACAUGUAUCAGUCAUCAAGUUUUGUUUGUUUGUUUGUUUUCAAUCUUUUGAAAUUUGUUCCUUCUUGUUACUAUUCCCACCAAUGAUUGAAGGCCUCAUUUCUUGGUGGAAAUCCUGUAGCUUCCUGACUAGUCUCCUUAUGUUCUGUCUUGUUCAUUCUCCAUAUUGCAGCUGAUAAACUCCCAACAGCUUCUCAGCAUCUUUAACAUGGGCUCUAAACUUGUCAGCACCGUUAAUAGCACUUAGAAGGCCCUAGACAACUUCACUCCAGCUCUCUCAUCCAGCCACCAUGUCUCAUCACAGUACGUAUCAGUCAUGCUGAUCUUUCUUGUUUUCUCAGCUGAGCCCUGUUUUCUCUCACUUUAUGCCCUGGUGGGCUCAUUCCGUCCCUGCUUAUCCCCUUUCCUCCAUACCUGGCGAACUAUUAUCCUUCUUUACAUCUUGGCUUUAGAUAUUUCUUUUGUGGGCAUCUUGUCUCCAUUCACGAGACCCAUCUGAGGGUCUGUCCACAUGGUUUACAGCUGUCUCCUUAACUUCUGGACUGUGAAUGCUGGGAAGCAAGAUGCUUGCUGGCAUGGUUCUGUUUAUCAUUCUAUCUCUAGUGCUUACUUAAUCCUAUAUCUGGCUGAGUGGGUAUUUAAUAAAUAUCUGUUGAAUAAAAGAGAGUUUUUUUCUCUACCUAAAAUAUCUUAUUACCAACUUUAUCUUGACCUCAGCUUCACUUGAGAAAAUUUUGUACAAUUACCAUCUGUUUAUUAAUUCAUUAAAUGAUUAUGGAGCAUCUUCAUUGUACCAGGCAUUCAUUAUUUUAGGCACUAAAGAUAUAGUGAUUCGUAGUCAAAUAUCCCUGCCUUUCUGAAGCUGAGAUAUAUAUAUUACAUAUUAUGAGAGAGAGAGAGACAUAUACAUAUAUACAUACAUUUUGGUGGAGACAGAUAAUAAACAGAUAAAUAAGUAAAAUACACAGUGUGUAAAUGAAAGUGCUGAGGAGAAAUGAAUGAAACAGGGAAGAUGGAGAAGGCGCAUCAGAGUAGAGGGUUGGCCUUUUAGACAGAGUAGCCAGCAAAGUCUUCAAUGAGGAGGUCAAUUUUGAAGGAAGACUUCAAAGAAGUAAGGGACUAGCCUUGUUGCUCUCUAGAAAAGGAAAAUUCCAGGCAGAUGGUACAAAGGCCCCAAGGUGUGUGCCAAAGAGUUUGAGGACUAGAAAGGGGACUAGGGGAGACCAGUGGGAGUUAAGGUCAGAGAGAGACAAAUGUUCUCUGAGUGUUGUUUCACAAUCUGAUCCCUGGGGGUCCUCUGCUAUUUGAACUUGUUUUCAGCUGUUGAUGCUCUGAACUACCAGAAGGAACUAUGAAAUUCUCCCUUCUUAGCAGUUAUCUGUAAAUCAAGGGCCAGAGAAAUGCUAGCAAAGGAGGCUGUGGUGCCAGUUAGCUUCACUUGAUUCUUUGGGGAUUGGUAAGGUUCAUUCUUAGUAUUUGUGGUACUUUCCCUCAACCCCAGGAGAUUUCUGCCUUUUCUUCAGGAUGGGGGACACAGUGAUGACAUCCCUGUCAUCAGCCUAAAUAGAUGAAGCUUUCCAGUUACCACAAUCCUCCUCUCUUUCUGUUCUCUGGUCUGUUUUAGUUCAUUUUCUAUUGCUAUAACAGAAUACCAGAGCCCAGGUCAAUUAUAAGCAAUAGAAUUUAUUUGACUCACAGUUCUGGAGGAUGGGAAGUCCCAAGAUGAAGGGGCUACAUCUGAUAAGGAUUUUCUUGCUGCAUCAUAACAUGAUAGAAGGCAUCUCAUAAUGAGUGAGAAAGAGAGAAAAAAUGAAUAAACAUGCCUACGUGUGCACAAGAGGGCCAAACUUCCAGUUUUCCUCAGGAGCCCACUCCUAUAAUCACUCUACAGAUAAUGGUAUUAAUCCAUUCAUGAGGGCAGUACCUCUUAAAGGUCUCACCUCUUAAUACCAUCGCAGCAACAAGUAAAUUUCAAUGUACAGAUUUGAGGGGACAAACAUUCAGACCAUAGCUUCAUGCAGGCUGGGGGUGUUGCGAACAUUGUACAACUCCCUCUGCCACUGUCUAGGGUUGAUGUAUUGGUUGGCUUUUUGUUUUGUUUUGAUGCUAGGGACGGACUUGAGGCCUCCUGUAUGUUAGGCAAGCAGUCUACCACUGAGCUACACCCUCAACCCCUGCAGUUACUAUUUUGAAGACAAAUUGCUGCUCUCAACUUGUUUCUUAGCUUUGUUCCAGAAAGUUGGGGCCAACAGGAUUUAAGUUAAUUAUGUGUUGCGGUUAGUUGGGUUUUACUGACUUUGUUGUGCUGGCCCUGGAGCUCUCUCCUGUUAUAACACAGCUCUCCAUGGGCAUUUGAGUCCCACCCCAGAGGAGAUGACUGGACUUGCCUUGCUGGCAUUUCCCAUCCCCAGGAAAUAAGAGGCCUUCUCUGUGCAGAAUCCACUGUGGGUGGAGUGUAGCCUCUUGGGGCUCUCUGUAACCUCUAGUUAGUAAUAGCAGAAGCCUCUGCUAGACUGCGGGUGCUUUUCCUUUCAUGUGAUUCACAGCGGCAGCAUACUCUGUAGAAAGGAGCUAUAAAUUGUAAAUUGAUAUGAGGUAAUAAUUGGAAAAAUGAUCAGACUCCAUUUUUAUUCCCCUUCGGGGAAGACACGCAUCAGGAAUCACUAAAGCAGAAGACGACGGAGGGCUUUUCAUCCAGCUCUCCAGCUUCAGUGCUGCAGUGCUUCCGUCCUGAUUAGAGGGGAGAGCAGCCAAAUUCGGCAGGAGGCGGCCAGCAGACCUAGUAUCUGCUUGCCACCUCUUGCUCCAAAAAGCCUUGCCGCAGAGAGUUACCAUGGCAGCAGGAGGCAGUUUAAUGGCAAAGGCUCAUCUCUGGAGCAGUGCUGCUGCACCCCAGCCAUUCCCGCCCUGGCCUUCAACCCAAGGGGCUGGGUUUACCAGGGCAUCACUGUGCCAGGGCCAUGUGAGGAGUGCAUGUCGCCCAAGGGGGUAGAGCUGUAAGAUCCUCCAGAGUCUGAGGGUGGCGACCUCUUCUCUUCCUGCUUCUCCUUGGUGCAUAGCUCUUUGAUGCCUCAUCCUAUAGUCGACCUUAUCAAAUCAUUUGCAGUUCCUUAAAUAUGCUCUUUCAUGCUUCUCUGCUUUUAGGCAUGCAGUUUCCUUUGCCUGGAGUUCUCCCUUCCCCAUCUGUCUGGAAAAUUCCUACUCAGUUUCAAAAUGUAGCUAAGAUACUGCCUCCUCCUUCUUAAUGCUUCCUCUAACCCCUUACUGUCCAGGCAGAGCUACACAGUUUCCACUGCCAUCUCGACCUUGUCAUGAAUCGCAUGGUUUCGAAAUGAUUAUUAUAUUUUUGUCUCUUCCUCUCUAGAUUAUAAGUUACUUGCAUUCAAAAACUGUUUUAUGAACCUUUUGUCAAACGGCCUUACUGCAGGAGUAAAUACUUAGUAAUGUUGGUUGAAUGAAUGGGAUGUUUUCCUUUCACAUCAUCUGGUUUAAUCCUUAUCACGGGUGUCGUCCUACCUGGAGCAGAGCCCUGCAUCUUAUCCAGGUGGGACUGUCUGCUCAGACAUCCUAGAAGAGUAAGCUGAUUUAAUCAGCCCCAGAUCACUCUCCAUUGCAUGUAUUCUCACUUUCUAAUUUGAAUUGGAAAGAGUAAUACUUGGGAAUCAGUCUCCCCAGCAGUCAAGCUAAUGUGGCCUCGUGUUGGUUGCCUGACUUCUAAAUCAGUUCCCUCAUUUGUUGGAUUAGGAUGUUGUAAGGACAGAGCCUAAGAUGCUUUGUGACUCAGAGUGAAUUCUUGGUCAGUCUUCUGUACCUUCUCCUCUCUUCAGCGACGAAAUUAAAAGCAAAAUCCAGCUUUAAACUAGCUUUGAGCCCUCUCUGGCAUCAUGUCAUUCAUUUAGUUUUACCUUCUUGCUGUGCACACAGGUGCCUUUCAGAAGUCCCCCUCUUUGAGUGGCUCUUGUGCCUAUUUCUGAGCUUUUGUGUCCCUCCUUUUGCCUCAUUGUUUUGUUUCAUCUCGUGUGCAUCUGUCCUCUUGUUCAUUAUGUAGACAGAAUGUUUUAUUUAGAUAUUUCUUCUUUUCCUGCCUUUUGGACAUAAUUUGUUCUUGUAUUUCAAAAUCACCAAUUUAAAGUGAAUUUAUUUUCUAUCUCCUUCAAAUAAUACUAGAAGCCACCUCCACCAUAAUGUAGAUUUACAUGCCUUACUUGCUACCCUCUGUAUGUUGGCUUUGCACUUUGGUCUGAGUAUUUUUUUUUCUACUUCCCUCUAACUUUUCAGUUCAAUGCUUGCUUAGGGUGUUUUGCAAUUCCCUUUGCAAAUGCGUUCUGUGUAUCAUGCUAUCGUGCUGUGUGCGUGUUGUGCGUGCCAAUGUCCUCAGGUAUCUAGGCUGUUUAGUUUCUGGCGUAUUUUUCUCUAAUAUUGCUUCCCAUCUUGCUUUCAUUUCUACUUUUGGUAUUUUGUUUUAUUGCAGUUCCUCUAAAGGAUGUGAAACUUAACAAAGCUAUUGUUUUUAAUAGGUCUAGUAAAAGAACCACUAAGAACAGCAAUGAAAAACUUGCUUUUAACUUAUAUUUAUGAAUUAUCUCUGACAUUGGUUUGCUAUAUUGGAGGGAUGCAGCAGAGAGGCCAAAGUGUGUCAUCAGCAUUGCCUGAGAAGCUUUUGCAAAAUUCAUGUGCCCAUCCUUGUCCCCACCAUUUGCCUGGUGGGACUGAAACUGGGCUGGGUUUUGAUAAAUCUUUCUAGAAGGUUUUGUGGCUUUUUUACCUGGUUUUUUUUUGUUUGUUUGUUUUUGUUUUUUGUUUUUUUACCCUCUCAGUUGAAAACCACUGAUUCAUAGUUUUAGUUACACUCAGCAGUCCCUCCUUAUCUUCAGGGAAUACAUUCUAAGAUGUUAGGCAGACUUCUUGAAACCAUGGAUAGUACCAAACCCUAUAUGUAUAUGAUAUUCUUUCAUAAAAUUUAAUUUAUAAAUUAGGCAUGGAUAGAGAUUAAAAUAUUGACUACUAAUAAUAGAACAGUUGUAACAAUAUACUAUAGUAAAAGUUAUUUAAAACUUAUGAAUCCUUUGUACAAUUCUCCAUUUAAUGUGGAAAUAUGAAUGUGACUCCGAGGUUAAGCACCCCUUGGUUUAAUUUCUAGGACCAAAAAGAAAAAAGGCGCAGUGUUAGUUUUACAUUAUUAUAUAGUCGUUAUGGAAUUCCCCUCAUCCUCCUUUCUUAUUUCCUUGUGCUGGACCUGUUCUGGAGGACUACUUAGUUCUCAUUAAGGUUAGUAACCUAGCAGUCAUAAACACUUCCAUGCAGAUUUGUCUUUCAAAUGAAGACUAAAUAUUAGUAUUGUAGUCCUGUUUUAUGUUCCUAUCAGAAAUUAUUGAAUGUAGUGCCUUGCUAUCAAAUGUAAAAUUUGUGAAAGGCAAGUAGUUUUCUUAAUAAUGAUGGGAAUUACAGAGUAUAUGUUAGGUACUUUAUAUAUAUAUUAUCGAUAACAUUUAGCAAACUCUGACAUAGGUCAUGUACAGUUUUACAGAGAAGAAAACUGAGGCUUAGAAGGAUAAAUAUGGUGGUGAGUGACUGUUAUCACAGUCCUUAGGAGGCCGAGGCAAGAGAAUCACAAGUUAAAGGCUAGCAAGAUCCCAUCUCAAGAGAGAGAACCCAAAGCAAGUUCAGGUUGGUCUAACUAAAGCAUGGUGUGAGGCUGCUGCUCAGUCACUAGUGUAAAUCAGGGAAUGUGUCUUAGGGUGGAACGUAAAUACAGUGGGGGCACUUUUGGCAGUGAAGGAGGCAGAAGCCCACAGGACAAUGAGUGUUUCUGUUCUCAGGAGGCUGUCAGUGAGAGCCUCAGCCCAGCUGCAAGGCCUUGGCAGCCUCUGUCCUUUUCCUUUUCCCUAAGCCUGGUUUUCUACAAUCGUGUGAUUUCUCCAGACACUUCUCAGGGCAUUGCUCAUCACUUAGAACUUUGUACUCCUCUCCCCCACCUUGUAUCCACCUCAACUCCCACCUGCCAAGACACACCACAGUAUUGUGAGGAUAAAAUCAUUGAUACAUGUGAAGAGUUCAGUGUAGCACAUGGUACACUGUACCACGUAAGUACACAGUAAAUUUAGCUACCGUUACUGUUAUUGUUAAUGGUAUUAAUAGUGGUGUUGGUGUUAGCAAUGGUCAUUGAUUCAAAGGUUUAGGACUCCCUACACAAGGACCUGGGUAUUUCCUGUCCAGAAUCUGGUUUUGUGCAGUUCAUAGUACCCACACCCAGGCACGGACAUGCUCAAUUGGGUGCAAAGGAUAGUUGGAAGGAGAAUUAGUAAGAGAAUGCUUUUUUCUACCCAAAGGUUGCCAGAAACAUUUCUCUCUAUGCCCUUACUGCCUCCUGUCAUUAGCAUGGAAACUGUCCAUGAAUCCCACUUCUAAACCACAUUCCUUUUCUGGCUUCUUUGCAUUUUUUUUUUUUUUUUUUAGAGUUGUUAGGAUUUAUGUUUUUUUUUUUUUUUAAUUUAUAUAUGACAGUGGAAUGCAUUACAAUUCUUACUACACAUAUAGAGCACAAUUUUUCAUAUCUCUGGUUGUAUACACAGUAUAUUCACACCAAUUCAUUUCUUCAUACAUGUACUUUGGAUAAUAAUGUUCAUCACAUUCCACCAUUAUUAAUAACCCCAUGCCCCUCCAUUCCCCUCCAAUCCCUCAAUCCCUCUGCCCUAUCUAGAGUUCGUCUAUUCCUUCCAUGCUUCCCCUUCCUACCCCCCUAUGAUUCAGCCUCCUUAUAUCAAAGAAAAUAUUCAGCAUUUGUUUUUUUUGGGAUUGGCUAACUUCACUUAGCAUUAUCUUUUCUAACUUCAUCCAUUUACCUGCAAAUGCCAUGAUUUUAUUGCUAAGUAAUAUUGCAUUGUGUAUAUAUGCAACAUUUUUAAUCCAUUCAUCUAUUGAAGGGCACCUAGGUUGGUUCCACAGUUUAGCUAUUGUGAAUCGUGCUGCUAUAAAAAUUGAUGUGGCUGUGUCCCUAUAGUAUGCUGUUUUUCAGUCCUUUGGGUGUAGACUGAAGAGAGGGAUAGUUGUGUCAAAUGGUGGUUCCAUUCCCAAUUUUCCAAGAAAUCUCCAUACUGCUUUCCAUAUUGGCUGCACCAAUUUGCAGUCCCACCAGCAGUGUAUGAGUCUACCUUUUUCCCCACAUCCUCGCCAACACUUAUUGUUGUUUGUAUGCAUAAAUAGCUGCCAUUCUGACUGGAGUGAGAUGAAAUCUUAGAGUGGUUUUGAUUUGCAUUUCUCUAAUUGCUAGUGAUGAUGAACAUUUUUUCAUGUAUUUGUUGACUGAUUAUACAUCAUCUUCUGAGAAGUAUCUCUUCAGGUCCUUGGCCCAUUUAUUGAUUAAGUUAUUUGGUUUUUUUGGUGCUUAGCUUUUUGAGUUCUUUAUAUACCCUAGUGAUUAGUGCUGUAUCUGAUGUUUUGCUCCCAAGAUAUAGGUUCUCUAUUCACCUCACCGAUUGUUUCUUUUGCUAAGAAGAAGCUUUUUAGUUUGAGUCCAUCCCAUUUAUUGAUUCAUGAUUUUAAUUCUUGUGCCACAGGAGUCUUAUUAAGGAAAUUGGGGCCUAAUUCCACAUGAUGGAGAUUAGGGCCUACUUUUUCUUCUAUUAGAUGCAGGGUUUCUGGUUUUAUUUUGAGUUGAGUUUUGUGCAUGGUGAGAGAUAGGGGUUUAAUCUCAUUUUGUUGCAUAUGGAUUUCCAGUUUUCCCAGAACCAUUUGUUGAAGAGGCUAUUUUUUUCUCCAAUGCAUGUUCUUGGUACCUUUGUCUAAUAUAAGAUAAUUGUAGUUUUGUGGGUUAGUCUCUGUGUCCUCUAUUCUGUACCAUUGGGAAUCAACUUAACGAAAGAGGUGAAACAUCUGUAUAAUGAAAAUUACAGAACCCUAAAGAAAGAAAUCAAAGAAAACCUUAGAAGAUGGAAAGAUCUUCCUUGCUCUUGGAUAAGCAGAAUUAAUAUUAUCAAAAUGACCAUACUGCCAAAGCACUAUACAGAUUUAAUGCAAUUCCAAUUCGAAUUCCAGUGACAUUUCUUAUAGAAAUAGAAAAAACAAUCAUGAAAUUCAUCUGGAAAAAUAAGAAACCCAGAAUAGCUAAAGCAAUCCUUAGCAGGUAGAGUGAAGCAGGUGACAUCACUGUACCAGACUUUAAACUACACUGCAGAGCACUAGUAACAAAAACAGCAUGAUAUUGGCACCAAAACAGACUUUUAGACCAAUGGUACAGAAUAGAGGACACAGAGACUAACCCACAAAACUACACUUACAUUAGACAAAGGUGCCAAGAAUAUGCAUUGGAGAAAAGUUGGCCUCUGCAUUCUUUUUAUCUAUGUAGAACAUUAAUACAUUAAUGGUUUUGGAGUCGCUAAGAGGGUGACUGUUUUUGGUUUUGUUUUGGUUGUUUGGUUUAGUGCUUUAUACUAUAGUUUCUACCGGCCCUUCUUGCUGGGUUCCUGGUCCCCUGGCUGCACUGAAGUGUGCAGUGUGCAAAGGCCUCUCUGGUGCCCUGCCACUUUUUCUACUUAACUGUUUUAUUUUUUUUUCCUGGUUUUCUUUUAUAGCCUCUAUCCUAGCACAGACAUUGGCUUUAUUCUUCUUGCUUCUCAGUUUUUCCACCUUAUUCUUCACUUGAUCAUAGCCAGAAAGCUGAGAAGUGAUUGCCUAAUUCAUACAUCCGGUUACAUUUCCAGUUGCAGAUUUGAGUUACAUUGUGGUAAAGACUAUGACAGAUGGCUCGAUUUUAUAAAACUUUCCAAGGACUCAGUAGAAUUGAGCCUGUGGAUGGAGGUUCUUUACUCAAGCCUUCCUUCUGACACUCCCUCCCUCCAUCCUUGCUUCUCUCAGCUGAGAGUGUUCUGGCCUCACUUUCAAUUUGGGCAAGAGAUAACAUCUGUAAUCUUUGUCAUGUCUUCUGCUUUAUCACAUUAAAAUUAUCUAUUGUCCUGUGAAUUUUAAUUAAUCUUCCCUUUUUAAAAAUACAAAUGUCCAAGAUCCAGGGGGAAUUAUUUAGGAUUGAGGGAUUAUUUUGUCUAUCUGUAAUGGACCUUUUAAAUAAAUAGUAUUUAUUGCCUUUAUCUCAAUUCAAAAGUAAUUUGCAUUCUUUGUAGAAAAUGAGAAUUCUGAAAAGUAAAAGAAAGGAAAUCAAAAUCACUUUAUUCUAACACCUAGAGAUGACUGAGAUGUUGGUGUAUCUUUCCUGUUUCCAUUCAACUUUAUAUAAUCAAUUCAGUACAUAUUAAUUUAUAUACACAUAUUCGUAUUUAUAUAUUCAUUAUUUUAAAUAUAUUUUAGGUGUAGAUGGACACAAUACCUUUAUUUUACUUGUUUUUUUUAUUUUUAUGUGGUGCCAGGGAUAGAACCCAGUGCCUCACACAUGCUAGGCAAGCACUCUACCACUGAGCCACAACCCCAGCCCCUAUAUAUAUUCAUUUUGAUAAUUAAAAUUAACUGAAUUAAUUAAGGAGCAUUUAUAGCUUGCAUAAAAACUAUAAUUCAUGUCAUUGCUGUAUUGGGAUAUUCUAGUAAAUUUUUUAGUACAAGUUUGACAAAAUGAGACCACUAAAUAGAUAAUUUCUCAUGAUAAAACCUAUAUGCACACAUCACAAAAAUGUUACUGUUAGAAAAAUACAUUCUGAAAACUUUGUCCUUCAGUUACCCCAUUCCCACUUUAUAUGUGUAAGUGGUUAUUUUCUAAAAAUUACUGAUGAUUAGAUUAGUGAAAUGUUUAUUGUGAAAGAGUAUGUUCUUUGCUUUUAGGCUUAAUCAAAUACACAGUGAAAUAGAAUGUGUUUUGUGAAGUAAUAUCUCAGUUUUUUUCUCCACGCUUUAGGUAUGUGUUCUUUUUGGAUCCAUGCAAUCUGGACUUGAUAAACCGGAAGAUUAAGUCUGUAGCACUGUGUGUAGCAGCAUGUCCAAGACAAGAAUUGAAAACCUUGAGUGAUGUCCAGAAGUUUGCAGAGACGAAUGGUGAGAUUUUAGGCCAUCUACAUCUACACUCCAAUCCUUUAUCUCACUGUUAAAUAUUAUGUCUUUACAUUCCCAUAUGAAUUUGUCCUGACAUUAAAUAAGUGAUCAAAGAACCUUAAAAAUAAAAAGAAUUGAAGUAAUUUUGGAUUUCCUCAUUAAAAAAUAUUAGAGUCAACCUAGGAGCUUAUUAAAACUCUAGAUAUUCACCAUACUCCGUGGUAUGUACCUAUAGUCCCAGCUAUCAGGAUGCUGAGGCAGGAGGUUCCAGGUUGUUUGAGCAACAUAAUAAGAUUCCAUCUCAAAAAGUAAAAAAGCAAAAACUGACCACACCAUAGAUUAUUUCACACCUUUACUCAAAAAACAAGACAAAACUCUUAUUAGAUUCCUAGGCCCCUGCUGGGGAACUUCUGAGUAGGUCUUUGGGUUCUGGAAAUUUGUGUUUUUUAUAAAUGCUUCAGGUGAUUUUGAUAUAUAGCCUGAUGAGUAUUUGGAAAUUAUUAGACUACUCUGUAAAAUUUGGAUAUUUUCCUUUCUUGACAAGUGUUGAUUAAAAGUAUUUCAGUUUGGGCCUGUGUGUGUGUGUUUUAGCCUGUGAUUAACAGGGUAAUAUGAAAAGGAAAAUUUGAAAAUUUCAGAUAAAAGUAUAAAGUAAAAAUCAAAAGUCUUCCAUCAGUUCUUUUUUCAAUGUGUUAGUGUACAUAUAACUUUGUGUUCUGCUUUUUAAAUUUAACAUUAUGUCAUGACUGUUUCUGUAAGAAUAGGUUUGAGGAACUUUGAGGUUAAAUGUAUGGGAAUUAGCUGAGAAAACCAGAAGAGACAGUUUUAUGUAAUCUAGCUCUGUUCCCUUGAGAUUCGUAUCUUCAAAUAUGUUAUCCUCAGCUCCAAAUAGCUUGUUUCAGUUAUCUUCAGAGAAUUUUUGUUUAAACCACUUUGGAGGGUUAGGGUGCUGAUGGCCCCUCAAGCCCAGGUUUUUGAACUUCCUUGAGUUUCAUGAUUGUGUUUUGUAUUUAGUACUCCUCAGGCCUUCCCAAAUUCAAGGCUGUUUUUGGUUCCUUGGAUAGCAGCUGACUUGAUUUGUAUUCACCCAGUGUAACUCUAGAUGGGUGGAGAUACAGCCUGGGGCUAUAGCUAUGCACACAUCAGCAAGACUCCUGCAUCUCUUAGAUGGGGUGGGAUAGGAUUGCUGGCCUUCUGGAGCUGCAGGACUGGCAACAUUCCUGGGCUACCACUUCAUGCCCUAGGCAUAAGAUGGUAGAAAGGGCAUGCUGUUUAUUUGAAUCUGGAUUCCAAUUCUGAUUCAGUCACUAAUUGGCUCUGUAAUGAGUGGUAGCUUCUCUGAAUCUAGAUUUCCUAAUCUGAAAAAAAAGGUGAAUUAAAAAUAAUACCUCCGUGCUGGGGUUGUGGCUCAGUGGUAGAGCCUUGUCUUGCAUUCAUGAGGCAUUGGGUUCAAGCCUCGGCACACAUAAAUAAAUAAAAUAAAAAGUAUUUUUCCCAUCUACAACUAAAAUAAAGAAGUAUUUUAAAAAAUAAUACCUCAUAGGUUAUGAAGAUUAAAUAAGAUGGUGCAUGAAUAAUACUGGGCAUGUGAUAGGCAGUGAGUGAAGAGGUGCCAAAUACUGUUUAAGAUCUCAUUUUUAAUCCCCACAUGAUAUCCCCACAUUUGCCUUGCUAAGCCUUUUUUCCAAACCUACCAGCUUUAUCAUUAUCAGGUUUCUUAGGGAAGUCUGAGUUAUUCCUGAAGGGUUUUUCCAAACUCUUACACAUUAUGAGUAGAUCAAUAUACCUGAUAGGUGGUAUUUUUUUUUAAUAUUUAUUUUUACUUGUAGUUGGACACAAUACCUUUUUUAUUUAUUUAUUUUUAUGUGGUGCUGAGGAUUGAACCCAGGGCCUCCUCGCACAUGCUAAGCGAGCACUCUACCGCUGAACCACCACCCCAGCCCUGAGAGGUGGUAUAUUAAGAGUAUGGCCUCUGAAGUCAGAUGUUUGGGUUCAACUGUUGGUCCUUCUGCUUAGUAAUUGUGAGACUCUGGGCAAGUUGGCUUUACCUUUCUAUAUCUCAAUUUCCCCAUCUGUGAUGCAGGGAUAAUGUAUAUACCUAAUGUGCCUCAUUAGGAUCUUUAUAGUAAGUCAAUAUAUGGAGAAAGAAUACUUAUAACAAUGUAUGGAAAAUAGCAAGUUGCUAAAAAAUGGUCUUGGCUGCUGGUGUUGCCAUUAUUCUUCUGCCUCCAAUUUUUGUCUAGUUCUAACUCCUUUACGUAUUGCUCUCAUGCGAUGUUGCUAGAGGUUUAAUUAACACCAACCCAUUGCUCAGAAAUUAUCAGUGGUGAAAAACAAAAGUCUCUAUAUGUCUUAUACUGGCAAUCAAAACUCUGAUAUAAUCAUAAACUUGUCCGCUUUGAACAUGCCCUCUCAAACCUACUGGAUGUAAACCUUGGCAUCUUGAAACUUAGCUGUCAUCUGAAGGGCCAGGCAAGAGCUACCUCUAGCUCAGUUAUAUGGCCUUGCUUGAUGGUUCCUUUAGGAGAGAUGACCCAUGCCUUCCUGUUGGCCUGUGUUGCCCGCAGGCCAGUGUCCUCCCAAAUGAAACUGAUACCGAGUGUGGUCUAUUUAGGUCUAGUUUAAGAAGAUGCUCCUGGUGUGUUUUGCAGCUUUGCGUUUCCCACAGUGUUUUGCAUAAAGUAAGUGUUCAAGAAGUUUUAAUCAAUAAACACUCUUUCAGAAAACAGACUUCUUAAAUCAGUGCCCAGCUACAAAAGCACCCUUAGGCUUUGGAGUUGCUGUGUAUAAAAUAAACCAGUAAGUUCAGUAUAAAAAAAUAAUGACACAAGAAGCACAUAGUAGAGGAUGGUAACUUCAAAAGGCAAGUAGAAAAGCUGUAUAGUUCAAAUGGAAAGGGAGCUUCUGGUGUGGAGGCCUGCCUAUCUUAUUUUAGGAAAAAAUCCAAGUUGGAAUUUCUGAAUUAAUUUUUCAAAGAAUCUCUGCUGUUUCUUUGGAUUGGUGACUUAAAAUUGGACCUGGUAAAAUUUAGUUGCAAUAUUACCUUUAUCACUGAGAGAUUUCUUUCUCUGCUUUUUACAUUAACUAUGCUCCCCUCCUCUGAUCUUUAUAACUUAUCUUUUCCAUUAUUUGAAGUACAAGUUGAUUGAAAAGGAACAGGUAAUUUUUAUUGGUAUCUAUAGCCAAGGUUCUAACAGAAAUAGUUAGAAAAUACAGAGGCCUUUUUAUCUAAAAUAUUUAAGGCUCAAUUAUUAAUUUCAGAGGAGUGUCUUUGAGGGAUGAUUCAGGUUUAAGUGGGAAAUUUUCAAAUCUGUAAAGUAAACUAGUUAAAAGUCCAUGAAAGAGCCUAAAUAUAAGAGCUACAGCUGUAAAACUCUUAGAAGCAUCAUAGGGGAAAACUUACAUGGUAUUGGAUUUCAUCAUUACUUGCAUGGAACUAAAUGAUACCAGAAGUACAGGAAGCAAAGGAAAAAUUAGAAAAAUUGUCAUGUCAAAAUUAAAAACUUAAACGUAUUAAAGGACAAAAUCAACAGUGAAAAGUCAACCCAUAUAUUUGGGUUGAGAGAAAAUAUUUGGAAUGAGAGAAAAUAUUUGCAAAUAAUAUAUCUAUUAAGGAGUUACGAAAGAAAAAGAAGUGUUGAUGAGGCUAUAGCAAAAUUAGAAAUCUUGUGCACAGUUGGUGGUAAUGAAAAUGGUGUAGCAACUAUGGUAAACAGUAUAGAAGUUCCUUAAAAAGUUAAAAAUAGGACUAAUAUGAUCCAGUAGUCCCACUUCUGAGUGUAUAUACAGAAGAAUAAAAAAGAGGAUCCUCAAGAAAUAUGUGCACAUGUAUGUUCAUUGCAAUAUUAUUCAAAAACAGCCAAGAGGUAGAAGCAGCCUAAAUGUCCAUGGACAGAUUAAUAAAGAAAAUGUGAUAUACACACACAAUUAAAUAUUAUUUUGCCUUAAAAAUGCUGCAACAUGGAUGAAACUUAAAGAUACUAUGCUAAGGGAAAUAAGCCAUUCACAAAAGGACAAGUACUAUAGGAUUCCACAGUUAUGAGGGCCCUAGAAUAGCCAAAUUCAUAGAGACAGAAAGUAGGAUAGCAGUUGCCAGGAGCUAUGGGGGAUGGGGGGGUAGAAGGAAGUCACUGUGUAUUGGGUUGAGUUAUACAACAAUGUGAAUGUAUACAAUGUACUAAAUUGUACAAUUGCAAAUGGUUAAGACAGCAAAUUUUAUGUUAUGUGUAUUUUACCAUAAUUUAACAAAAAUGGAUACUGGGUGAGGUAGUAACUUUUUAUAUGCUAAUUCUAAACCUGAUUUUAAAAUGCAAGGUAAAAUAAUAUGUUUCUUUCUUAUCACAAUGAAAAUACAACAUAAAUCCUUUUCAAAGAAUUUCAAGUUUCCAUGACAACAUUUCAGAGUACUUUUUAGCACUUACCAACAUCCAUUCACAUGAACUUUUAUUAUCUUUAGAAAUUAUUGAAAAUUUUAUAAGGGGAAGCUGUUGGGUCCUAUAGCAAUAUUUAAAAGAAAUACAUUUGUUAGGCAAGUAAAACGUUCCCUCAAAUCUUCGUUUCUUUGACAAGAAAGUGGAGUUGUUUCUUGGAUAGAGUUUAUGGGAAAGCCUUUGUCAAGUAUGUCUGACUACAAUAGAGUUCAGAAGAAAAAGCUGGAAAUUAGAUUAGUUUUGUGGAGAUGUUGCCUUCUACAAAGAGCUUUGAAAGCGGGCAGGAGAACUUAGAUGAAUAUAAAGAUACAGUCUAGACUGAGUUGGGUGGUAGGUCAACAAGUAUACAUUUUGGUUUUAUGGUUUGUAAUUCAUAUAUGACAUGAAUAACAUAAACUUGAUGCUAGAAAAGAAAAUAAUUUUAAAAUGUUCAUUAAAAGGGGGGAUAGGAAGGGCAGCAGAAUACAACAGACACUAGUAUGGCUGUAUGUAUAAACGUGGCUGUAUAACCAAUGUGAUCCUGCAAUUUGUACACGUGGAAAAAUAAGAAUUCAUACCCCAUUUGAAUCAAAUAUAUGAUAUGUCAAGAUCAUUGUAUUGUCUUGAGCAACCAAUAAAAAAAUGUUCAUUAAAAAAAUCAAAGUUGUCAAGUACCAUAAGGACUCAGUAUCAAAUUUCUUUCAGUUCUUUAUCAUCUUCUGCAGUCAUGUAUAAAUUUUCAGGGGGCAGGAUUAUGCUCCAUUUAUCUCUGAAUAUCCAGGUUCUCAUAUAGGAGCUCACAAUGUAGAUAUCCAUAACUGGUUGUUUUUUUUUUUUUUUUUUUUUUUUGAAAAAAAUGAUAGACUCGAUUUCCCUAUUCAUCUCUGUUGCCACUUAAUAAUUUCUUAUGCUCUCAACACAUUUUGUCCUCAAUUCUGUAUCCGUGUGAGUUGCCACCAGCAGGUAAAUUGUUUAGCUUCAAUCCAACCAGAAUUGCUCUGAAAUCAGUUCUUUUUUAUUCAUCUCUAAAUAAUUCAUCCUAUUCACUCAUUUAUCUCUCUUAUACACACUCUCCAAGUGAUUAUUCAUACCUUUUCUUCCCGUAAGCCCUCUUGUUCAUCCUGUUUGCUAACCUAAUGCCCUACAGAGAAAAUUGAAACCAUCUGGUAAGAGCUCCCAUCUGAGUUCUUAUUUUCAGGAGAGCAUGAAUGUCAUCUCACUCUCACUUUCUUUCCCUCCAGUUUCUAAUGAACAGUUUUCUUUUCUCCUUUAUUUAAUCAUUAAUUUUGAAAACUUAAAUAAUACAUACAUUGUAGGGGGGGAGGGAAUGAAUCCCCCUCCUUCUGAAGCUGACUUUGGCUUUCUAUGUAAUUUUGGUUUCAACCCAACCAUGCUUUGACAGGUGGUGAAGGAAGGGGAGAUGGUGCAAGUUCCGGCAAUUCUUUCUUUCUCUCCUCUCUAAUUCUGGUUAGGCCCACCACCUCUGGUCAGUAGUCCACUAUCAUCCCCAUUAUUCUGAAUUCUGCAUCUGAAUUUUAGAUAAUUUAAGCCCAGAGUUUUGUUUCAACUUGUCAUUUAUUGGUGCCUACUAUGUACCAUGCACUGUGCCAGAUGUUUUGCGUGUUGUUUUGUUCUUUUCCAUUUGCUAUCUAAAUACUAACCAGUGAUUUAGAAAUAAAUGCACAUAACCUAUGAGUUAGAGGAUGACUGCAUAUUCUCAGUUGGUGCAAAUACUAAUCAUGAGAUUCUUAUUAUCUUUUCCAUUAUUCUUAUUUUUCUUUUGUUUGCAUCUCACUUAUAGGAGUGAAAAAGCAGUACCAUUUGAGAGUACUUCUUUAAUGUACUAUAUUUUGUAGAAUUCUGAGAGGUUUAUGAACUGCCAUUUGGACAUGUUCACUUUUUGAUUUUUUGGCUUUUUUGUUUGUUUAUUUUAGUACCAGGCAUCAAACCCAGGAACACUUAACUACUGAGCACAUCCCCAUCCCUUUUUAAUAUUUUAUUUAGAGACAGGGUCUUAACUGAGUUGCUUAGGGCCUCACUAAGUCACAGGCUGGCUUUGAAUUUGCGAUCCUCCUGCCUCAGCCUCCCGAGCCACUGAGAUUACAGGCAUGCAAUUACAGGCAUACAUCUGGCCCAUGUUCACAUUUUGAGUAUGACUGUCCAGUUUGAUCAUUAAUGAUCAUUGCUUUGGCCAUUUAAAACUUUGACAAAUUAUAUGAUCCAUUCAGAUAAGAAUUGCUUUUUGUGAGAACUAGUAAGACUUUCGGUUAUCAUUAUCCAGUCAUUAGGCUUAGAGUCAAUAUCAGUAGAUCAUCAGUAUAUUGCCCUUUUUCUUACCAGUUAGUAACAAUAUAACUUAAACCACAGAGUUAGCAUGGAUUCUUUUUGGCAUAGUCAAUCAAAAGUUUGGACUUGAAAACAUUUAUAAAUGAAUAAUUAUAACAAUUAAUUUAAUUUCCUCCAGGUCAAAGAAAGCAGGGUAGCAGGGAGACGCUUACAUUUGAUAAUAUAAUUUAAACUAAUUCCUUCCUCCAACAAUUAGUAUCUAUUAAAGAUGCCAAAGAUAUAAGGUACAGUCCCACAUUUAAGGAGCUUGAGUUAUAGUAAAGUUAGACUUUCCUUGUCCUCCACAAUACCUAGUAGAAGUCUUGCACAUAGAUGUUCAAAAUUAAUUCAUUUAGCAAAUAUUUAUUGUGUACCCAGGAUGUGCCACUAAUGGCUAACAGGUAAUGUCAUACCUCAGCUAGCUAAUAGAUGGUACUUUUUGGAAAUUGCAAAUAUGUCUGGAUUUUGGGGGUUACUAGAAAUUGAAAUUAGGAAAAUUGUCUCCUGUUCUUCCAGCAUGUAAAUAUAUAGUUUUCUAAUUAGAGGAUGAGAGAUUAAAUUCAUUGGACAUCACAAAGCAAUAGAAUUUGUUUUUCAUAAUGAAAACUGAUCUGCAUUGAGAUGUUUUUCUACUCAUUGAAAAUUUUCUCCAUCAUAUUUCAAGGACUAUAUCUUUUGCCUAAUUUUAAUAUAUUAUGCAUUUGUGAUAGCAAAUUAAACAUAAUUUUAUGGCCCAAAAAAUAGCCCCCAAUACAUUAGCUCUUCUUUAUAUAUUUUUAUUUCAAAUAAUUUGGUGUUUAAACCAUUGGUUCACAACUAAGAGUGCCUCUGCCUGCCCAAAAACAUUUGGCAAUGUUUAGAGAGAUUUUUGGUUGUCAGAACUGGGCAAAGGUUAUCUAGAGGAUAGAGAUCUGUCAAACACUAGUGACACACACAUACUAGGCAUACAUAUUUGCUGAGUGAAUUAAUGCACAGGACAGCCCCCUAUAAUCAAGCAUUGGAUCAGGAUGUCUGUUUUUAUUAAAUAAAAGGCAUUGGAGUGUUACUUAUGUACCAGUAGAUGGGACUGCAGAUAUUUCAAAAGCACCAGGUCCCAGUUCUCAAAGAGCAUACUCUAAAAAUGGAGAUGAUAGGUAAACAAAAACAAAUUACAAAAUAAUAUGCUAUGUUUUUUAAUAGCGCUAAGUGGCAAAUAGCUUUGUUGGGUGGGUCAGAGAAAGCUUGACAGAGAAGGUGAAGUGUGAGUGAGUACUGUGUAGUAGCUCUGCUCAAACUUUUAGCACUCACUCAGAUGCUGUUCCUAGAAGGACAGAGCAAGCCCAAGGAAUAGCAUGUUAAAAGGUCAGGAAGCCUGAUAAACAGAAAGAAUUGAUUAUAUGCAGUUCAUUGUAUUGAGGUGAGCCUGGAGUUUUAGCUAGAAUCCUGCUUUAGGAAGCCUUGAAUCCAAGAAGUGUGGACUUUAUCCUGAGGAUAGGACUAUAACAGAAGGGAUCUGCAUUUUUGAAGACCAUUCUGAAGGUCAUGUGCAUAAAGAGGGAGAUGAGAAUCCGUUUUGGGAGAGGAUUUAAACUGCCCUGAUCAAGAAGAUCUGAGAUUCUAUAGGAAGGUCUGAUCAAGCACCUUGAAUGGUAUGGGAAGGUGAAAGGUAAAGAAGAGGACAUGUGACUUGCAAAUUUUACCUUGGGGACUUCAAACCAUUAACCAGGAUAGAAAAUAUACAGGAGGAGAGUGAGUGAUUGAAGUAAUUUUUUUGUAAACAUUAUUUUUGAAGUAUCUAUGGAACAUGUUUUUGUGGUUUGUUUUCCUAAGAACUUAAUAUUUGUUUGAUUUUGAUUAUUAGGAAUGACACAAAAGAAGCAUAGUGACCUAAGAGUAAAGAAUUCUGUUUCUAAAUAUGCCAGUGAUUGCUUGUAAGGCCCUGAAAGUAUUACUUAUUUUUUUUCUCUGCAGCUGUAAGUUUUGAAGUGUAGUGAUAAAAAUGUACCUCUUAGGAGAGUUGAUAUAAUUGAUAUUGAGCUAGAAAAUAAAUAAUUAGAUGUUAUAAGCCAUUUGAAAAAUUAUAGUAUUUAAACAUUCUGAAGAUCCUAGUAGACAUUUGCCAUGAUAAAUAUUUGUAUACCCAGAUUGGGUUCCUAAGAUCUCUCAUUUUGAUAGCCUUUGAAUAACAUUGGCUAAAUUGCCUGGAUUGCCUAGAUAAGCCUUUGUUUUUUAGUUUUUUUGAUUUUUUUCAUUACUCAAGUAUGAUUUUUACUUAACUUUUGCAUCUGAAGGAAAACUUCAUGUCUUACUUUUUAUGUCCAAACCUCUUGUGCUGUGUUGUUUAUACUUUCACUGUAAAAAAGUAAAUGAUACUACCUUUAAAAGGUUCACUGAAUAUGCAUUAGCUGAUAAACAUGAAAAGAAAAACAAUUUAAAAUAUUUGUCAUUACCAUUUUAAUGUUCUUCCUCCUCUGUUCAUCAACUGUUUGAGCAGGAAAACAGCAAAGUGACUCUUCUGGUUGUUACUACCAACACAUUGUAAAGAUCUUUUUCCUUAAACCUAUUUAGUACAGGAUCUGCUUAGUACUGGCCUGUGUCCCAGAAGACCAUCAGAGAUAAGGCUAUUAUCCUUUUAUUGAGUAUUAUCCUGGGAAAGUAUUUAUAAAAUUGAACUCUGUGGCACCUGCUGACCUCUUUUCUAAAUGAAAAAGGGUGGGGAUGGAAAUUGUGUUCAGUGAAUUUAGAUGAAGCAGUAUGUUUAGCAGCACUGACAGCAGAGUGCUUUAGUUAGUGCCUUUUAUACCGUGCAAAUUGAUUCCAUCUUGGACUUUGAAAGAAAUAAGUUGACAAUUCAUAUCAAGAAGUUGACAGUCACAUUCAGGGCUCUGCAGUUAUUGGCAUGGUUGCUAUUUUUUCAUAAGCAGUUCUAAAAUAGAACUCACAGCUAUUUUAGGAUUAAUCUAAAGUGUUUGCUUGCCAUUGCUGUCAUGUUUUUCUAAAAUUGCUAUAAAUAAAAUCUAGUGGUAUUAUCUUCAAACCUGAGAGAAUACUUUUGGAAGACUUAAAUAUUUAAAAACAAUUUUCAUCCUUAAUGUUUUUCUUUUCCUUUCCUCUUCCUCCCCUUCCCUUCUUUUUCCUUGCUUUCUUCCUUCUUUCCUUCCUCUGUCUCAUGGUGAUGGAGAUAGAAACGAGGUCCUCAAAUAUGUUAGGCAUAUGCUAUGCUAUUGAGCCACAUCCCAGUUCAUGUGCUUAACUUUAAAAAAAAAAUCGUCAUUAAAAUGAAAAAGAACAGUUUAAAAAAAAUUUAAACCUAGUCUCCUAUGAAAUCUUAUCAAAAGCUAAAAAUGUGUGAAGAACAGUGCUAUGUAACUUUCAAGUAUCGCUCUAAAAAUACUAUUGUGGCUUGCCAUGGUAAUACAUUCCUAUAAUCCCAACGACUCAGGAAGUCUGAAGUAGGAGGGUUGCAAAUUCAAGGCCAACCUCAGCAAUUUAGUGAGACUCUGUCCAAAAAUAAAAGGACUGGGGCCUGGCUCAGUGGUAAAGGACCUCAGGGUUCAAUUCCCAGUAUAUUUAAAUAAGUGUGUGUGUGUGUACACACACACACACACACACACACACACACACACAUAUAUAUAUAUAUUGCAUUGUCAAAUUACUUGGAUUAUAUUUGUAUAAAAUAUAUGCUACAUAUAUUUAUGUAAAUGUACUAUUAUGGCCCACAUAUUUAAACACUUAGGCCCACAUAUUUAAACACUGAUUUGAGGCAGCUGAGUUAAAUGGUGGUUUAUGACUUUUUGAAAAUUAUUUUCAUUGGUCAGACAAGAAAUAACUUAAAUAAACUCACUCCCAACUUUGUUGUCCCAGCAUACCAGGCUGUGUUCAUUUUCUAUCUUCCUUUCCAUUUCCUUCUCAUGCUUACAUGCCUUUUCCAUUAAUUAAUUCAGUGAUGAAGUCUGCCAUGUUUGCCUCAUAUUUUAAUGUUUGCCUCAUGGUGGUAACAGUGUGAAGUCCAUUAUCACUAUAAUGCGAAUGCAUAUUUAUUCUGUUUAUAUUUAAUAAUAAGGCAUUAGUUCAAGUUAGAAAUCUGACAGGAACUUCAGUUAAUCAGAUAUAACCUGUUGUGUAAUAUAGAAUGCAGUAGAUCAUUGGCAUCUUUAAGGCUGGAAUGUAAAUCUCCUCGCCUACCAACACCUAUUGUGCAAUGACUCUUCCAGGAUCCCAGUCACUUCAUUAUAGAACUAGCAGGUCAGUAAAAUAACGCAUUCUAGAUCUGCUGGACUGUAUCCAUCUGAAUUUUCAGUACUGCUUAGAUAUGUAUUAGCCAAAUAAUCAGAAAAAUAUAUGGUUCUUUGUUUAACCAAUCUUUGGUUAGAUUUAAGUUAUCUUAAACUAUCUGAAAACUAGGGAUUGCUUAUAAAUUUAUCAGUUUUAUCAAUUGUUCAGUUUAUUUACAGUUAGGCGUAUUUCCUGAAAUAAGAAAAAGUAAUGUAUUAUCUGAGUGUAUUACUUUAUGCAGUAAUUUUAAAUAUGUAGUAGUGGGAAGCAUAGGAACAGAGAAUGUUUACAGUUGAGAGAUGUGGUAUUUUGUCCCAACUCUAUCACUUACUAGCUCUGUGUUCUUGGGCAGGUUAUUUACCUUAUGUCCUAGCCUCUAUUUCUAUGGUAAUGAUGCAUACAUGUAUGUCAUCUUGCAUAGAACCUGACAUGGGGCAGAUACUCAAUAGAAGUAGUUCUAGUACUUAUAGUUAUUAUCUUUAAUAUUAAUUAAAAUUUGUACAAUUAAUUACAUUGUCAGUAAUAAGAGUUUUAAAUGAUUGAGGGCUAAUGAUAUAGAUCAAAUCAGAUGCUUAUGAAUUCUAUAAUGUUUGAAAGUUAUAUAUGAGAGUAUUAACAUCUAAAAUUAAAGAAAAUGAGAAGAUAAUUUGUCUAGAUUCUGUUCUGCCAGUUAACAUAUAACUUUUCUUUCAACAGGCUCAGCACUAUGUAGCUACAACCUAAAGCCUUCUGAAUAUACUACAUCUUCAAAAUCAUCUGUUCUUUGCCCCAAACUUCCAGUUCCAGCGAGGUAAAUUUUAUUGCAAAGUUGUUAACUUGUGACUUGUUUUUAUAGGUAAAUUUCACAUUGUAUGUGUUAUUCUGAGAAAGGAGUUACUUUGAUAACUUGUUCCAUUACUUUUACAACAAAAUUUUAGAAAUAGGAAAAGAUAUAAAAACAUGUAUUUAUCUUUAGAAAAAUGCACACCCAAACAACUUUUCUAGUUCUGUUAUUUUACAUUUCUUUAGAACCUUACUUUUUUUUAAAAUUUUCGUACCAUAAUUUUCAAAUACACAAAACUGCUGAAUCAUUCUCAAAUUUGCAACAGACUUAGAAACCAAGUCUCACAGUCUCCAGAGAUCCUUCGAGGUUAAUCCUAGUAUUACUUCCUGGGAUUGCUUUUUAAUUUACUUUGUAAAUUUAAAAAGCAUGCCAGUGACUAUUCUCCAUACAUUGUUUGAAGUUAUAUCCUUUACAUACGUUCACUGUAUUAGGCUGUUUGCCACGCCUUAUUCAAUAAACAUUUAUUAUUAAGUACCUGCCACAUGUGAUGGAUAUAACAGUGAUCUCACAGUAGUUAAAGUGAAAGUAAAUUUUUAAAUUUAAAGUAGAUGUAAAAAAAAAAAAUUCUCAAGCAUUGUAGACUAUAUCCCCAGAAUUAUGUAUGUACGUUUAUGGAGGUAUAUACAUGUAUGUGUAUAUACACAUAUGUGAACACUUGCAAGUAUGUCUGAUGUUGAGAACCAUAAUGUGAACUGCUGACAGAAUGGCAUGAGAAAACUUCUCUGGGGGGAAACUGACUCUAAGCCACCUUUAUUAUAUCUUAAUAUAUUAUAGGGAACAACUGAGUAAAAAAUUUUGAGAUUUGAAACAUGAAAGCAGAUCAUGUCUACAUUUUUUAGGAAUAUUUAUGGCUAUAACUUGUGCUUUAUUAACUUGAAUUUGAAAUUUUCUGUUAGUAGGAAAGGGAUGUAUCAGUUAAAUUGAUUUCUAGCUCUUUUAGUCUUGUGAAGUUGCUAUUGAAAAUCAAAAUUUAUAGCCUAUAGAUAUAAAAGUAAAGGGACUAUUUUAAGAGAUACUCAGUAAAAGGAACCUAAAAAUUAUGGCCUUAAAGUGACAGGUAAGGAGGUCGAACUCAUAAAAAUUAAGGAUAUGAGGAAGGCUGCCGCAGUGAAGCAAAGGAGAUCCUUUAAAUACAGUUACUGGAGAACAUUUAUUGAUAUAAAAAUAAGAAAAGCCCUAUACACUUAUCUACCUAAUUGCUACAGUUUGUUUUAUCUGUACUUUAAGUAUAGAGUCUUUCUUUCAAGACCAAAACACACUGAGGUAGAAUAAUCAGAAAUCCUGGAUAUGGAAAGAAGGUUGUUCUGCUCCUGGAUCAUUGUGGGAGGGCCAGGAUGGGUGGCUGGGCUCAUACUGCAAAUCCUCCCCCACUUGGAUCUCUGACUCCCCUGUGUUGAGCACUGACUGUUCCUGGUUAUUUCAGAUAUCCCAGUCCUGACUACCCACACACUUCUCACAAUAUCCUCUAGACAUUUACUAGAAGGCAAAGGAUGGUAUCAGGGGUGUUAAGUUUAUAGCUGGAUGGACCUGGCUUCUAACAGGGUCAUUAUGUACCUCACUAAUCUAAGACAAAAUGCUGAACCUGUACUAUCUGCAAACUCACUCCCACUGUGUUCAAAGAUCCUUAUGUUUUACUUAGUACAGUACCUCCCAGUCGAAGUAUCUUAGCACUUUUGUCUGAACUAAGCUUGUUGGAAAGUAAAACAGAAGGAAGACAAAUAGAAGCUUGUAAAUAUAAAAGUUAUUUAGCAUUUGGCAAACAAAGUGAAAGGAUGAGAGAACAAGAUAAAUUUGUUUUAAUAAAAAAAAAAAAUUGGAGACACUACCCCAUUCUCACAUAGCAUUAAGCCACCAAGUCUCCAAAAAUGAGUAAGACCAGAACUCUGACCUUCAAUUCACAGUCUAGUAAUGACUGCAUUUUUGUUAACAUUUUCUAACACCAGGCAAAACUGGUAAGUAGCCCUCAGCAUCUUUCACAUCUCACACAGGAACUUGAACUUUGAGUCUAGAUCAGUAUGGCGGUGAAUAUCACAUCACCAUUUUCUAUUUGUCAUCUCAAACAAGACUCAACCUCUCUAAAAAACCAAGGUUUCUUGUGUGUGAAAUGGGAAUAUUCAUACUUGUUCUAUAGAGUUGAGACUCAAUAAGAUAAUAUACAUAUCUAUUAUUGUGCUUGGCACUUAGCUUAGGAAGUAUCAUUUCUCUCAACUUCCAGAGCCAGCAAUAGCUGGUUUAGAGAACACAACCAUAAACUAAUUUGCAAUGAAAUUCUAAUGAGGCAUAAUAAUCAAAAAAUUAUCAUUCCUAAGAGCAGAUGCCUAGAUAGACCAAUAUUUUAUCCAGAUUCAUAACUCUUUAUUGGUGAAAUGCCAAGCAUGGUAGCAAUAUGAACAAUAGCUAUCCUGUUUAUUUGUGAUGCUAACUGUUGCAAUGCUAACUGUUGCCCACAACCAGAGAAAAACAGCAGAAAUAGAAACAGAGUACAUAAAUUCAGUUUAUUCAUCAUUAGAGUACCUCUGGAUGCCAGAAAGGUUACGAGAUACUAGGGAAUUAAUAAUAUGAUAUGGAAGCGAAAAAUUGACACUCAAGAAAAAAUGUUUUUUCAUAUUUUUAAGUAGAAGAUUCAAGAGUAAGUUAAUAUUUACAAAUCAUCUACUAUGUGCCAGCUAAUAUACUUUCACUAAUAUACUUUCACAUGCAUUAUUUAAUUUAACCCUCACAAAAGCCUUUACAGAUACUGCCCCUAAUUUAUAGAUAAGGAAAUGGAAGAUGAGGCCAAAGCCACUUUUUUUGUUGUUGUUGUUGCUGUAAAUCAGAGUUUGAAUUCAGGAUCUUGUAGCAUCUAUACCAUAGUUAAGUGUGUUUUUUUUUAAAAUUUAUUUUUUAUUUUUUAAGGAGUAGAGGAGUGAAGGAAGGGAAAAAAACAAACAAAAUAGAAAUGUAUGAAAAAUCACUGUUUACUGCCAUUAAAUUCUUAUCUUCUUGACUUAUUUACUUCCUGCCUUUUGUAUUCUAUUAUAGGGAUCUUAAUGGAACCCUUUAUUGGUAUUAUUUCUUAAAUAAAACUUUUAGCUAGAAACCAUGGGUGAUUGCUUAUUUUUAGCCUGAGAUUCUAAAAUAAUUAUAUGAGGUACAACUCCUACCUUCUUUUGUGAAGCAUAUGGACAAGAAAUAGUAGACACUCUUUGUCCUUAUACUUUAGGGAGUUGAUUAUCUGUGAUAAUCUGGUCUUAAAGGCAAAUGGAUGGUAUAUUUGCCACUGUAAGAUACAAUUUGCCCAUGAUGGUUAAUUUUUAAAAAUCUUUAAAAGAUUCAGUAUGAAUUCAUUUUGUUCUUGUUGACUCAUGUUUUAAUAAUGUGAAACAACAUCAGUUCCUAAUGGGACUACAUUGACUUCUUAAACAUUCAAUAGUCUGUGCCUUUGAAAGGUAGAAAAACUUACUGUAAAUAGAAUACUUUAUGCUUUUCCUCUUAAUUAAGAAGCACAAAAUGUGUCAUUUAGGUUAGACUCUAAAGUAGAAAUGAUCUCAAGCACUAAGUUCUCAGCACUAUUAUUUCCUCAGAGGUCCAUGGUAUGAGCUAAUUCAUCUUAAAUUCAUUAAAUCAAAUGGGAUUUAAAUGGUAAAAUAUAAGAGAGACAUUUCAAUGCCAUGAUUACUCACUUUUUUUUUUUUAAUAAGAAAAUAAAUCCAGGGACUGAGGGUGUAGUUCAGUGGUAGCAUAUAUAAGGCCCUGGGUUCAGUUGCCAGCACAGAAAAAAAAAAAAGAAGAAAAAGAAAAAAAUUCUUGUUUCAAAAUCCCAUGGCCUGUAGAGUUGUUUCUUUUUUGGGAAGAAGUGGGAAAAAGAAUGACAAGGGAAUCUGCUGCUUUUUAGCUAAGCAUUUAAUUUUCUUUUUGAACAAUGUGUUCAUAUAUUCUCUUUUAUUUACCUUCAAUUUCUGUUAUUCGUUAGGACUAAGAGCAGAUUUUUACUAUAAAAUAAACAAAGCAGUUAAUCAGCUUGUGCUAAUUUUAUAUCUUUAAACUUAGAGCCGUCAGAUUGAAUUUUAGAGUCAAAGAUUAUUGUUAUUUUGCCCCAAUUCUUUGAAGGAUACUUAAAAAAGCACUCUUUCCAAAAGGUCAAGAGUUUAUAUACAUUUUUAAAAUGACUCAAAAGGAUAAGUUCUGGGCAGAUGUUACUCACCAUUUCCUCCUAAAGGAAAAGAAUUAGGAUUUUGAGAAUGCAGUCCUUCCCUUUCAAAUCAAGGAUCUUCAUCCUGAGUUUGAAAGGCAGAAUAUACUGGCUCUGCUGCUCCUAUAUACUUUUAGAGUCAUUGAUUUGUAGGUGGUCUCUUUUAUGGUGAUGAUCUGAAGAGACUUACAGAGUCCUUACUCCUACCCUUUUAGCAAGCAAAUGGACAAAUGAAGAAGAAAUGGAGUAACACACAGCUCUGCAGUGUUAGGAGAAGGUGGGCUUUUACAGUUAUCUGACAGGAAAAAGGAAAUGAGUGAGUAGGACCAAGAAAAUUAGUGGCAUUGUCAACAAGAAAUAGACAGCAAUAUCCUUAAGGUAGACAUAUUUUAUAUUUGGGGUUGAAGGCAGGUGAGUGAAGCAGAGGCUUCAUCAGAGAUGAUAAGGUAAUAUAGACCGAUGAAGAUUUAGAUAAUUAUGGAGCAGAGAAGAGUUUAGUUUUGAAGAGAGAGACAUGCUUUAAUUAAAAAUAGGGUUAGAGAAGUUCUUAAAGGUGUUAACUUUGCAGAGACAACAUCAGAAAAGAAAGUCGUGUUACAACAAAGUUGUCAGUAAAGACUUCUACCCCAAAUCAGCCUCCAUUAACUGAGAAAUUUAGGGUCCUUUUUGAUUCUUCUAAUUUAAUAUCUUUUUACAUCAUUAGCAAAACAACUUUUGAUCAAAAGACAAUGACUUACCUGCCUGUAAAUCAAACAUUAUACAGAAUGGUCUGGCUUCCUGCAGUUUUUAAUAAAAAGUCAAAUCUUUGGCAUUAACUUUCACUAACACCAUUUUGGAGCUACUCACAAAUCCACAGUCAAGGACAUGAGAUAAUAAAUGAAUAAAUCACAUUGUUACAUCAUCAUUUUUGGAUACAUUUUACUGAAGCAUAACUAAAAUAAGGCUAAAUCUUUCAGUUAUUUUGUUUCAUGAGUAUAAAAGCAUAAGAUAUUUCUUAUUCUUACUACUGGUGGUGCUCACUGUCAUUUAAGAAAAAACGAUAGGUAGUUAUUCUCAUUCUUAUUUGAAAAAUUUUUUUUUAUUUGAGGGAGGAAAGAAACUGUUUUGUUUCAGGUCAGACAAAGUUGUUUUGCUGAGAUUGGAAACCUUGGAAUUUGGUAUCCAACCACAUAAUCAUAUCCACUAAUGGACCCAAAUACAGUGCCAGCCAAGAACGAGAACACAGUUACAUCAUUCUAAUAAAAAAUCUUAUGUCAGACCUGCCAGGGCUAGUUCUAUGAACAAUUCAAAAACUGUGGUUUCAUAUUAAUUAUGGCUGCAUUUUAACUUAAUUCACCCACUAAUGCAUAUCUGUGCACAGACAAUGUACGGGUUCUGUUAGAAUCUUGACAAGUCACAAUGAAGGUGUAUCUAUAGUCCUUUGUUUAAAAUUCUCUCACUGAUUAGAUGUGUAUUGUCCUCUCAGAAGUUGAAGCAGAACCAUGUUAUUACAAACCAGAUUUAUGUCACAGCUCAUGCACAGUUGUUUCUUUACAAGUCAAAGCUGUAGUCCAUGUAAGCUUGGAUUAAAUGUUAACUGAUUAAAUAAUUGGUUGUUUUCACAGUUUUUUGAACACAUAUAAUCUUGAAUUAUUAGUUACAUAUAAAAAGAAAAUAAAAUGGCACAGAAUUCCAGAUGUGUCAGAUAUUUUUCACUUUUAUAAUAUUAUUUUUCUUAUCCCAUUUUUAUUAACUUCAUAACUCUUUUAUGGAGUGAUAUCAUUGUCACUUUAGAUAUAAUUUCCCUUUUGUAUUAUUAAAUUAUAAGCAUUUCUAUACAUUAGCUCCCACUGUUAUUGUUUUGAGUAGCUGCAUAUUAUGCUGUAUGUUGAUAUGUUGGCAUGACUUUGUUUAUAUAAGAGUUACUGAGGGGCCUGGGACUUGGGCUGUAGCUCAAUGGUAGAGUGCUUGCCUAGCACGGUUGAGGCACUGGGUUCAAUCCUCAGCACCACAUAAAAAGUAAAUAAAUAAAAAUAAAGUUAUAAAAAUUAUAUUUAAAAAAGAGUUACUGUGUGCCCUGAACACUUUUAUUAAUCUGAAAUUUUAUAAUGCUAUUUUGUUAGAGAAGACAUUCUAUUAAUGGUGGCACAUUUCAAGUACAAGCAUGUGUGUUUUUUACUUUUAAAUUGCUUAUGGCCAAAAUUCAUUUUCAGUUCAAUGAAAUAUAUGUCUGUAAGCUUUGUCAUCUGCCUCUUGACUGGUAGAUGAGGAGUUUUAAGUGGUUUUGCUUCUGGUAGCUCUGUGUGUGUAUGUGUAUGUGUGCGUUUCUUUUCAGAAGGGGAGGGUAAUGUCUUCUGUUGGAACAUGCACUCCACCCUCUUUGAUAAGGCUUGUGGUAAGAUUGCUUCACUACCCAUAACAGUCAUCUUCAUAGCAUUAAGCACAUAGCUCUUAGCACCCAUAAUGAUGUGUGGAGGGUGGAGUGUAUUGCAGCCAUAUUCACCUUUCAUUUGUGUGUUUGAUGUGGCAUUUAUAUUAAGUAGGAGUAAUUUUUUUUCUGAUUUUUUUUUUCUUGUGUCACCAGUGCACCUAUUCCAUUCUUCCAUCGCUGUGCUCCUGUGAACAUUUCCUGCUAUGCCAAGUUUGCAGAGGC
rnacentral:lncRNA from 1 species